UCUUUUACAUCUUUAGACAUGACAACGGGGUAUUCAACCUUGCCUUUUACAUCCUUAUCUGACGGCGGUACUACCCAUUCUUGGCAGAUAGUAACUCGCGUCUGAUUUAGAAGAGUCAGAGUUGAGGCCAAAGUAUCUAGGGCAUCAGCUUGCUUAUUUCUUUCCUUGGCACAUGUUAAAGGGUUACCUCUCUCAGCCACCCUAUCAAUUUUUGUACAUAAUCAUGAUAUGGUCGUAGCUCAGGCUUUCUGACUUCAUAGCUUUCCAAAAACUGCUUGAUCACUAAUUGAGAGUCACCAAAGACUUGUAAUUGUAGUUGUUUCAUGUCAACUGCUAUCUCAAGUCCAAUUAUUAAUGCUUAAUAUUCAACAAUAUUAUUAUAGCAACGGUUUGUUAGGGUAAAAGAGUAUGGGAUGACCUCUCCUUGUGGAGUGAUGAACAACACACCGGCACCAACUCCAUCUCUAUGUGCGACACCAUCAAAGUACAUCUUCCAAGGGGAUCUGGCUUCGAUAACCAUUUCAUCUUCAUUACGAAGUUCAUCACUCAGUUCCCAAUCAUUAGGUAUCGGGUGGUCUACUAAGAAAUCAUCCAAUGUUUGUCCCUUUAUGGCCUUUUGGGGAACAUAUACAAUCUCAAACUAUUGAAAUUGAAGGUACCAUCUUGCAAGUCGGUCACUAAGGACUGAUUUUGAUAUUACAAACUUGAUGGGAUUUGUCCUAGAUACAAGACAGACAACAUGAGCUUGAAAGUAGUGUUUUAUCUUUUGAAUUGAGAAGGCCAAUGCCAAACACAACUUUUCGAUUAGAGAAUACUUUAGCUCUUUCGUCGUUAUCAUUCUGCUCAGAUAGUAAAAAGAAUUUUCUUUGCCUUCACUAUUUUCUUGAGCCAGUAGUGCUCCAACUGACCUAUCUUGUGUCGCUAUGUAGAGUAUUAAUGGUUUCCCAGAUAUGGGUGCCGCAAGACCUGGUGGCUUCAUUAAGUAUAAUUUGAUACUCUCAAAGGCAUUACCACAAGCUUGGUCCCAUUCGAAGGGAGUGUCCUUCUUCAUGAGAUGACUAAACGGUUGACAUUUUCCAGUCAGGUUUAAAAUGAACCUCCUUAAAUAUGCUAGCCUUCCUUGAAGGCUCUUUAACUCAUGACUGUUUCUAGGCUGGGGUAUCUUUAAAAUUACAUUGACCUUAGCUUGGUCAAUUUUAAUUCCUCGGUGUUGCACAACGAAGCCAAGAAACUUUCUAGAAGUAACUCCAAAGGCACACUUCAAUGGAUUCAUUCGAAGUUGGUAUCUUCGAAGUAACUCGAAUACCAUUCUUAGGUCUUUUAAGUGGUCGUCUCUCUUUCUUGACUUCACCACUAGAUCAUCCACGUAGCAUUCAAUAUUUUUAUGGAGCAAACCAUCAAAGAUUUUUUGCAUAUCCCUUUGAUAAGUGGCGCUAGCUUUCUUCAAACCAAAAAGCAUCACCUUGUAUCAAUAAAUACCUUUGGGCAUACAAAAUGCAGUGAGUUCUUCAUUCUUUGGUACCAUACGGAUUUAAUUGUAGCCGAAUGAACCAUCUAUGAAGGACAUUUCCUCAUAAUCAGUGGUGGCAUUAAUCAUCAAUUCUAGUAUAGGGAUUGGAAAGUUAUCCUUAGGGCAGGUAUUGUUGAGAUCUCGAAAGUCGACACAAACUUGAAUUUGGCCAUUCUUCUUUCGUACUAGAACAAUACUUGAAUCGACGUGGGAUAUUUGACUUUGUGAAUAAAUCCAGCUUCAAUGAGUUUGUUAACUUCAUUUUCAAUUAAUAGAACCAACUCUGACCUAAAGCGCCUUUGGGCUUGCUUAACAGGAUGAGCACCAUUCUUGACUACCAAUUGAUGGACUGUUACUUUUGGAUCUAAGCCAGGCAUUUCCUUAUAGCUCCAAGCAAAUACAUUCAUAUAUUCUUUGAGUAUGUCCAUAUAAGUGAUUUCCUCCUCCACUUCUAGAAACGCAUUCAAGUAAGUUGGUCUUGGGUCUUCAUCGGUUUUAAGAUUAUCUUCCUUCAAAGGAUCUAUUGUGGCUUUUACUCCUUCUUCAAGUUGCGAUGGAGCAUCUCUGGCAUCUUCCUCCUCUUGAGAAUCAUCGCCGUUGAUGGAUAUAUGAUAACACCAAAAGGCAUCUUCUAUCUCUUUAUCAACCUUCAUUAAAGAUGAGAUAUCUUUCUUAUUUUGGGUCGUAACAUGAUAUGAGAAGCCAACACUCUCUUCAUCUUCUUCGUGUUGCUUGGUAUAAACCACUGUAUGAGACUUUGCUUUUAGCACCUCAUUGCAUGAAACUACCAGUUCCAUUUUUUGCCUUAUUCUAGAAGGAAUCAAACUUUGAAAAUCCUUCUAGAUCUUAGGCAAAGAGUGCAUUGUUGUACUUUGAUGACUUCUCCGACGCUUGUUAUUUUUAUUCUUAUUUAGAGGACCCAACCUUUCAAACAUAGAAGUCUUGUGGUUGAUUCUCUAAGUCGAUCAAAUACAGAGAGUCUUUUAUUAGCAGCAGUGGAUUCUUCUUCCACGGUGAUGUAAUUACUGACUGCCCUUCUUAUGGUGAUGCGAAUUGGAGGUGGCUGCGUGUAUCCUAGGCCUUCACAUGCCUGCCUAGUUGUACCCUCUGAUGGAAGUUUUCCCAACCUUUAUGGCUUAUUAGGAUUGUAUCCAACCUUUAUAAAUCCAACGAAAGUUUUCUCAACCUUGAUAGCUCAUUAGGAUUGUAUCCAGCCUUUACAAAUAUCUUGUAUGUAUUUGGGUCGAAGCCUUAUUUCGUAUGCUUCAUAGGGAGUGUCAUAUCUUGUUGGUGGAUUUUAAACCACAAACUCUUCAAUUAGUCUUGAGGAUGGAUUUAUUGCAUCAAUCUUCUUGAUAGGUAAAGUUAUCCCCUUUAGCAUAUUAUUUUAGGAAUUCGAUGGGUGAUCUUUCUCUUUCUUUACCUUCGGUACGUAGCAAAGAACAGGAGUUGCCUUCUUUUUGUAGGAACAAUAUUUUCUUUAUUUGAAGUGGAGAGAGGCUUCUUGGUGGCAACUUUUUUCGACAGUCACCGCGACCUUCUUAGAUGCAAGAUCAUCGCACUUGGUCUUGGUGAAAUCUUCAACCAUUUUCUUAUCCACAACAUGAUUCUUUAAGUAGAAUUUUGCAUCGGCAAAAUGUGACUCAGCUUCAGUGAAUGGCUUUUCAUCGGCAACUAUCUUUCUCUCUAUUCCGCCUUCGAGGUACUUCAAGAAUUGAUUGUAAGAGAAUGAGAUAAUUUUGUUCCCGUGCACCCAAGGCCUACCAAGCAAUAUAUUGUAUGAAGUUUUGGCAUUGAUCAUAUGCAUCAAUGUGUUUGAUUGAAAAUCAUCCAUAUGAAUCCCCAACUUGAUAGAUCCCAUAGCCUUUUGGCCCCUUGGUUGACGCCUUGGAUUAUUAUACAGCUUUCGUUCAGUUUACAAGUAGCGAUGCCAAGUUCCUUCAUCAUGUGGAUAGGCAGAAUGUUGACUCCGGAUCCUUCAUCUAUCAAGAUUCUAUUAAUCUUGUUUCCUAGAAUUUGACCCAUCAUGUAUAAGGGAAGGUUAUGUAGGGCCUCGCAAAGCAGAAGAUUGUUAUUUGUGAAUGUGAUUUUUAUAUAAUAUACAUGUGCCUCUUGGCCAAGUAUGGGUAUAUUUUCACCCUUUGUCCCCUCUUUGACUAUAUUAAAAUAAGACGCCUCAAGGUUGGCUUGAGCAGUCUUUGCAAGAAACCAACUUGGUAAGAAUUCUUUCAAAGUUACUGGACAUUGUGGUUUUUGGUGGUGAAGCUCUUUCACCCUUGUCUUCUUUGGAAGUUCAACCAACUUCUGUUUCUUUGGUUUCUUUACCAUACUCUUUCUAUUUGGCUGCUCGGUUGUCUCCUUUCAUAGACUCAUCUUUUUGCGUCUAUGCCUGGUCACCAGAGUCCAACCUUCACCAUCACCUUCGUCAACUGAAGACCUGUAAGGCUCUAAUAUUUUCUUAUUAUGCUCUUUGACACAUAUUUAGACUGAGUCGAGCGAGCCAAAAAUGAUCGAGAUUUGAUGAGAACUGGUUGUCUCAUCGUCGAAGAAGAUCUUCUUCUCACUUUUUAAUUGCAUAACUUUUUCUUUAAAGACAAAUCACUUUUCAAGAGGGUGACUCACAAGCCUGUGGUAUUUGCAAUAAUCAGGGUCGUUGUUCCUUUCGACUUCGUUAGGUCACUUCAUCUCUGGGAGUCCAAUGAUCUUAUGCUCAAGGAGUUCAUCAAAAAUCUCAGCAACAUCAGAAUCAAGGAAGGGAUAUUCCUUUUCUUGCAUCUCCUUUAAAGUUUUCUGAUUUGAACGUGCUCUAGAAGUCGUCUUCACACUUUUCUUUUUGCUCAGUGGUGACCUUCACAGGAUACACAUCAAUAUUCAUGGACUCCUUGUUGUCAUUUUUGGGGACAAACUUGCCCCAUCUUUUAGGUUCCUGCUUAUCCUUUCCCCUUUGAGAGUCAUGGAUAGGCGUUGCUCCCUUUCCAGUAGAAGGCAUGCUCAACUCUAUAUCAUGAGCAUGGGUAGGUAGCUCUUUAAAGGAUUUAGGCUUAAUGCCUUGUAAGAUAUAGAAGCUCCCAGUGCAUUCCUUGUACUCACAUCUCUAUUGCAGAAGCUUUGUUGAUCCUAUCUUUGAAGUUUUGGCUAGCAUUUCUCUAUCGAGUGAUGAAGUCAAUGACUGGUUCAUCCUUUCUUUGCCGAGUAUUUGUGAUCUUUACCAUGCUCACUGUACACCUUGUGCUAUAAAAGCAAUUUAGGAACUCGUGCUCCAAUUGCUUCCAACUAUCGAUUGAAUUAGGAUCAAGGUCCGUAUACCAAUCAAAGGCAUUUUCCUUUAGGGAACAAACAAAUUAUUUGACAAGAUAAUCACCAUAAGUUCCAGCAUUGUUACAUAUCUCAACAAAGUGUGCGACAUGUUGUUUUGUGUUCCCUUUGCCCUCAAAUUAUUUAAAUUUGGGGGUUGAUAGCCGGUAGGCAUUUUGAGGCUAUCUAUCCUCGCAAUGUAGGACUUGCAUACGUAAGGGAAUAUUUGGUGACAUUAUCAUACUUGUCUUUGAGGGUCCCCUCAAUGAAGUCCCUCAAUUGCCCAAUCGGGAUCAUUCCCUCAAAAGAGACUUGUACUUUUUUAGUCGGUGAUGUUUGUUUCAUAGGAUUUUCUAUCUCAUGAACCUCUGGAGAUUUUCCAGGUGCAUGGCUAGACUCUCCGUCUAUCAGACCCUCCAACCUAUCCAUUAUCUUAUCAAUUCAAGCAUCUUGAUUCUGAACAUAUUUGGUCAGGCCCUGAAUCGUCUUUGCCAAAUUCGCAAGUUGCUCCUCCAUAGAUGAGGCAUCAGUCACAAUCGCUUACAUAAUCACUGGAGAUAUCGGAGAGUAGCAGGGAUUACCGCACAAGUUAAUCUUUGAAGUGCUCAAUUUAUGCGGUGUAGUCAGAGAUGAUGAGUUGCUUGAACGAUCAUCACUCUUUGCGCCAGAGUGUUUAGAACCAGAAUGCUCAAGUAGAGCUAGAUUCUUUGUAGAUAUCUAAUUUUGUCCCUCCCGAAACCCAUUUUAUUCAUUUUUACCCCACGUUACCAUACAUCCUUACCCAUGUGAUUAUACCCCACAAAAAUACAAAAAAUAACAAAUCCCAAACCAACCAACCUUAUCCAAAAGAUUCUUGUGAUAAUUAAUUAACACACCUCCCUAUCAAUUUUUGACAACACAUCACCCACCUCACCACCCCUACCCCUACCCUUUAACCCCACCUUCACAUUUCUUUUCCAAGAGAAAGUUAAAAGAGUAUAAAAAUAGAGAACCCAAGAGAAUAGAGAGGUUCAAUUUUUAUUCCAGGGAAUUACGAAUAAAAAUAUACACCUCACAGCAUAUACACAUCACUCACACCCACACCAUCCAUGAAUUCUCCAUCAUCUUUCACUUUUUACUCAUAGAAACUCACACAGAAUACACUUACACCAUAGAAAUGGCUUCUUCUCCACAAUACACUGAUUCACACACUAUAACUCAUACAAACAGAGUAUGUAUACACAGUGUUGAGAGAGAUCGAUUGAGAGAGGUAGAGAGAAAAUAGAGAACUGAGGGAGGAAGAGAAAUAGAGCAUCGAGAAAAGAGAGAAACUGUUAGAGAGAUAGAGAAAAGUGAUAAAAACGGGGAGAGAAAGAGAGAGAAAAGGGUCAACGGGGCUAGAAAUUUAUUUGUAUCCUUCGAUUUCCUCCAGCGCCGAGCUCGUCGAAGCUCCGGUGAAAUGCUAGCAAUGACCCAUCUCCCUCCCAUUACCAAACCCAUCGAAAAACAGAACCUCCUCACCGGAUUCAAUGCUGUUUUAAACUCAAAAUUGAUUGGGAAUUUGGAUUCAAAAACUGGGUUUGAUUCGAGUCGGAUUUUGAAUUUCGUUGUGGUUUCAAAUCGAUCGUUCUUAUUCAGGUUGAUUCCGACAAGGUUCCAUCGAAAUUGCAUAUCGUUUUAUUGUCUGUUCUCUUUCACAAUUUGGUUUCGGUUGUUCGGGUAUAGCUUCGGCUUUGAUUUCUGAUACUAAGUUGGAUUCGAGCUUGUCAUUGAGCUUUUCUGAUUUGGGAUUCUUCGGCACGUGGAUUCAUCUUCUCGAUGGACUGGUAUUUGGAAUAAAAUCAUCAUUGAGGUUCAUUUCUACUUUUUCCCUCUUUUUAUUUCAUUGUUGAUAGAAUAUGGUGCAUUAGAUGGAAUCCCGUGUGUUGUUUGAUCUUGAUUGGUGAUGAAUUGCUACUUUGAUAUUGACUUGUUGCUUAAUUUCAUUAAAGAGUGGUUGUGGAUUGUUGAAAUAGAAAUCGUGAAUUGGGGAAAUUUAGUGUUAAAGGGAAGUUGGGGCGGAAUUGAGAAAUUGAUAAAAUAGUGAAUUUAGAUUAACUUUGGUUUAUUAUUUUUUUUCGAAAUGAGCAUGAAUAUUGCUGGAACGUGAUAGAAUUAUGAUAUAUUGAUAUGUUUAAACAGAUAGGCAAAUAUAGGUUCAGGUAGGCAAAAAAUUAGGAAUUAGUGUUUUCGUUGAAUGUUUGAAUAUGAAAUAUUUUGCUGAAUGUUUGAAUGUACGUGUGAAUAUUUAUUUCUAGUUUAUCGCAUUUGAUUCAAGUGUAUUCAUUUGGCAGGGGAAUGCCCCGAGGUUUCAUGUAUUAAUUCACCGGGGAAUGCCCCGACAUAUUAUGUCUUUGAAGGAGGUUCGUGAUCAAAGAUCGAGGCAUCGGGUAAAGUACUGGAGCCUAGUUUAGGAUUAGUUUAGAAUAGCGUAGGUUUAUAUUUUUUGCAUUUUUCAUUUUUCGGGACUGUACAAGUGGACUGGACACUAAAUUUUGGAUUGUUUUGUUUUAUUUGCUUGAUUGAUCAUUUUAUGUGUUUUAGUGUGGUUUAUACAUACGUAGUGUCAAAAUAGCCUAUAUGCUCCACCAAGCGACCAUGGUCGAACCACGGGAUCGAGGGGUGCCUAACACCUUUCCCUCGGUCAACAAAAUUUCUUAACCAGAAUCUCUGUUCCUAGAUCAGUUUUCAGAAUCAAACUAUUUUGAAAAGGACCUUUCAAAGAUGACUUGGCACACCAGAUUAUGUCAAGUGGCGACUCUGAAUAAAAAAUGUAAAUAAUCCUUUUUCAAAAUAAAUUUUCAAUCUUUUGUCACUUUAACAAUAAAAAUCCUUUCGAAACUUAAAAUGAUCUUUUUGGAGUUGAAAAGGGGGUGUGACAGUCUUCUUAAGAGAUUUCGCCACACUGUUUCCUCCUUUCGAAGAACUUGUAUUGGACUUCAUUCCUUUUGGAGUUGAAGAUCCAAAAACUGGAGUUGGUGCGGACGACACUGGAUGUGUUUGUUAUCCUAGCAAGCCUGCCUUGCUCCUUGUGACAGCUCCUAAGCUUCCGAAAGUAACACCAAGGAUGCUCUCUAUUUUAGCAGAGAACUUUGAGUCAGCAGCCUUGGAAGCAGUUGAUUGAGAGUUGACCUUCUUGGAAGUCAUUUCAGUGUUGUUGAACUUUGCAGUUGGAAAAGUUAAGAUGAGAGGUAGAGAUUAUCCCACUGGGUAUGCCAGAAUUUAUUGGACUAUAAAAUUCUCGAGUUGGAAAAAUAAAUAAUUGAGGCAAGAAAAAUACUGCAACAAUCGAUUUAUUGAUUUUAAUAUGUGAGUGUUACAAUCUCUAUGAAUCCUCUAAUUCGCCUUUUCAAAUAUAAAUUCAAGGGCUUGAAGUUUGAUCUUGAAUUUGAACUUGAUUUGUUGAUUUAAGGGACUUGAUCUUGACUUGUGCUUGAAUUCAAGGGCUUUUGAGCUUGUUCUUGAAUAUUGCGGUCUUAAUCUUGAAUCUUGAUGAACUUGAUUUGAAUGCUUGAUAUUUUUAGAGAAAUCGUAGCGUUUGAUCCACGAGCUUUCUCUUGCUACUUGUUAGAGUUUUGGGGGUUCUUUUCUGAAUUAUGAGACCCCUAUUUAUAGUUGUAGAAAAGGAAGAGUCAUGAUGAAUAUGGACUUCCUUUGAUCAAUCAAAUUUAAGUGAUGUGGCGCCUUUUUAUGGGCUUUUAUUUCAUGGGUCUGCUGCAUCAUUUUGACAUGUGGCAUGGUCCUAUUGACUCCUUCACUUGACUUGGUAUGCCAUGUCAUUUGACAUGUGGCGCUUAUUUGGGCCUCUAAAUAUGACAAUAUCUUGGACUUAGUAAAGUGGGUUCAUCAUUUGUAGUCCAAAUCAAUGGGCUAGCCCAAUAAAAAUUGGACUUUAAUUAAACCCAUAUAUGUUUGAACUUAAAUAAUUAAUUUGAUUAUAUUAAUCCAUAAUAUUUAUUUGGGACUAAUAUAUUUUGAAUUUAAUAUAAUCCAAAUUUUGUACGGAUUUAAAUUUAAUAAAAUUACAUCGCCCACAACUAUACUCAACAAAUUCAGUUCAAUUGGAUGGAUUAACUCCAGGUGAUGAAAUAUGUAGUUUUUUUAUAUUUUGUUGUUAUAGUUUUUUAAUAUGAUAUAUUUAUUAACAAUAUAACUCAUUGUAAGUAAAAGAUUCAAAUGAAUUCUUGCAUAUUGUUAUCGAUGGAGUUAAAAGAUUUGUUGUAUGCCUACGAAGUAGAAAAUGUAGUUGUGGUUGAUUCUAAUUAGAUGAGAUACCAUUCUCUUAUGCAAUGACUGUUAUUAUAUAUCGAAACCAACAUGGAGAGGGUUAUUGCUCUGCGUACUACAACAAUAAAAAUUUUAAAGAUGCUUAUGCAAUACCAGUGGAACCUCUUCUUUAUGAAAGUACAUGGAGUAUACCUUAAGAAGUGUUGGAUGAAAUUAUUUUACCACCUGAUUCUAAAAGACCACCCGGAUGACCAUAUGUUGAGAGAUGAAAAGCACCGAACAAAGAAAAGUGUAAAAGAGCUAAGAUGACAUGUAGUAGCUGUCACAGAGAGGGAUACAACAGAAAAACAUGCCAUAAACAUGUGCCAACAGUUUAAUAAGAUUUUUUUUCUUUUUUAACUUUUUCAAGUAUCAUUUCGUUAUGUAUCUUGAAGUGUUUAAUAAAUAAAGCAACUUAUCUUUUGUUUAAUAUUUUGUGCUCAUUUUUCAACUUUAUAUUCAGACUUUUUUAUGACUUGUUAUGUAAACAUAUAUACGCUGUCAAAGAAGUAGCACUAAAUACAUGUAAUAUUAAAAUUUAAUUUUUAUAUAUGAUAUAUUAUAUCAAUUAAAAAUUAUAUUUAUAUACAAUAUAUAUUGUACAAUAUAAUAAAACCUAUGUAAUCAUAAAAAAUAUUACAAAAGACCAUAAAAAUCAUAAAAUGAAAAAUGUUACUAAUUGCAGAAUCCAAAAACAUAUAUGUAGUUGAUAUUAAAAUUAAUACCAUCUGACGCAAACUUAAUUGAUAUCAAAUUCAUUCAAUGAUAUGAAAUAUGAAACAACUGUCAAAUUAACAUAACACUAAAUAAAAUACUGCUUAAAUAUCAAAACUAAACUUCUUUCAUAACAAGAAUCAUAGAAAGACAACAGUCAUGAGCACCAAAAAAUAUUAAAAUACAUUAUUCAUGCCUAUGUAUGCCUUGUUUUAUUAGGGACAAUGGAACUAACAAUGUCUCUCAAAAUUUUUGGACCGCCGUCAGUCACCUAAUUUCACUUAUGCACCAUCAUCUUGCUUUUUUCGAGCUUAAUCCCAAAGUAACGCACCAUAUCUCAUACGAUGGUUGAAAGAAUUGAACUUGUUGAUUGAAAUAUGAAACACACCAUGAUUGACAAACUCAGCAAAGGCGCAAAUGCCUAUUAUAGUACUGCCCCAGUAAGAAGUUAGUGAGGUGCCGCUACAGCUUGGAUUAUAGUAGAAUAAGAGGAGCCGUCUUAGGAAAUGACUUAACUUAAAAGACAGAUGCCGCCGCUGCGAGGCGAGGGAGCAACUUGUCUGGUCUUGCGGUGCACUCAUUCCCGUUACGAGAAUGAAAUGACGCCCCAGCUUGACUCGAGACCAAGACUCCUUACAACUCGCACCAAUAGCGGCACUGAGCGGCCAGAUAUUGAUUGAAAAGGCAUGCAUACAUACUGCAAUCACUGUAAAAACAGUAACCAAAAAAAUUAGGCAUAAUACAUAAAUAUGACCCUAAACUUGACACCAAAUUAUAACUUUAACCUUAAACUUUGAUAGUGCAUAAAUAACACCUUUAACUAUUCAAAACCUGAACAAAUAUGACCUCCGAUUUUGCAACCUCCAUGCGUGAGUUUUACUUACGCCUACGUGGAUAUGUAAUCCAAUCAUAUGGUGCCACAUCAUUAAAAGGCCUGACUGGGAGGACUUUUGAUCUAGAGCUUAAAGCGACAUCGUUUUGCUUCUAUAAGUUAAAACAACGUCGUUUUGCUUAUUAUUAUUAUUAUUAUUAUUAUUAUUAUUAUUAUUAUUAUUAUUAUUAUUAUUAUUAUUAUUAUUAUUAUUAUUAUUAUACUUUUUUUUUUUGUUUAAAUCACCCGGUGUUCGAUACCCACUUUUUAGGAGUCCGAUUAUAUUCGGAUUCGCCCUGCGUCGAGCCCUAUUUAGGGGGAGAGCUCCCAACAGAUUAUUUGUCCAUACCCAGGGUCGAACCCUCAAUCUCUGGGUAAGUUGGGGCAGCCCCUUUCCGCUGUUGGUUAUUAUUCUACUACUACUAUUUCUACAUAUUACGUACUACUAUUGCUUCUAUCAAUAUACCACUACUACUACGACGACUAAUUAUUAUUAUUAUUAAUAACAAUAUUUAAAUAAAAAAAUUCAUCUUAACAACGUUUUAAUAACGUUAAUUUGAUAUACUACUACUACUGCCCUUAAUAACGUUUUCUUAAUAAAGGUUUAAUAAAGUUAAUAUAAUAACGUUAAUUUAAUAUACUACUACUACUGCCCUUAACAACCUUUUAGUAACGUUAAUUUAAUAAUGUUUUAAUAACAUUAAUUUAAUAAUAUUUUAAUAAUAUUAAUUUAAUAACGUUAAUUUAAUAACGUUAAUUUAAUAAAGUUUUAUUAAAACUAUAAUUUUUUUAUUUAUUUUUAGUAUAGUUUCAUCUUUGAGCUGAAAAUAAUGAAAAAAUAAUAGUGAAAAGUCAUUUAAAUAUAUAAAAAGGAAUUAGUAAGGGCAUAAUAGUCAUUUAUCCUUUUUUUAUUGUUGGAACGCUCAAAUUUUUAGCCCAACGCGCCCAGUUUUGCUUGUACAACACGCGUUUUGCCACAUAGGAUCGGAGGUCAUAUUUGUGCAAUUUUGAAUAGUUAAAGGUCAUAUUUGUGCACUAUCAAAGUUUAAGGUCAAAGUUAUAAUUUGAUGAGGGUCAUAUUUAUGUAUUAUGCCAAAAAAUUACGCACAGUUAUAUAUACAAAAGAUAAUAUAUAUAUUUUUUUAAAUAGACGUAAUUAGAUUGUGGAGCAUUUUGGAAAGCGUCCGUCACAAUAACAUCAAAAUAACACCAAUCAGAUAAUUUUUAUAUUAAUAUACUUUUUCACUUUUUAAAGAAUGUGUUACUAUAUCAAAAAUCAUAUAAUUUUUAUAAAUAAUUUAUACAAUCUGUAAAAAAAAAAUCAAAAAUCAAAUAAUUUUUAGAGACAAAAAAAAUAACUACACCAAAUAACAAAAACUUCGCAUGCAUUGAUAUUUCAAAGAAUCUACAAACACAAUAUGAAAAAUUAUACAAUUGUUUUUAAAAAAAUGUCCAACAAUGAUAAAAAUCAAACAAUUUUUAUAAAAAGAAAACAUCAUACAAACUGUUAAAAAAAAACUCAAACAAUUUUUACAUACACAACAAAUACCUUGCAAAUUUUUCAAGAUUUCUUAGAAUUCAAGACUUUACUUAGAAUUCACAUGAAAUUUGAAAAGAAAGAAACACUUUUAGAAAUAUUGUAUCAACAAAACUCAUAUUAGAUAAGAAUGAAUGAGAUGAGUAAAGAAAUAUAUUAACAAAGGUAAACCCCAGUUUUUUCUUCAAGAAAUAAUUUUCAACCCCAUUUUUUUCUUCAAGAAAUAAUUUGAGUGUGUAAAUGGAGAACAAACGUACUUUGGGAAUGAAAGUAGAAGAAACGUGUUUAAGUAAAAAAAGAGUAUUCUUUAAUAAAAGUAAUUUCUGAAAGGUGUAAAACCUCUUGAAUAGAUUAAUAUAGGGAUGAUGAAUGAAGAUAUUUAUUUAUACCACAAUAUACUCUUACCAUAAUUAUCAACACACUUUAAGGGGAAAGUGAAUGCUAUCCUAUAAAAAGGGAAUUGAUUUGAUUGUAUAAAAUAUAAAACUAAAUUUUGUAAAUAAAAUAAAAUAAAUAUAUAUUUUAAAAAGUUGUUAUAACUUACAAUUAAAAAUUUAUUAAUGCAAUUAUCUAACGGUGUUACUAUAACUUGUAAUUUCCAAUCUAAUAAUUGUAUAAAGGAUAAUUUUCACUGAAACAAAUAAGUGGAACCAAAAAUAUAACAUAAGUUCAAAACUCAAAAUAAAAUAGCUAACAUAAUACUCUAAUGUCAAAUUCAACUCAAUGUAUAUAACUAUAAAUCAAAAGAAAAGAAAAACAUAAGUCGUCGACCUUAUUCAACAAUAAAUUCUACUUUAAUUUAAAAAUUUAAAUACUAACACAAUUAUGUUAAAUGAAAAAUAAACAUAAAAAUAAAAUAAAAUAGAUAAUGCAAACAACUGCAUGAAAUCACAAAAAGUAAAAGUUAGAGAAAUACACUAUAAGGAAAUGAAAUACAGAUAAUAUAAAUUAAAAUUUUAUUUUUAUAGAAAUAUUGAAAUAAUAAUAAAAAAUUAAUAGAAAUCAAAAUAAAUUAAAAUGAAAAUAAACUAAAAUAAAAAGAAGUAAGAAACUAAAAAGUAACUUAUAAUUACACUAUGUAACUGUCUGUAAUUCACAGCUUGAGAAUUGAAUAGUGUACUUAUUCCUACCAAUAAUAUUUAAUUAUCUGUUAAUUAAAUAAUUAUUUGAUCAGUUAAAUAAAUUAAAUAAUGUAAUUACACCUCUUAGGUCAAAUCUAAUUCUCAAGGUGGUUUUUUAAACAGAAAGUAAAAGAAAUUUAAUUUUGAAUCAAAGGGUCAAAUUUUUAUUUGAUUAAAGUCAAAGGGUGCCUCGGCUGCGCUUUGUCACUUGCUAUUAACGGCCUUUGGCAUAACGAAGGAACCAACUACCAAUAUUAACAUGCAAUUUUCUAAAAGCAGAAUACAAAAAUUUUACCCUACUUGAUAUCAAAUUAUAACUUUGACCUUGAACUUUGAUCGUGCAUAAUAGGAUCUUUAACUAUUCAAAACUUGAACAAAUAUGACCUCCGAUUUUGCAAUCCUAUGCGUAAUUUCACUCGCGCCUACGUGGAAAGGUAAUCCAAUCACACGGUGCCACAUCGUUAAAAGGGCUGACUUGGAGGGAGAUCAUAUUUGUACAGUUUUAAAUAGUUAAAGGUUAUAUUUGUGCACUGUCAAAAUUUUAUUUUUUGUGUUAAAACGAUGUCGUUAUUAUUAUUAUUAUUAUUAUUAUUAUUAUUAUUAUUAUUAUUANNNNNNNNNNNNNNNNNNNNNNNNNNNNNNNNNNNNNNNNNNNNNNNNNNNNNNNNNNNNNNNNNNNNNNNNNNNNNNNNNNNNNNNNNNCACUAUAGCAGCAACACCUAACUUUUUUUUUAUUAAAAAAAAAAAAACCACUAGCAGGGAUCAAACCCACGCAGUAGACUAAAAGAAGCGCCCAAGAAGAGCAAUUAACACCACUGGGUUAUCUAAGUACCUUGUUUCAUGUGGUUCAACAUUAAUAUACGUACAUAAAUAUAGAUUUUCUACCUUAUAUAUACAACGUAAUUUUUUUACCGAAGGGGUUCAAGUGAACCCCAUGGCAAUCACGUAGGUCCUCCCUUGCGUUAAUUUAAUAACAUUUUAAUAACGUUAAUUUAAUAUACUACUACUACUAUCCUUAAUAACGUUUUAUUAAAACUAUAAUUUUUUAUUAUUAGUAUAGUUUCAUAUUUAAUUUAAUAUUUAAAUAAAUUAUAUUUAGAUAUAUUAUAUAACUUAAAUUCGCCCUCUGCUUUAUAAUAUAUAUACAUAUCCGCGCGAUUUUUCGUAUGAGGUUGAUCCACCUAAUUAAUAAAUCUUCAAUAUUUCUCUUUUCCCGCAAUGACAAAAAUAAAUUAGAUGCCAUUUUCAUCUUUGAGCCAAAAAUAAUGAAAAAAUAAUACUGAAAAGUCAUGUAAAGGUCAUAUUUGUGCAGUUUUGAAUAGUUAAAGGUCAUAUUAGUGCACUGUUAAAGUUUAAGAUCAAAGUUAUAAUUUGUUGUCAAGUUUAGGGUCAUAUUUAUGUAUUAUGCCCUUAGAUUUUAAGCUGGACACGCCCAAUUUUGCGUGUUGAACACGCGUUUUGCCACAUAAAAUCAGAGGUCAUAUUUGUACAGUUUUGAAUAGUUAAAGGUCAUAUUUGUGCACUGUCAAAGUUUAAGGUCAAAGUUAUAAUUUAGUGUCAAGUUUAGGGUCAUAUUUAUGUAUUAUCUCUUUUCUAAAUAAUACAUCUUGUUGUUAGAUCCCAAAUUUAUCUUUUGAUCCAUUAUAUUCUAACUAAUAAUAGGAGGGAUAAGCAGACAACAGAUCGACAUGUCUGUUAUCAUUGUCUUCUUUAGUUGAUUUAAUUGUAAUUUUAUUAUAUCACUUCUAAUUUAUUAUUAUAAGUUACGAAUAAAAAACUUAAUGUAAUAUUUAAUAUAAAAAAUUAAAAUGGACAUUUCUGUUAUGUCUGCUUCAACUGCUUCAAUCGUGAUUUUAUUAUAUCAUUUUAAAUUUAUUAUUAUAACCAUCUAAGUAUUAAAAAAUUAAUUAUAGGGAAUAAGCACACAACAGGUUGACAUGUCUGCUUGUGUUGUAUGAUUCAGUUGCUUCAGCCAUGAUUUUACUAUAUCACCUUUGAUUAAUUAUUAUAAGUCAUUUACGUAUUCGAGAAUUAAUAAAUAUUUAAUAAAAAAGUAAAAUAGACAUUUCUGACAAGUCUACUUCAGCUCCUUCAGCCGUAAUCUUACUAUAUCACUACUAAUUAAUUAUUAUAAGUUAUUUAAAUAUUAAAAAAUUACUAAUAUUUAAUUAAAAAAUAAAUUGGACAUAAAAUGAUAAAUUAACUCUUGAUGUUUUAAAUUAACUUGAUGUCUUAUAUGAAACCCACUUAAAUUUUUCUCACAUAUAUUUUUUAUAGUAAUUUUUUUUUGGUUUCCCAAGGUAUCCCCACAGCCGUGAGACUAAUCCUCCGUUCCUCGGUCAGCACAUUUUGCGGUAGGGAACUGGCCACAAAGUUUUCUCCAUUCGCCAAAGGUGGGGAUCGAAUCCCCGACCUCUUUGCUUAAGGGACAUAGCGCUAAACCACUGUUCCAACUCUGGUGGUUAUAGUAAUAUUGUUAUAUCACUUCUAAUUAAUUAUUAUAAGUCAUUUAAGACAUGUCUUCUCCGCUGCUUCAAUUGUGAUGUUACUAUAUCACCCUUAAUUAAUUAUUACGAUCAUCUAAGUAUUAAAAUAUUUAAUAAUAUUUUAUAAAACAAUAGACACAAAAUGAUAUGUCAACAUACAAAUUUAAUUUGACUAUUAAAAGUAUAUUAAUGUCACAUAAAUUGAGAUGAUACAAAGGAAGAUAUAAAAUAACAUAUAUUACUUAAAAAUGAGAUAAAAAAUAUUGUAAGUCACAAUAAUUAAGUACUUAAUAAAUAUAUAUAUAUAUAUAUAUAUAUAUAUAUAAUUGAUUGUCUGUCGAAAAUUUAUUUGUGUCACAUAAAUUAGAACGAAGAAAGUAUUCGUAUCUUAUUGAAAAAUUAUGUAAAAAAGCAAAAUAAAUCACACAAUAAACAACUUACAAAAAUUUAAAGAUAUAAAAUAUUUGGCUAAAUCUCAAAAUUAUAUCAGUGUCACUUAAAUUGAAAUAGAAGAAAAAAAUAUUAUAAAUCACAAUAAUAAUAAAUUUAAAUUAUUUUAAUGAUUGAUUAUCUAAAUUCUACGGCGUGUAGUGAUUCAUUUCAUUGCUAUGAAUAAUUAUUCAUGGAUUUUCGUAUACUCAUUUUCUAUACUGCUUUGAACUAUUUAUUUUUUAGUUGAGAGUCUAUAAGAAAUGGUUUCUCUACCUUCAAGGCACAAAUAAAAUCUACAUACAUUCUAUCCUCUCCAGACUUCACUGGAAAGUUAUGUUAUUAUUGUUGAAUUCUUAUAUAAUCUAUUUUUAUGAAACUAAAUUCUUUAUCUAUUUGCUCAGUUUCAAUGAGGAAAGAAUGACCUCAUUUGGCCUCUUUAUAUAUAUAAGAGACUUAGAGGCAUGCUGAUAUGGCAUGCCUCAAUGAUCAACAAACAUAUUUAUCUUUUUCCUAGUUUUUUGAGUUAUUUUUUUCAAUUCAAUUCAUUACCGUCUAUUUUUCUAAUUAAUAAAUCCAUUAAUUAUCUUUUAUCAUUAGUACUAUUAACCCACAAAAACCCUCCAUCUUUCGCAUUUUUUCCUACUCACGGCUUUUCUUAAUUACACCGUUUUGGAGGAAUUAAUUGAUCUACAGAAAAACAUAAAAAUGAUUUAAAAGAUAAAAUAUUACUCAUCGGAGUUUGCUAUUAUGCGUCAUUCGUGCUUUAUCUUAGUCGAAAAUGGGCGGUACAGGCGAAAACGGAAACAGAAGAGAAAGAGGGAUACAACCAUCGGGUGUGGCGAAGGCGCUGUACUCGACGUCAAGCAUUUCGGUAUGGUGGGAUAUAUAAUACUAUCAAGUAUCUAGAAAAUUUGAUCCUCAUGCGAUAGCGCAGAAUAUAAGUAUGCACUUGUGAAAUGAAUUACUGUGGACCUAUUUCAAUUUUUACUUGCGGUGAUACGAAUAAGAUCUCUGUAUCUAUUCAACAUGCACUUAAUAGUACUAGAAUUGGACUUGAUCAUGCUCUUGCAGGUAUAAUUUACAGUUUUUUUUUUCCUGUUUUUAUGGUUGUUAAUUUGUACAAUUUUGGUGAAAUGACUGAAUUUUGAUUGAUUUGAUGUGUCGUUGAGUCGAUCUAUGCAUAAAAGCUGAUUUUUCUGUUAUUGAAUAGGAUGGUUAGAUCUAUUUUAGAUCGAAGGUUGUAAUUAUUUUGGUGUUCGAUUUCUUUCUCCUUGCUGGCUGUUAUUUUUCAAACUCAAAUUCUCACUGCGUUUGUUUUGUGACAAAUGUUGGAUUUUGAUUUUUCAAAAGUUAUGGAUAUAACUAAUGACGGAGAAUCCUUUGCAACACGAGUUGUUGGAACCUAUGGUUAUGUAGCUUCGAAGUAAGCAACAUAACCAAUAAUAAGCAAUAUCACGAACUGAAAUUUCUCUCUGAUUUUCUUUGUUUCUCUUUCUGCGUAUGUAUUUGGUGUUAUUUUCUUGUGUAAUCAGAGAUCUUUUCGGUUAAAAUGCUAAUAAAUACUUGCUAGACGUAUGUGACGAACUUGAUGUAUAUGUCUGCCACUUCAUACCACAACACGAUUACCCGAUAAGGUCAUUUCCUUCCUUGCCAAUGCAUAUUGUUGUCAUUCCUAUAUUGUAUUUUUUGAGAUGAAUAGCAUGUCUAUUGAGGUAUUAAUAUCUAUGUGAUUGUUCUCCAGUUAGUUGCUCAUUUUGUUAAAGUAGACCUCAUAAAUCCCACUUUUAUUAUCAACCAUCCUUAGAUCAUCCACUGACAAAACCACACAGAUCAGAACCUAAUUUGACUGAAUGUUUCGAGUUUUGUCUUCAGUCAAUCCGUCACUUAAAGAAAAAAAAAACUACGAACUACAAAUUUUUAUUUCGAGGUUCUUUUCUGUCAGGUUCACGGUUGUAACAAGGACCUGAGCUCCUGAAAAGACUAUCACAGAAGACACAAAGUAUGUAAUGAACACUCAAAAACUGCUAUAGUCAUCGUUAAUGUAAUUGAGCAAAGGUUUUUUCAGCAGUGUAAUAGGUAUGGUCUAACUCAUCGUUGCUCCUCUUGUCAUGUAAUAAAAUUCAUAGAUUGCAUUCCUUAUUUCCGACUAGCAAAUAGAAGUAGAACUGAAUUUUUGUGUAUGUUAAAUGAACAUAGAAAAUUGUUGAUUUAACUUUUAAAAAAUCAAGUGUUAAGCUUACUCCAUGUAUUUCACAGUCUUAUUCUGCAAAAAAAAUGACUCCUAGAGACGUUUGGGGGAUUAUUUAACAGCUUGGAGUAUGCUUGAUUUGAUACAUCUGUUUUAGACUUAAGUAUUUUCUUAAGUUUAAAGUAGAAAAUCAUUUCUCGGUUUAGAGAUUAGGAUUUGAACUUUAUGGGUUCAGGGUUUCAAAUUCUACCACACAUAUUCGAAAUAAUGGGAUUGGAAUCCAUUAUUUGUACUUUAGUAGAUCUUUAACACAUAUACAGGGUCCAAAGCUAUUGGAUUAUAAUGAAUCCAAAACUUGUACACUAAGUCUAACACUGUCUCUGUUUAAAUCAAGCACCCAACACUCUCCAGUGCAUGACAUUUUAUUACAACAUGUUAUUAUAAAUGCAGCUUCUAUCAUGAAAAGUAUUUGUUUGACUUCUUAUGCUUAUGUAGAUGUUGAAAUCCCUUUGACUUCUUCGUGUGUUUUAUUCUUUAUAUUUUGCAAUCCUUAGUGAAAGUAUUGUCUACGCUACUACUUAAGAGGUGUUUUAAUUUAAACACACAGAAUGAGAGUCUGGAGACAGGUACUUAGAAAGUUGGACUGCAAUAAGGUUUCAAACCUUACAUAAUCAACCCUAGCUUCAAAUAAGUCAAGAGUGAGGCUUGAAGCCUUGAAAUUUACUUACUUGCGAGUUAUUUAUUCACAUCAAUCGUGUCCAUUCAUUGUUGGUAGUUUUAAACUUCUUCCAAAUCUGUUAAGUACAGGAAAAUGCAACCAACACAAGAACAGUUCAAUGAAAUAUCCCUUUUCUCUACUAAAUGCAGGAAAAGAGAUGCAACGAGUGAGGACCGUAAAUGUUUUGGGAAAAUCUUCCCCUUUGCAUACUUAAGCCUGACUCCAGUUCCAUUGGUCUCGACGAAGAAAUGAUGAGCAUGACGCUAAUGGCAAUAGUUCAUGUUGCACUGAUGCAAUGCCUAUUUUCAGCCUUCUACUCCACGGGGUACAAGAUCUUUACUGGAGACUGUUGGGCUUUGGCUUCCUUAGACAUUGAUAGUCUCUUUUUAUUGUUAUAGUGAGGUUUUUUCUUUGAUUAGCUUAGCCCUCUAAAGAUCAAGAAGUUAUCAAACAUUGUACUUUGGUAUUUCUUUUGGGUAUAAGCCAUUCAUACUAGCUGUACAUUUUUCCUCCAUCUAUAUAUUUGAACUUUCCUUUCACUUUUUUUUUAAAAAAAUAUCAUUGAGGCAUGCCACAUCAACAUUCCUCUAAGUCUCUUUUAUAUAUAUACUAGUUUCACGAGGCCCGUGUUAAGCCCGGGCCCAAACUCAAAAUAUAAAAGUAAUAAUUAAAAUCUUAAAAUAUAAUUUAUAUCAUACUAUUUUUUUACUUUAUAAUUAACAUAAUCUAGUGACAAACAUGUUAAACAUGUUUUCUUUGGGUCAAUUUAUUAUCACUAAAUUUAUUAAUCAAAUAAUUGGAUAUUUUUAAAUAAAAUUUUAUUUGUGUGGAAGGAAGUAUUACUGAAGAGUUAGAAUAAAUCAAAAUACCACAAGCAAUUCAAUAUUUUGUAAAAUAACAUGAUUUAAAAUAUGUUAAUAAUUACAAUUCAAUGAAGAUUAUAAAUAUAAAAUAUUGUUAUUUUUAUGAAUUUGUGGAUAUGUAAUUUCUUAAUUAUAGAUAGAAAUAAAUUUAUUUUAGUAUUUAUUGAUUUUUAGUUCAUUCAUAAUUUAAUGUGGCAAAAUUUUUUGAAAAACUCAAUUUUUGUUGUCUUAUACAACAAAAUAUUUCAAUGGCCUCAAGUAUAUAUAAGAAUAGUUACGACCUUAAUUUAGAGCCUUUACUCAAAUUAACUUAAUGAUGACCUAUAAGGAUAUUAAAUAAUAAUUAAAUUAAUAAAUUAUUUCAUUUGGUCCAUUUACUUAUCGUGUUUAUCUUUUACACUCACUAUAAAAGAAUAUUUUAUUCAUCCUCUUUUAACUAUUGAUUAUCCUUUUUCAUGCCCACUGAUUAGAAAAAUAAUAAAAAUAAUGUGUUAUUUAUUAUUUAUUAUGUUACCUUAAUUAUUACAUGAUUUUUAAGAAUUGAACAAUACUAAAAGAAGUAUAAAGGUUCUAAUUGAAAAUUAUUACAAACUUUAUUUUUGUAUUAAAGUUAUUUUGAAAAUAAUUUUUUUUUUUAGUUAAAGUGAUUGUUAAUUUAAAAUAGAGUUUUAAUUAGAAGGUCAUCUAUUAGGUAGCAAGAAGAGACCAAUUACAAGCACACAAGUGGAAAUGAUUCUAACAAAAAUAAUAAGGGCAAAAAUGAAAAUAUUUAACCAAAAACAUCAUCAAUUGCCAUGUGUGAUAACUUAAUUUACUUAACUAAAGAAGUGAAAUACCUAAAAUGCCCUUGUGAGGACUACCAAAAUUUGAGAUUCUCCCUUAUAUAUAGUAGUAAUAGUAAUAUAGAUUACAACAUGCACAAAAAUAAGGUGAAUUUAAUUCUUAAUAACUUGCUUAACAAAUGCUUUUAAACACUGUAAUUGUAAAACUCUAAAAGAAUUUACUUAACUUCUCAAAUGGUAAAUAUAUUAUGAUAGUUUUUUAAUAGGUUCACUAAUAUUUUUAAAUAACCGCACGAAGCACGGAUAAUUUUACUAGUUCUAAAUUAAAGUUGUAUCAAAUUGUAUCAAAAUAUUCUUUAUUCUUGUGGUCUUAAAUAAGUCAUGUAGAAGGUUGGAAUCAAAAUAAAACAACAACAUACCCAAUAUAUUCCAACAAAGUGUGGUCUGGAGAGGAUAAAGUGUAUGUAGUCCAUACCACUACCUCAAAUAAAGUAAAGAGUAUGUUUUCGAUAAACCCCCAACUCAGAAAAGUUGGAACCAAAAUAUUAUCUAAAAAGAAAAGAUCAUUCUUUUUUAAAUAAUAGAAAGUAGAUCGUUCAAAAAAGGAAAAAUAGCUCGGUGGAUCCUUGCACUUGUUCCUGUUUGUAAAGUGGACACUUUACUUAGCCCUUUAUCAUCUGAACCCCUCAACCCAUCAGAAUCCAACAUUUUGACCCCUUCUGACCAUGUGUUUGACUCGCUCUCCUUUAAAAAUUUCACAUCAUCUCCAUGUCAUCGCCAUGUCAUCUCCGCGUCAUCUCCACAUCAUAUAAAUCAAUGGCAUGUCAUAAUAUCUUCAUUAAUUAAUUAUUAAUUAAUAAUAUUAAAUAAAAAAUAAAAUAAAAAAAUAUUUUUUAAAAUAAAAUUCAUCUCCACCAUUAUUUAAAAUAACAAUUUAUAUCAUAUUGAUAUAGCUUAAUCAAUUUAGAAUAUAAAUCAAAAUUUAUAUAUCAUAAAAUUACGAUUCAAAAUCAUAAAAUCUUGUAAUUUAUAUUACAAAAUCAAACACUUAAACAACGAAGAUGAGAUUUUAACUCGAGAUUUCGCUAUAUAUCAUAUAACAAAAAACUUCAACAACAAAAAACUUCAUCUCCAAUAUUAUUUAAAAAAAUCAUCCCUGCCAUUAAAUAAAAAAUAAAAUAAUAAACUAAAAAUUUAUGUUUUAAAAUAAAAUUCAUCUCCACCAUUAUUUAAAAAUUAAAAAUAACAAUUAAUAUAGACCACAUAAUAGAUCCCCGGCAUUAAUCCUGCUCCAACAAUCUAUACUUCAUCAUAAUAGAUCACAAAACAGUAUCUCUAAGCAAUUGUACAACCUAAAGCAACAUUCAAUUCUGUCGUUGAUGUAUAUAUUCAACAAUAGAAUUCAGCAUCUGAUCUCAUAAGAUCAAAAUUAACGCAUUAAAAAAAAUAAAAUCCGAUUUUAUACAGUUCCAAAUUACACAAUAAUGAGAAAUUAAACAUAUAAAUUGUAGAUUUUGGAGUAUAGGAUAAAUUAAUCACCUAAUUAAGGAUGUUGCCGAAAAAUAGUGGACUCGGAGUUGAGAGAAUCGACGGUCAGUCGGAACAAGGUCAAUGCAAUGGGUUAAAUCGUAGGCAAGUGUAAAGAGUUAAAAGUUGCGCAUAAAAAUUGGGGGGUGCUCUUUCUCUGCGGCGGGGGGGGGCACUGGGGUGGUGGUAGUUGUGUUGCUUAGGGAAGGGUGGAAGACGAGGUGGGGAAUGGGGAGGGUGCUAGAUAGGGUGGGGGACGGUGGGGUGGACGAAGUGGGGAAUGAUGGUGGACUGGUGGAUGAGGUAGGGGAUGGUGGAAGGGGAAAUGGGGGGGGGGGUGGGGUGCUAGACGAGGUUGGGGGGAGGGGAUUUUAGAUUUUUUUUAAUUUUUUUAAAUAUUAUAAAUAUUUUUUUAAUCACGUACCCAAAAAAAUGUGUGCAAUCACGCAUUGUCCACCUCAGCAUUUUAAUGCCACAUAUGCAUCAAAAGGGUUUAAAAAAUGAUUUUAAAUAGGUUCAAGGGUCCAUAUGACAAAUGUAUAAGUAGGAGUAUCCACUUUACAAACCAGACCAAGUACAAUGGUCCACCGAGCUAUUUUGCCUUCAAAAAAAGAGGGACUAUUUAACUUUUUGUUGAAAAUCUCUCUUGACCAAGAUAUUUUCCUCCUAUUGUUCCACCUGGGUAUCCCUUUUCCAUCGUAGCACUAAGUUGCUAACUUAGUAAGCAUCUGAUGUGACUAAUACACUGUCAUGAUCUACACCUUGGAAUAGGCUGUUUGGGUUAAGGAAUAAAGACAAAUCUCGCAAACCAUUUGUUAUUAACAUGUUGAUAAAACUUAUUUGAAAUCUAAAGGUAUUUGUCAUAAUACAUAAACGUAUAUUUUAACUUAGCCUCAAUUGGAACAAUAUCCUUUGAUUUUUUAUGUGCACAAGUAGACACUUAAAUUUGUAUAAAUUAAAUAAGUAGACGUGUGUGUCCUGUGUGGCAUAAUACAUGUAGGAUUGCACAUAGGAUGCCACAAAACUAGAGUCCGAAGCUAAAAGGAGCACUUUUUCAGGUCUAGAAGUGAAAAUGGGCAGUUCUAUUUUUUAUGUACCAAAACAGACAGUUUGCCCCAAAAUGGACAAACUACAACUAACACUGUUUGUGAACGUUUGGGAAGGGAAAUCAAUGUUAAUAGGAUUUGCCUGAAUAUGGGCAAACAACAUUUUCAUUAAAAAAAUUUUAACAGUUUGCCCAUUUGUGGGCAAAUAGGCAAAUGGGGCACCUACGUAUCUCAUUGAAGCAGGAAUUAGGUCAAACAUAGUUCAGGAAUACGCUAGGGGUAUAUAGAAAAAUCUAAUAGGUUGACCGAAGACAACAUAGGCUGCCUACGUAUCUCAUUCUUGAGAAUUCAGGUCAUCACAUAGUUCAUACAUAAAAGAAAAGGAUGAAUUGUCCUAAGGGGUUGACUGAAGCCAACAUAGGCUGCCUACAUAUCCCUUUCUUGUGAAUUCAGGUCAAACAUAGUUCGUACAUAAAAGGAAACAAAUUUUAGACAAUUACACAUCAUAAAACAAAUACUAUCAACAAGGCAAUUAUAAGUAAACCACGGAAACAAGAAACUAAAACAUCCUACAAACAUUGUAUCUCUUUACCGCAUCAGAAUUGAUUGGUUUGGUCCAUUAUUGACCAUCCAUCCCAGAUAGAAUCAAAGCUCCUCCGGUAGUACCUUGGGAACCAUGUAUGAUCCUUAUCAAUUUGGAGUGAACUUGCCUUUGUACUCUUCUUGAUGAGAAAAUAUGUGUUUGAGAACCCGUUGCCCAAUUUCAAAUGUUCGAGCUCUUACUUUCUUAUUGCAUGCACGAAUCUAUCUAUUUUUGUUUGUCUAACCCUUAACAUGACAUGAUAUUGGCAGGUUUAAAAUUAUAGUUAUGGAAAUAAACCAUGUUAGAUGAUAUCAAGAUAAUAAAAGAUAAUAACAUAAUCAUAUUUCAAAAUAACUUCUUAAAUAAAGGGAGGCCUUUUGGGGAAAGAAAAAUGAACUAUGGCUCAUGACUCGAGCAACUGCGGGCCCAUACCUUUUUUGAAAGCAGUAAAACAUGAAAAGAAAAUUUGAGACAUAAAAUGGUGGAUCACGGGGCCUCCUCUGGAUCAUCACCAAUUUUUAAAACUACUAGUAAUUGCCCUUUCAUCUAACUCAACGGGCAAUGAGUUAUCAAUGGAGUGGAGGUCCAGUUUUGCAACGCCUCUCCUGGUGUAACCUUUCUCACCCCACCAGAAUUUAGGAAAUCCUUGGGUAUGACAUUACAUCCCACGAAAAGAUUUUCCAUCCCAUCCCCAAAACCAUCAUCUUUUGAUAUUUCGCGCACAAGAAAUGACUGGUAUAAGAGUGGAAACGGUUUGAAUAGACUCAUCUUUGACUAAUCUUCAAUCUCAUCUUCCUUUCUUGGUUGGUACCCUAUCCCACCCUUAGAUGAUUUUUCUGGGAUCAUAAUGGGAUUAAUAAUUCCUUCCAAAUUGUUACUCAAGACACUCAAAGCAGCCACAACUUUCUCUAUCUUUUCCACUCCUUCUAUCUUUUUGGAAUUUUGCAAAUCUACCUUAUAUAAUAAUCUUUCUAGAUACCAUUCACUUGCUAUUUUGAUCAUGUUAACCAUGGCUCCCCCGUGAUUAGUAAAUAGAUUACUAGUGACAUUUGGUGUUGGCGCUUGAAGAGUGAUGAUCUUCUGAUCAAUCAAGUCUUAGAUUUUAUGUUUCAGAUUGAUGCAAUCUUCAGUAUUAUGCUCAGGCUCUGCUUAAUAAUAAGCACAGACCUUAUCAGCUUAAAAGAAUAAGGAAUUGAGAUUGGUAGGCUUUGGUGGAAUAAGUUGUAAAUAACCAGCUUUCAUCAAUCUUCUGAAGAGAUGGGUACGACUUUCAGCCAAUGAAGUGAAUUUUCUAGGAGGUUUCUCUUCGAGAUUUAAACACAGGGGGUUAUACUGAUUUUGAUUAGUGGGAAGAGGUACUUGAUGAUAGUUUGUAGUCACUUGGACAUUUAUUUGGUUGUUUGAAAGAGUAGCUUGAACAUGAGACUGAUAAUUUAGCUGUGGAACUUGGCACUAGGGUAAAAUAUUUGGAAGUGGAACUUGAUAUUGGUGUUGAAUAUUUGGAAGCGGAGCUUGGCACUGGGAUUGGACGUAGAAUACAGGCUAAAAACUUGAUGAUCGGGGUGAGGAAAGAAUAUUCCUCGACUUGAAUUUCUUCUUCAAUUUAUCCACAAAAUUAGUAGAGACCGCAGUCACAUCCUCUCUUUUCUUCUUUGAGAACGCAGAAAAUUCAGAUGAGGUUGGGGUUUUGACAAUUUUUCCUAUUUGGAUGCCUUCUUGUAAUGAUGCCCCAAUCUUUACCAAAUCUAUAAAAGUUGCUCAGACCGCGGAUACCAUCCUGAUAUAAAAUUCUCCCUCCUGAGUGUGAGAUAAAAUUGAUACCAUUUCUUUUUCAGACAUGGGAGAUUGUACUUUGGCAACUUAUUUUCUCUAAUGGAAGGCAUAGUCUAAAAAACCCUCAUCAUUCUUCUUCUUGAUCCAGUCUAGUGAGUAUCGGUCAGGAACUAUCUCAUUGUUAAAUGCAAAUCUAUCAAGAAAAAUUUUAGCCAACGCACUCCAGCUAGAUCAUUUUCUCAGUUCUUGAAACAUGAACCAAUCUAAGGUUUCGCCGCUUAAGCUUCGGAUGAAUAAGCGCAUUAAUAAUACGUCAUUUAUUCAUAUCCUACCCAUUUGAUCAUAAUACCUUCUCAGAUGGGCCAUUGGAUUUUCGAUACUGUCAAACACUUCAAAUUUAGGGACCUUGUACCCUUCUGGUAGAUCUACUUCGAGGUGCACACUGAGAUCAUCGUAUCCCAAAGCAUCCUUAUCACUUGCCCUGUGAGAUUCCUUGAUCCUCAUGAUCUCUUCAUUCAUGGCUAGCAACUUUUUUUCAUGCUCGAUUCUCUACUCUUUUUCCUUAUCCUCGUAAUGAUCUACCUCGGGAUUGGGAAAGAGAUUAUAGAUGUCAAGGGAUAUGAUGACAUGAGAAGGAUUUGGAACGGUAGCUUAAUUUUGAGGAUAAGAAGAGAUUGGGUGGUAGGGAGGGAGAUUUUGGAAAUUGAUAGUGCUUUAUGGAAUUUGAGAAUAGUUUGGUGGAAUUUGAGAGAGAUUUUGUGGAUUUGGAAAUGAGUUUUGUGAAUUUUGAGAUGGAUUUUGAGGAUUUAAGAGAGGAUAUUGUGUAUUUGGGAGUUUGGAGAUGGAUUUUUCGGGGUUAGGGAUGGAUUUUGUUGAUGGUAAGCAUCUAGGUUAUUUUCUCGAUUGGUGUUUUGGAUAAGUUGAGGAGCGAAGACGGACGAUAUGUUAUUUGGAUGGUCCCCAAGAAUAGGCGUACUGAGGGGAAUGAUUUGGAGUGGAGUCCCGUGUCCUCCUGGAGCGGGAGCAUUGACAGUGAUGUCCAGGUUAGCCAAAUCUCGAGUAUGAUUCAUCUUCUCCUAAAGCAUUUCCAAUUAUCUCGUGAGUUCAGCAAUCAUCUCAUUUUAAUCCACUAUUACAUUAUCCUUGAUAGUUAAUGCAUUUUCUUCGUCACUUUCAGUCAUUUUUGAAUGUUGGUCAUAGGAUGGGAUUUUAAGAACUUUUGAUUAGGUGAAGUAAGGAUGUUCUGCUAGUUUAUUCAACACGGAGUAGUUUUCUGUUAUCUUUAAAGUAAAAUAACUCAAAAGAAGAUGUGUUAGUUUCCAUAUGUGAUAAGUAAUAUAAAAUAUUUGACAAGAAGUAACCACAUAGAGUGCGUCACAGGCAAACUGAUCCACAGGAGCAUAAUGGAUAAAUUUGUCUUUGAUUCAAACAAACGCACAUAAACACAUAAUUCAGUUAUAUGACAUAAAAACAUUAUAAUAACGUGUAUCCUGAAUGGGGUGACUCUUUUGAGCCAAGGUUUGGGCAUAACAAAUUUUGAAGAAAAUGUUUGCCUUUUUAAAGCCAAUCUAUUAUUCCCCAACUUCCAUAGGUAUACAUAAAGGGCAUAAAUGCUUACAAAAGUUGCACAAAAGGGAUACAAUUUGUAGGGAAAGGAAAAUAACAUGAGAAAAAGAACAGUAUCUCACGCAGGGGAUAGGGAAUACUAGUUCCUGAACACUUUUCAAUCGGCCUUUGCUCUCUUAGCUUUGUCCACUUCUGGUCAUGGGCGACAUCUGUUAAUGAUCAAGCGGUUUCCGUAUAACUGCUCUAGAUUCAACCAUCCAAAUCGAUUAAUUUCUUACUUUUCUUGCUUCAAUUUCUCCCUCAAUUGGUGUACGAUUGAGGCAUCCUUAUACGAAAGUAAGCAAAGCAAGCUUUCUCCCUACCCCACAAAGGAUAAUAGAUUGGAUUAAACAAAUAUAUAUAUUCUUCUUCAACACAUAGAUAUGAUUCGUCUGUAAUUAACUCGGGGUCAAUAGACGCAGGAAAAGUUUUCUAAUGGGCCCAAUACCCCCUCGGGUAUUGGGUCGUCCUAGUCUCAUGCCUAAAAUAGGAUUUUGGUUUCGCUCUAUCCUAGGUGUCUAGAGUGGGUUUGAACCAGGUUCCCAAGUGGAAGACUUGGGUUCAAAAAUACGAACAACCAUCAGAAGCCUCACGUGCUAAUAAAUCGUGGUAUUUCCAACACUUUAUUUGAAGUUGAACAACAGGGGUCGGGACAUUCAGGAAACCCCAAAACAAUUAAACAAUCAAUGCAGGAUUAUGCUAUGAGAUGCAAUAAUUAAAUUCUACAAAAUCAAAACAUAUAAACACAUAAGCAAUUUAAACAGUUAGUCAAAAGAUAAAAUCAAACAUUUGGUUAAAACCUAAUUAGAAUCCCCAGCAGAGUCACCAUUUCUGUUUUGCGGAAAUUUGACUUUUACUUUUAGAGUCGCCACUUAAUUUAUUUAGGAAAAUCAAGAAAAACCUUUAUAAAUUACUCAAAUGAUUCAAAACAGAAAAAUCAUUUAAGUUUUAAAAUUCUAGGUAAGCGGUUCCUAUUAACAUUUUAGGAAGGUUUUUAAGGUACCUAAAAUGUCCGCUAACUUGCGGUUAUCCAAACUGUUUGAAAACAUUUUUUUUGACUAACUUUGAAAAAGGAAAGUUGAUUUUUGAAAGAAAGUGAUUUAGGACAACAAUUGUGUAAAAUCAAUUUGAUGACUUAGUAGGAAAUUUAACUAGGUUCGAAGACAAAUAGCAAAUAAACAUAGAAAAGGAAAAGGUAAAAAUACGAGAUUAGGCUUUUUGGCCCAAACCCGGUUGCACCUGUCCUAAACUAUCCAUUUGGGCUUAUGGCCCAUCAUCACCUGUCCUAAUCUAAAUAUUGGGCUUUUAGCCCAUAACCUGUCUUGAACCAUCUUUUUGGACCUUUGGGCCCAAAAUUCGCUUCACUUGUAUUAGUUUACAACUUUGUCUUCGAGGCCUCAAAUGAAUGAACAAAUAGAUAAAUAAAUAAAUAAAUAAUAAUGCAGUAAUAAAAAUCGAGACUUUUCGAGUCUCUUAGUCGCCUCAUCAAUGCUUUUUGACCCAUUUUCCUUCUUCUUUCAUCAUCUUGCACCGGCACGCUAUAUAAUUGACUUUGGUCUUAAACUUUGGACUUGACUCGAAGAGGUGGGCCUCAUUGACCCAUUACAAAAUGCAAGAUGAGAGGAGUCCAUUUGGACUCGAGACAUUUUUUUCAUGCAAAGAAAUGAUAAAGAAAUUAAUAUACGUUCAAGGCAUAAAAGUGACAUUUUUCAAAGCAAAAGAAAAUAUCAAGAACCAAUUUUCGAAUGACAAUGAUAAGGUACGCUUGCACACGUAUAACAAGAAUGAGAGUCAACAGAUAAAAUUCAAAGCAAAGACGCCCACUUACAUGCCUCAUGAUUUAUGGUCAUAUUAAGAAUGAAUAAAAGUAAAAGGAACAAGGUCAUAUUCAAUGAAUUAAUGCGAGAACAAACAACGCAAGCUUACGAAAGUAAAGGGAUGAGGCAAUAAGAAAAAUAACCAUGACUUCUAAAAUUGAACAAACAUAGACACAAAUCCAUAUAACAAAAUAAAAUAAAGGCUAAAUUUUCAAGAAAGGAAAUCUUUAUAUUUCAAUUAAGGCCAUAUUAACGAAGAUUCAUAUAUCUAAAUAACAAUUAACAUUUUAAGAAAAAAUAUGUAACGGCCUAGGAUUUAUCUUUUUAAGACAUCGUUGAUUCUCUUUUGAUAUUAUGAAUCACAGAGAGACAAAUCGAGUCUUUACACACACAAAGAUCACAUAUAAUAAUCAAAAGGGAGUAAGAAAAUAGAAAUAAAGUUUAGCAUAUCUAAAAAGCGAAAUAUCAUUCAACAAUCAUACUAUGCAUGACUCGGAAAUAUCUAAAUAAUUUUAUUUAGCCACAAAAAUCAAAACUUUCUCAUUAUUUUGACAAAACAACAUGCGAAAAAAAUAACAUCUUGGAUGGAAAAUAAAGCUAGCACUUCAUCUCUCAUAUAAGGAUUUUGAUUCAUUAAAAUUAUUAGAAAGCAAAUGACAAGUUCUUGACUUAACCAAUUACUAUUUUAUUAAGGCAAAAUAAAUAAUAGUAACUACUCUUUUUGAUAUAAAUAAAAUAACUUUACAUGCUAAAAAUAAAUAUAUCCGCCAACAAUGAAUUUAAACAAAACAUAAAAAGUCUUUUAAGCAAAGUUUGAAACUUUAUUUAUAAUAAUCAAAGAAUAAAGUCAAAAAGGAGAAACAAUCAAUAUUAACUAUUCUUUUCAACAUAAAGGAGACAACUUUACAUGCUAAAAACAAACAUAUCUGCUAACAAUAAAUUUAAACAAAUCAUAAGUACAUUUUUAAGCAAAGAUUGAAACUUUAUCUAUAAUAAUCAAAGAACAAAGUCAAAAAAGCACGUACAACUAUUACUAGCUUAUUUUUAUACCAUGAACAUAAAAAUAAUUAUAAUAUCAAUGUCACAACGUCCUUCGGCCUUCAAGGUCGUCUACAGCAAAUAAUCCCAGCAAACAGAAUUAUAACUACCACAAUUAUAACUACGAACUACGAAGAAGAAAAAGAUGAAGAAGAAAACGAUAAUAAAACUAAAAAGGGAGAAAGAUGUCUUUACCUUUUUGGGGCCAGCAAAAUGAGACUACGAGCUUCGUCGGAAUCAAACACCAUUGAGAAAACGUCGCCGACACCUCAAAAAUUUUGAUUAGCCAACCAACUCUAUGAAACAAAAAUUUUUACUAACUAAAAAUAAUUAUUUUGCUCAAAAGAAUUUUUUCACCUUUCUAGCCUCUUUUUUUUUUUUAACUUUUCAACCCCACUUUCUAUCAAAGUAGUGGUAGUAUUUAUAGGAGAGAAUGGGGUUUUAUUUCCUUUCCUCCAUCAAUGUGGAAGAAAAGUAUUUAUAGGAAAGGAUGAGGAUUUAUUUCUUGUCAUCCACCAGUGUGGGAGAAAAGCCAUUUAGGGGUGUUUUUGGAAUUUUAAAAUUAAAGAUAAGGUGAGGUAGAAGAAAAUAUGGUGGAAAAUUGUACAAUGUAGUACAGUUUUUGAAUUUUAAAAUUAGGAAAAUGACAAGGUUGAGGGGGGAAUUGUACCAUGUAGUACAAAUUUAAAAUUAUUUUUGGUGGAAAUUGGGUAGAAGUUAUGAGAGUUUUUUGAGAAAUUUGGGUUUAUUUAGAAUUUAACCCCAAUUAGGAUUUAAAAUUUAGCCAAAUUUAUUUAAUUUUGACCAAAUUAAAAAUCAAUUGGCGGAUUACAUUACAAUUAUGGGCAAUUUUAUUUCAAUUAUGGUCAAAUCUAAUAGAUUGACUAAAUUAAAUUAAAAUUCGAUACUAAUUAAUACUUCUUUUAAUCCCGAGAUUCUUGAUUUAAUAAAAUCAAACAUAUAUUUAUCUAAAUAAAUUAUUUUUGAGAGUCAAUCAUAUUUAAAUUAAGAUUGUAACCAUUUGAAUUUAUUUUCAAGAAUAAUAUUUAAUUAAAAUUCGAUCCAUAGAAUAAAUAUUUAAGUAAUUAAAUUAUAUAAUCUCGUAUAAUUGAACAUGAUAAUAUAUAAUCGCUACUUAAAAUAACAAAAUUAUGUACAAAUAUAUUUUUAAAAAAAAUUAUUCGGAUGAAAUAAAUAUUUUGAUUUUAUUAAACCGAAAAAAUUCAGGAUUAAAUUUAGUCGUGCAGGGCAAAAAUUAGGUGUUAACAAUACCGUUAAUAUUUUGAUAUAUUUGACAUAAAUUUAAUUUAGGACCACAAAAUUCAAAAGUUUUUUUUUAUUUUCUUAAAAUCCUUGUCAAAUAAAUUAGAUCAUUCUUUUUUAAACAAAGAAAGUACUAAAAAAAUAAUAUAUAAGUUAUGUUCUAAGGAAAUAUUUACAUAAUAGAUAAAUGAAUUCUAAGAAAAUUUUUAUGAAAUUGAAUUUUUUUGUAGUAUUAAACAUCAUCAUUUCUAAAUUUAAAUUAUAGAUUUAAAAAAUAUAGAUAACAAAAUAUAAUUUACAAAAAUUUAAAAUUAUAAUAAAAAUGAAUAUCAAAUAGUUACUUAAAUGAAGUAAAAUGAACAACAAUUACUACAGAAUAACAAAUUUUAUUCGAAUUUAAAUUGAAAAAUAUAUUAAAUGACAUAUUCGAACUACUAAAAUUACAAAAGCAUACUGCAUAAACGUUAAACUUACUGAAAGACUACAUGAUAACUAAUCAAUGGUAAAAAAAUUCCAAAUCAAACUGCAAAUCAACAUAACACAUAAAAACUUUCAAUAAUUAUGUUCUUCAUUCCAUUUUCUUUUAAAAAUACAAUUCUCCUAAUCAGUUUCAUCAAGCAUAUCCUUCAAAUGAUUUUAUUUUUCUUCAAAUUCUUUUAGCAAUGUCCUAAGAAAAUCUCUAUCUUCUAUAGCUUUGUUGAAAUUAAACAGCGUGUCAAACUUUAUAGUGUUUUGUGAAGUCGCAUAUCACCAUCAGAUAUAGGUCUCUUCAAUUGUGAUAUAAUGGUGUUUGUUUCAUUUUUUUUGACAUACUUUCUACCCACAAAAAAUAAUCACAUCCACCAUUUUUCUAAAACAACAAAAUAAGAAAAAUGAUUAACAUACACAUAUUUUUAAUUGUACAACUUAAAAAAUUUUACUUCGAAUGCGCACAACUCCAAAACUUACGGUCAAAAUUUCUUGUAGUCCAUGAUGUUUUCAUUUUACAAUAUUGAUUGCAUUUACAUACAUCAUGUUCAAUUGAGCAUAAAGACAUUUCGGAUUGUUGAGAUAUAAUUAUAAAUUUUCAAAGUCCAAAAGAGAUGAUAUUAGUAGAAUAAUAUGAUAGAUGAAUGAGAUAAGAUGGAGUGAACAGCAACACAUAUUUUAUAAGUGAAAAAGUUGUGUAUCAUUUCUCAAAAGUUGAAGUGACAAAAUGCACAUAUAAAUAAGAAUCUUUUCAAGAAUAUUAAAAGUAUGAUGUUUAAUCAGUUAUCAGUCAAAUCUCACAGUAGAAGAAUCAUAAUUUGCCCAAAUAAAAGUAGUUUUUCCACAAAUAGGAAAACUACUAAAAAAGAUUUAUGAAAAUGUAGUUUGUGUUAUAAAAUAUAAAGUAAAGAAUAACAAGAGUAAAGAGAGAAGAGAGAGAAAUUCUUAUUUCUCUUAAGGGAUUCUAAAGGGGUAUUUACAAUAAAGAAAACCCUUCUAUUUAUAGGGAAAAUUACUCCUAGUUUCUCUCUAAAAGAUAGAUAUUUCAUAUCCUCAUAGAUAUCAGACAUCAACUAGAUCUUGAUAGAUCUUAUCUACAUUCUUGAUAAAUAUUCACUAUAAUGUAAAUACAUUUAUGACACUCCCCUUGAAUAUCUAAUUGACAGAUAAUGUGCCUCAUUAAAACCUUACUAGAAAAAUCCAGUGAAAAAAAUCUAAUGAAGGAAACAGAGUACACAUCUCUAAUAAUACGUAUUUCGGCUUCCUCAUUAAAAACCUUACAAGGAAAAUUCAGUAGGACAAAACCUUGAAAGGAAAAAAGACUAUAACGCAUAUUUGAUCCCCUUGAAAAGAACAUCAAUGAAUCAUGGCAUCCCGAUCUUGUGUACCAUCUUCUUAAAAGUUGCAGUUGGAAGAUACUUGGUAAAUAAAUCAGUUACAUUGCCACUUGAAUGAAUCUGUUGCAUGUUAAUGUCACUAUUCUUUUUGUAACUCAUGUGUAUAGAGAAAUUUCGAUAAAUUGGGCUUCGUUCUAUCUUUUCUUAUGAAUCCUCCCUUAAGAUGCGUUAUGUUUGCUGCAUUAUCUCCAUAUAAAAUUGUGGAUACAUUGUUACAUUUCAAACUAUAUUUUUAUCAAAUGAGAUGUAUCAUGGACCUCAACCAUACAUAUUCUCGACUUGCUUCAUAAAUAUCUAUUAUUUCAGCUUGGUUCAAUGAGGUAGCUACGAUAGACUGUUUUACAUAUCUCCAUGAUAUGGUAGUAUUCCCAUAUGUGAACAUAUUGCAUAUUUAAGAAUGAGAUUUAUGCGAGUUAAAUAAAUCUCCAGUAUUAACAUAAUCAACAAGAUUGGGAUUGCAAUCUUUAGAAUAAGAUAAGAUCAUGUGUUUGAUCCCAUUUCAAUAUCUCCUAGUAGGAGCAAAAUUAUACAUUGCAAAUAAAUUAAUCGAAAAGGUUAUAUCAGACCUUGUAGUAUUUGUAAGAUACAUGAGUGCACCAAUUGUACUAAUAUAUGGUAUUUUAUAACCAAUUCAAAUUGGUAUAUGUCUUAUUGCAUCAAAUAAUCUAUUGCUUUUGAAAACUCUCCAAGAGCUCCAAUAAUUUUCAAGCUACACGGUUAUACAAUAUAAGGAUUAUAAAUAAGUUUUUCAAAAAUUUUAUACGCUUCAAACAUUUUUAAUCCUUAAAAUAUUUUUAUAUAAAUUUUUUCAAGUGACAAUAUUCAACAUUUCAUGAGUGACAUCUUCAUGUAUCUGGAAUACAAAUCAAAUAAGUUUUAUGCUUACCAAGAUACAUCCUUUCACGUCACUUAAUAAAUAUUUUUACGUCAGCAUGCUUAAAUAAAUGUAGAAUUUAGGUCCUCAUAAUCUUUUACAAUAUUGUGUUAAUAUUGUAUCAAAGAUAUUGAUGAUAUAUCAUUCUGUAUCGAAUUCACAAUGUGACAUAACAUUUUGAUAUCUCAUCACUUCAUUAUUUUCAGGUAUUUGAAUCUUUCAUAAGGUUUCAUGAAGUGUUAUGUUGUAGGCUCUUCAAGAGCACAUUGCCUUCUUAUUAAUUUUUUAAUUAAUAUUGGAAUAAAGAUCCUUAUUAUUGAUAAUCUUCAAUUGGGUCCAAGCAGCCCAAGUACAUAACAAAAAUAAAAAACUGAUGACCCAACCCGGCCCAAAUAUUAAGUUGGGUCUCUAUAAAUAUGUCCCCUUUAGGGUUUUCUAAAUCAGUAGCACAUUUGGAGCCCCUCCACCUUAUCCAUCGCUAAUAAUGAUGAGAUCUUCUUUCUUCAAUCUUUAAUUUUAGCUCCUUUUGUUGUGGGUGAUGAAUUAUCUUCACAUUUUUUUGUGGUCUUUCUUCUUGCUCAGUUUGCAGAAGUACGGACAUUCCCUUCUUAAUUAUUUCUUUUAUUUUUUUAUUUUGUCACUAACUUUAUCCCUUGCAGAUGUGUGUUUCGGUGGAUGUCCUUGAGUUUUAAAGUAACUCAUAGGAGAAUUAGAACAUUGUAUCUCUGCUUUGUAGAUCUGUGUAAGUAACUUGGAACUUUCCACUUGCACUUAUUUCAUCCUCUUUACUGAUUGAUGACUCUUUUAUAGCUGAAGCAGAAGAGGAGAAAAACAAGUUGCUCCCAGCGUCCAUCUUUCAGAUCUCCUAGCUAUGAACAAGUGUUGUAUUACUAAAUCUGUUCCCCUGCUCUCGAUUUUUGUUGGUGAUCCUUUUUGUUGGCUGAUGUAGCUCAGUCUAGUUAGCAAUCUCAUAGUUAUUUUGCCCUUGAGGCGACCACAAACUAUAUUGUACAAGUAAUCACUAUGAGACUCUGUGGUUUUUCUUAAUCCCCUCCCUAUGCUUAGUUAUGCGUGCUACUUAUCUUCCUUAUUUUUACCCUUAUUGAUGGAAUUUGAUGUUUGUCUAUGUUUAUGAUCUUCUUUCCUUUGCUUGGUAGCUGAUUGAACUCAUAGUUUUGAAUCUUUUGUUCUUGUUCAAUAGCUAUAUUUUUCAUGAAGUCUGCUAGUUGAUUAGCUUCUCUGUAUAUAUUACUUAUGUGGAUGUUUAGCUGAGAACUUAGAACUUUAAUUUCCUCAAUUAUUUCCAUUAGAGUCCAAGGAAUCUUCCACUCACCCAUAAUCAUCUUUUUUAUGCUAAGUGAAUUUAUCUCUAAUUGAAUUUGCAUCCAAUUCUAACUAAGACAAUAUGAAAUAGCUUUUGGGAUUGCAAUAGCUUCAGCUUCCAUGUUUUUUGUAAUUCCCACAGUUUGAGCCUCUGUAUACAUCAAAUCCUUUUCACUGUUUCUAAUACAAAAACCAUAAGAACUCAAACCUGGGUUUCCUUUUCUAGCACCAUCCGUGUUGCACUUUAUCCAUCCUUCAUCUGGCUUAUCCCAUUCACUAUGAGAUAGAGAAGCUUGGGUUUGUAAGUAUGCAAAACUUUCAAAUUUUCCUUCCAGUGAUGUGGUAGGUCCUUUAUCCAUGGAAAUCUAACUUUCACAAUAUAAAACACAUUCUUUUGAAGUUGGUGUUUCAUCUUUUCUAAAGUAACAUCCUUUCCAUAUCUUUUAGCAUUCUUUCUCUUCCAAGGCUCCCACAUCCAUAUCUUUUAGCAUUCUUUCUCUUCCAAGGCUCCCACAUCAACAUUAAUGGAAUUGCUUGAAUAAUGGUAUUUUCUUUUGGGCUGCAUUGAUGAUUCCACCAUCUGUGAAUUAUUUGUUGAAGAGUGAGUCCUUCCAUGCUAAUACUUGUACAUAAAGCAAACUGCUUUCAUAGCUGUUAAGCUAUGGGACAUGUUAAUAAUAAAUGGACCAUAGUAUCUUGUUGACCAGCUUCACAACAAUGAUAUUUAAAUACCAUUUGAAUGUCCAUUCGUUUAAGAUUGCCAUCUGUUGUUAUCCUUUGCCUUCAUACCCUCCAUAAGAAAAAAGCAAUCUUAAAUAGAACCCCCUUAAUUCAAAUAUUUCGCAUCCAAUUGAUUUUCUCCAUUUUGUGUCUCAUAUUAUGAAAAGUUGAGAUAACCGUGAAUUCACCUUUAGAAUUUCCCAUCCACCAAGCCUUGUUAUUAUCAUCCCUUCCCAUAUGAGGCUUUAUAUUUUAAUUAUAUGCUCAAUUAAUUCCUCUCUAAGGUAUCUCCUGAUUUUUUCCACCUUCCACUCUCCAUUAUCAAUGAAUUCUUUUACUUCUAUUUCUUUCUCUCCUUCAUUCUACUACACCACAUAAUAAAGUACCCCCAUCUUUGUCCUGUUAUCAAACUAGAAGUUGGAAUUUCUAGCCUUGAGCUUCCACCGUAUAUCAUGCUCCACUUCUUGUCUUACCUCCAUUAUUUUUUUCCAGACAUGAGAUAGUCCUGAAUUUCUUGUAAUCACUGGAUGAAGCUUCUUAUAAUAUUUGUUGCUCAUAAAAGAUGCCCACAAGGAGUUGGUUGAAACUUUGAACUUUCACCAUAAUUUAGCAAAUAAUGCUUUGGAUACGUCAUGCAGAGAUCUAAAACCUAGACCUCCUUCUUCUUUUGGAUAACACAUAUCUUCCUCAGCAACCCGAUGUCUUCUCUUCACACCUUCAGAACUACCCCAAAAGAAUUUUGAAAAGAUUUGAUGUAAUUGCUCAAUCACUCUUCUAGCUGGACUCAUGGAUGCUAAAAUGUAAACCGGCAUUGACUGUAAAACGUGAUAAAUUAAGAUGUAUCUACCUCUAAAUAAAAUUAGUUUGGUCUGCCACAUUAGAAUUUUUCUUGUGACCUUUCUCAAGAGGUCAUCUUAAUGAUUCUUGUUUAUCCUUCCAUAGAAAAUAGGACAUCCUAAGUAAGUAAAAGGAAAGUUUUCUUGCCUUAUACCUGUCAAUCCUCUUAAUCUUAUAGCCACAAUCAAUGGAGUCUUGUCACGCAGAUAGAAGAAAAUCUUACUUUUAUUGAUGAGUUAGCCUGAGACGUUCACAUAAUAUUUAAGAACUACCACCAUCUUCCUAAUUGAUGAUUUGUCUCCUAAGCAAAAAAUGGUUAUAUCAUCAACAUAAGAAAGAUGAUUAAUUUCAGGACUCCACUUUGGCAACCCAUUUCCUUUGAACUGAUCAUCAUCCUACAAUUUGUUAAGAAACUUAGAUAACACUUUCAUCGUAAUAAUGAAUAAAGUAGGUGACAGAAGAUCACCUUGUUUAACACUUCUUGUGGAUUGAAAGAAACCAUGAGAAUGCCCAUUUAUAAGAACUAAGUACUAGUUGUUGGAAAGUAAUCUCCAAAACAUAUCAAUGAUCACUUCUGAGAAGCCAAACUUCCUUAACACCUUUGUGAGAAAUAUCCAAGAUACCCUAUCAUAUGCUUUAGUCAAAUCCAGCUUGACCUCCACAUUGAUGUUCUUAUUCCUGAUGUUGAUAUCUCAAAUAAUUUUCUGGGCUAUCAAAACAUUUUUAGUAAUACUUAUCCCUCUCAUAAAUCAUACCUAAUUCUGAGAUAUAAUAUUAGGUAAUACUAUCACAAUUCUUUCAUGUAACACUCUGGAGAUAAUUUUAUCAGUGAAUGUACUUAGACUGAUCGGUCUAAGGUUUGAGAACUCCCUCACUACUUCCCUUUUAGGUAAUAGCGCCAAAUUGGUAUGACUAAUGAAUUUGGGAAGCGCAUACCCACAGAAAAUGCUCUUACUAAUUUGGUGAUAUCAUCUCCAAUAAUCUCCCAAUAAAUAUGAAAGAAUACUCUUAAAAACCAUCUGGUCCACAUGCACUAUCCUCAUUGAGCUGAAAGACCACCUUUUUAACCUCCUCCUUAUUCGACAGUGCUAUCAUUUGCUUAUUUUUUUUUCAGUAAUCUGCUUAGGUAUUCAUUGCAACUUGUCCCACCCUUGAUUCCACCUUUCCUCAGCAAAUUAAUCUUUAAAAAAUUCCACUACUUUUUCUUUUAUCUGCUGAUUAUCAUGAAUCAUGUUACCUUGCCUAUCAUUGAUCUCUGCAUUGUGCAAAUUUUUCCUUUUCCCUUUCACAUAUGAAUGAAAAAACUUUGAGUUUAUAUCACCUUUGGAAAACCAUUUUUUCUCAGAUUUUUGCUUCCUGAAAUCGUUCUUAAUUUUUAUACAUCUUUUCAACUCUGAUUCUGCCUUUUGAAAUUGUGCCCUAUUAUCUGCUGAAGGCAGAAUUUCAAAUUGAACGUCUUUAACCUUUAUCACAUGCUCUAAUGUAGCAAUAUUUUGGAAAAUAUUUCCAAAAGUUGCUCGACUCCAUUCGGAUAAUGCUUUUUCACAUUCUUCAUCUUAGCCUGAACUUCUAUAAAUGGGUUCCCCAUAAAAUUAACAUUCCAAUUCAGCUUCACAAUCUCCUUGUACUUUGCAUGUGUUGCCAGAAGUUCAAAAAUCUAAAAGGUUUAAUGAUAGGUUCCUCUUUCGUAUUACAUACUAGAUAAAGUGGUGCAUGGUCAAAACCUUGUCUAAUUAGAUGGUGUACCUUAGUAGAAGGGAAAAUAUCUAUAAAAGCUUGAUUUACCAUUACCCUAUAAAGUCUUUUAAAAAUACACUCCUCUUCAAUUCUCCCAUCCCACCAGGUAUAUUUGCUACCAAAAUAGCUCACAUCAUUCAGUACACAGUUAUUGAUACAAAGGGUAAAAUCUGUUGCUUCACUCUGGGUAAAUGGAAAACCUUCCCAUUUCUCUUCUUCUGUAAGUAUAACAUUGAAAUUACCCCCUAUAAUCCAUGGUAAAUGAUGAUUAUCUGUAAUAUAUUCCAUCUCAUCCCAUAAUUCUAAUCUCUCCAAUGAACUACAUCUAGCAUAAACUGAAGUGAUAAUGAAGUCCUUGUUAUCUUUAAUGAACUUCAUUGUAAUCUGUUGAAUGAUAUCUAAUACUAUCUGACCAAUCCAAUCCUCCUUCCAAAAAAUCCAAAUUUAGAAGAAAAGUUAGCAAUUGCAUUUGUGAAACCCAUCCUUGUUUUAUAAUGAUCUACUUCAUGAGGACCUGGAAAAGGUUCCAUAAGAGCUAUAAAUGAGUAAUUAUUUUGUCUGUUAAGUUCUAUUAAUCUCUCAAAGGAAUUUUGUGUCUUAAUAGAUCUUAUAUUCUAUAAUAAAUCUUUACCUAUCAUUAAUUGCUUGGGGAAUCUUUGUCUCUGCUCCUUGUUCUGACCUGAAGAGGUAUUGUUGAUUUUCCUUUCCUUGCUCCUUCUUCAAGCAGUCAAUCUGCCUCGGGGAAAGAUCUCCUAACCUACUGAUUUAUUUAAUAUUACUCUCAAUACAAUCAUCUUCCUCAUUAUCCCUUUUAAUGUUUAUAUGCUCAUCAUUUUCUUAUACUAAUUCUUGCAAUUCCUUUAAAGGGGUUUCAUUUUUGUCCUGUCCUACUGCACUAUUUCUACUUUUUGAAGUAUGCUAUAUGUUUUCUUAUUGAUCCUUGCUAUAAGUCUGUUGUGGAGUAUCCUGAACUUCUGGUGUUGUCACUUUCCUUGCUUCUGCAGCUGAUCUCCUACCUUUACUUGAUACAAUCUUACUACUUCCUUGUUCCUUGUUUAUUUAAGGGCUAAAAUCCACUUGAGCAGGACUUUUAGUUAUCAACUUUUUUCCUUUGUCGUUCAGAGAUUUUUGCCCCCUUCUGCAGUUUGAUUCUGUGAUUCCUUUCCCUUAUCUAAAUCAUUCCCUUAUUUCUUUUCACAAUUCUGCAGUCUAUUUUAAUCUCUGAGCUCUUUCUUUUUGAUUUUCUCUGUGUGUUGUAAAGCCUCAAACUGAUUUCCUGUGUUAACACCUACAUUAUUCCACCUAGUUUCUUGCCUCCGAUUGUUGAAACUAUUCCUUUUGUGCCCUCUUUUUUUCUUUUUUUGAACUUCGAAUUUCUCUACAUUAUUAUCCACAGAUCCCUCUUCAGCCUCCUUCUUUGAUUACUGACUUUUUUUAUUAUUAUCACCUGCCUUCUUAUUGUUAUCAUCUUUUUUACCAUUUUGAUUUUCCUCCUCCUUGUUAGGAUAUAAUUCUGGAUGGCCUACAUAACAUUGUUGUUUAUUAUGGCCCUGAAUCAUACAAGUUUUAUAGUACUUGGGAACAAAAUCAUAUUUUAUUCUAAUCCACUUUUCUGUGACUUCUCCAUUCUGCUUUUUCACUCCUAUAUUAAUAUAUUAGGUUAGGAGUUGGGGUCAUCUUGGGGGGAGUUGGGGCUAAGUCUAAAAUUUAGAGUUGGGGUCGGUCUCUAGUUGAGAGUUGAGGAUGGGUCUCAAGUUAGAAAUUGAGGUCAAAUCUCGAGUUGAGAUUUGAAGUCGAAUUUCGAGUCGAGAGUCGAGGUAGGAUCUCGAUUUAGGUGCUGGGUUUAAGUCUCGAGUUAGGAGUGUAGACAUGUAAUUUUUUCCCUUCCGAGAGUAUAUUUUUACCCAUUUACCCCGCCUUAACAUGCACCCUCAAUCAUGUGAUAAUCUCCCCACUAGAAGACAAAAUAACAAACCCCUAACAAACCUAUUCCCCAAUAUUCUUUUGAUAACAAAAUAACUACUCCCCUCAAUAAAAUUUUGACAACACAUAUCACCACCCCACCCCUUAACCUACCUCACCCCUACCCCACAUACCCCUUCUCUCAUGUUUAUUCCCUCUUGGACAACAAUAUACAUACACACUCAUGGGUACACUCACAGUUGUAGCAUGGACAUUAUAUUGUUUCUUCCCUCUUGGGUAAUAAUAUAAUGUACACAAAGGAGGUUCGUGAUUAAGGCCCGAGGUAUCGGGUAAAGUAUUGGAGCGUAGUUUAGGACUACUGUAGGUUAGCGUAGGUUUAUUUCAGUAUCUUUUAUUUUCGACUGUAAUAAUUGGACUGGAUACUAUUUUUUCAGACUUGUUUUGUUUGGUUUGGUUAUUUAUCUGUUUUGUGUGUUUUAUGUGGUUUACUCACUUUAUAGUGUCAUUCUAGCCGAUAUACUCCAUUAAGCGACCGUGGUCGAACCACGGGGUCGAGGGAUGCCUAACACCUUCCCCUCGAUCAACAGAAUUUCUUAGUUGGAAUCUCUGUUCGUAGAUCAAUUUUUAGAGUCAAAACUGUUUUGAAAAAGGAUUUCUAAAGGUGACUUGGCACACCCGAUUUAUGCCAAGUGGCAAUUUUGAGUUAAUUGUAAAACGAAUCCUUUUCGAAACAACUUUACUUUUUGUCACUCAAUAAGAAAACCUUUUUUGAACUUAAAAUCUAAUCUUUUUGGUGUAAAAGAAGGUGCGACAGCUUUGGCGACUCUGCUAGGGAUAUUUUCAGAAUUCGAGCUUAUUUUUUAGUUGUAUCGGCUUAGUUUGACACUAUAGGUGUAUAGACAUUUUGUUUGUGUUAUUGUUUUAUCUUCAUUGAGUGCCUACAUGCUAUAUGUUUAUAGUUCUUCUCUCAUGUGUUACCAUUUUAUAUCUGUCAUCAUUUGCAUAACUCGAGUCAUUUCUUUCGCAACAAUUCCUGUAGUACACGUGUGUACACUACCUCUAGUUGAGUCACCCUUAUUUUUAGGAAGGGGAGCCGUUGGGUGUAUGGGGUAAGUAGAAAGCUAUCACAACAACUAUCGACCAUAUGCUCCCCCGAACAGCCUUGUUAGUGGACCCUUACGUAGGUCAGUUUUUAGGUCACGCUUAUCUGUAUCAUAUUGAGACCUAGUGGUACCCACUUGGUUCAUUGUAGGAGACUCACCUCUAAAGCAUCCCUACGUGUUAAUUGUUGCAUCUUUGAAAGUAACGGGCCCAUUUGCAAGACUGAUUUAGGGAAAACAUGUGUUAGAAGUAAAGUGUGUAGGCAAGAAAAUGUUGAAAAAAAAAGAGGGAAAAAGAAAGAAAAAGUGAGUCAAAAAAAUGAGUUUCAUAGUUUUUAGAAUUCUUUGACUUUUGUUUUUCACAAUUCAAAAAUUCAAAAAGAUUUUAUUUUUAUUUUUUGCAUUCAUUUUCUCAAAAUAUAGAAAACAUCAAAAAGAUUUUAUUUUGUUCCCUUUAUCAAGCAUUCAUAAUUUGAAAAUUUUAAAAAGAAUUUUUUUCAAUAGGAGCUUUUUUUUAUAAAAGAAAGAUUCAAAAAAAAUGGUAGAAGUUUUGUACAUUUCAUAUAACGAAAAUACCAAAAAGAUUUUUCUUUCAUAGUUGUUGGUGUCAUUUUUAUGUGAAGUGUCUAAUUAAAAACCCAAAAGAUUUUAUUGACGUUGUUCAUCAUCUGUCUUUGGACGUGUCUCUUAAUUUAGGGUCAAUUUAUUAUUUAAUCCUUAAUUGUCCUAUCUGAACGAACUACGCACACCUGAUUCUCCUCUUUCGAGAGUGAGAUAGGUAGGCAACCCUUCUAGGGUUCGGUGAUCUUAUUUAAAAAAUUCAUUAAGAUUUUCUUCACUCUUCAUUUAGAGUAGGUAUUUCAUAUACAUCUUUAAAAGAAAACUAAAAAAAGAUUUUUCUUUAAUAGGUUCAAGUUUCAUUUUCAUAUGAAAUUCAAAAUCGAAAAGCCAAAAAAAAAAUUCUUUGGAAAUCAUAGGUUUUAUUUUGUAUAGGAAUGUUAAAGCUGAUUUUCAUCAAUUCUUUUGACAAUUUGUUAUUUUCUUUUCUUCUUAAAGUUAAAAAAAAAAAAGUUUGAUUGGCCAUUUUUUGGCCAAACUUCAUGAACUACGCACACCUAAUUCUCCUCUCUCAAGAGUGAGAUACGUAGGCGCUCUUCUUGGGUUCGGUGAUCUUUUAAAAAAAAUUUUGAGAAAGUGUUGAACUCCAACACGUUUGUUAUCUCUUGUUGAGUUAGUUUAAGGUGGGUGAUUUGUGGCAUUGUAGCUGGUCCUCCAUAUUACACCAAAUCCAAAAGAGAGUUAGUUCUUUCCAAUCAAGAUAUAGAGACUGACAUCAUGGAUCAGAAAAAGAUUCAGGAAAAUGAGAGUUUAAAGAAAGAGAUUUUAAGACUAAGGCAACAAAUAAGAGAAAUGCACCGAGCUUGGGCCAGUGGGUUGCCUCCUCCUCCAUUUCCCGCUAUUAACCAUGGAAAUCCCUUGAUUUUUCCAUGACAAUUGGAAAGUCAAUUUUCUACUGUUGCUGAUAUACCACAGCAUGCCUCAGAAUCCAUUCCACAUCAAAUACAUCCCAAUACUUCAACCACUCUUUCUUUAGCUCCUCAGUAUAAGCCAACCAUAUUCACAGCACCACAUACUGUAUGUGUUUUUAUUUCUCAACCUUCUACUGAGGCCCCCACUUUAGAUAUCAACCCAACGAUUGUGCUUUCCUAAUCUUCUAAAGAGCAAGAGAAAAUGGCUAGGAAAAUAAAGAAUGUAGAAAGGGUUAUGAAAAAUUCUCUAGGCCUUGAGAAUUAUGAAGAUGUUUUAUAUAAGGAAUGGGGUAUGUAUUCAAGUUUUAACCUCCCUCCUAGCUCUGAGGUAUCAGGAUUUAAGUAACAUGAUAGGUAUAAGGAUUCUGUAAAACACUUGGGAUGAUAUUGCCAUCAGUUGAGGGGGACUGAAGGAAAGAAGAAGAAAAGCGUACCUAUCAUCAUUCCAGGGAAAAAUAGAGCUCAAGAGGUUCAACUCAGCAAUAUUAUCAGUCUCAAUCCUGAACUUACACAUCAAAUCCACAUGCUCACCUACAACAAGGUUCCUCUUUGAAAAAUCCAAGAUAUUUUAUUCCAGUUCCUCAGUAUCCUUUGAACAAUGCACAGCAGUAUACUAAUCUGUCUUCUUAUCCACAAUGGUGUGCACCGGUCCUUUAACAUCAUCCUUGACCCACGCAUAUUUACCAAUGAACUUAUAAGUUUAAGUUUUACCGAGAUCGGAGUUAUCAAAGAGGAGAAAGUCAAAGGAUUAUUUUACACCAAUUGAGGAGUUGUAUGCUAGUUUAUUUCAGAGGUUGAGAGAGUUGGGUAUGAUCACUCCUCUCCUUGGGUAUACUCUUGACCCGCAUUCAAGAAAUUUAGAUCCUAAUGUACAAUGUGAAUAUCAAUCUAAUGUUCAGGGUCACAGUAUUGAAAACUGUUGAGAUUUAAAAAGAGAAAUUGAAAAGAUGAUUCAAGAUAAAUCAACUAUGGUGUAGAACAUUGACAAUAAGGAAAGCUCUAGUCAUGCUGAUAUGUAAAAAAAAUGGCUAAGAUGUCAAGCUCAACAAUUGGAAAGUCACUCCCCUCCUUACUUGGAAGGAUUGUUGGUAGUUUGUUUUGUUUUGUUUUCCUUUCUGUUUUACGAAUUAUUUCAGGGUUGUAGUUCAAAAUCUAUCUUGUUUUGUUUAUUUGUCGCCUUUGUUUAAACCCUUCUAUUUUUUCUUUAAAUGAGAUGUGGUGUCCCUUGUCAUUUUGUUAUAUUUUAAGUUGUUUGUUCAUUUUCUUUACAUAGUAAAUUUUAUUUUGGUUUUAGCGAUAUGACAUACUGGCAGAAUUUUCAGCUAGAUCUUUAAAUACAGUUUAAUCUUGAACUUUGAAUCAAAGUGUUUCAUUUAGAAAAAAGCAUUUGAGAAAUAGGUAGAGUGUUAAGACACUUGGUGAUCAUGCUGAAGCCUUCUUUCAAAAUUAAGGCAAUUAUUUUGUGACUCACAAUAAUAAAUUGGUCAUCAGUUGAAAACCAUAGCUCAAUUAAGUUAAAUAGUGGUCGUGUGAUUCCUAUAUCAAGAGAAACAGAAAGAAAAUAAACUCCAUAAAAGCAUGAGUCAUUUGAUAUGAGGUGUUGCAAUAAGGAUGGAGCUGUACGUUUGACAAGAGCAGAAGAAGAAGCGACACACAUGCUCAAGGAAAGUUAGUGCUCUAAAACACAUCACAAAUGAUCUUCAUUUAUCAUUUUUAUAUUGCAUGAUACGUACUUGCAUUUUCAAAGAGUGAUAUGACGAAGGUACUUCAUUCUACUACCCAAACAUUAUGUCAUCCUUUGUUCACCCCAUUGAGAUUUGGUUCUAUUUUCUUUCAUACCCCUCUUUUGGAAUCAAGAUAUAGUCGAAAAGUUCCCAAUAAGAUUGUCGAGCAAAAAAUAAAGUCAAAAAGACCAAACAAAAAAAGAGAGAAAAUAUGUCCAAAAAAGAAAGAAAAGAGAUGAGUGUCAAGAAAAAUAGAGUAAGAAAAGUUUCAAAGAAAAAAAGAAAAAAAAUCAGAACCAAAAUAAAGAACAAGUUGUCGGAACUACGUGUGACAUGAUUAUCCUCUCUCGGGAGUGAGCUACGUAGGCUGCCACACUCUAGGCUCAAUCUAACCAAAUAAACAAUUUAGAAUUACUCGAUCAAAAGAAACUGGGCAUGAGUUAAUCCUCAUUGUUUAAGUCAAGUUGUAAAUCCUACCCCACUUCAAGUGUCGUUUGAGCCUCAUGCCAUACUUUCUUUCUAGCCUUAUCUAAAAGCUAAGUUACAACCAUAGAAAGGCCUUCAGAUCAAUCUUUAAGAAUGAUAAGGCUAAGCAUGUAAUGCAUAUGAUAAUACAUUUUUGGAACUACUUGUCUUCCUCAACAUAAGAAAUUAGGAAAGAAAUAAAAAUGUCAGAGUUUUAUUGGUGGAAACCCCUCAUGGGCACCAAAGACGAUGGUAAGUUUGAGAGAUAUAAAAAUGUAAGAGUCUUAUCAAUAAAAACCCUCACGGCAUUGUAAGACGAUUGUAAGUUGAUAGAAAUGAAAAUAAGAGUCUCAUUAGUGAAAAACCCUCAUGGACAACAUAAGGCAAUGGUGAGAUGAGAAAAAAAAUGAGAGAGGCUUGUUAGCAAAAACCCUUCAAGGCACCACUAGCCGAAUGAGGUUUCCGAAUGCAAUUGGACCAAGGAAGAAACUCAGUUUCAGGGUCAUUAACUCAACAAUAAUUGGUGAAAAUUUUGGAUGAAAAGAUUAGGUAGCUUAGUCCAAAAUACAUGUCAUAAUCAUUAGGGUUGACUGUUAUUUUUAGAUAAGUUUUCUUUUCUCUUUUUCAAAUGGGGAUAUUCAUUUUCCUCUCUUUAUUUUUAUUAUAUUUUCUUGAGUCAGUUAUCCAAAUAAAAAUUAUUGUCAUUUUUAUUUUGUCUUUGAGUCAAGUCCAUGUCAAAACAAGUGAGAAAAGAUUUCAAAACUGGCUACCAGCUUCUUCAAUGACGCAGAGCAAGACAAAAAGCUAGCACAUAAAAAGAUACAUGAUUGUGAGCCGAAAUAAGGCAUGUAGAAAGUUUUGUCAACAGACAAUUUUAGGGAACUAUGGGAAUACCAAGGUUCGAAGGGUUUAUCUAAGAAACAUGGCAAAACAGAGAUAUUGUGUUUGUUUCAGAGUCACUUUUAAUAAUCUGAGUUUGGGUUAAUGAUGUAGUAAGUCAAUGACAUAUACUAAUGGUUGGAAGAAAGGUUAAAUAUGAUGGGGGCAAGAGCGAUCAUCGCAAAAGCUAAAGCCACAAACCAUCCACCGUGUUUUAAACUCAUAAGUUUUCUUUGUAUGAAACAAUAAUAUAUGUUACUUUCAAAUCAAGGACUUCAAAGCCUAAACAUCAAAGGUCGUAAUUUCUCACUUCUACAAAUGCAAGAGGCAAUGUUGUUGCACAGGUUUGGUAAUCAAAACCAUGGUAAAACUCAUAAUUCAAUAUCUUUAGGAGACAUAUUUCCUUGGAUAAUUCAAGUGGCAUUUGUAAAGAGACACAUUUUCUUGUCUGGAUAAUUUAAGUGGUAUUUAUAAGGAGACGCAUUUUCUUAUUUGGGUAAUUUAAGCAGCAUAUGUAAGGAGACACAUUUCCUUAUUUGGGUAAUUCAAGCGGUAUUUGUAAGGAGACGCAUUUCCUUUGGUAAUUCAAGUGGCAUUUGUAAGGAGACGCACUUUCUUAUUUGGGUAAUUCAAGUGGCAUUUUUAAGGAGAUGUACUUCCUUAUUUGGGUAAUUUAAGCGGCAUUUGUAAGAAUACGCACUUUCUUGUUUGGGUAAUUCAAGCGGCAUUUGUAAGGAGACGUACUUCCUUGUUUGGCUAACUCAAGUGGCAUUUGUAAGGAAACGCACUUACUUGUUUGGGCAAUUCAAGCGACAUUUGUAAGGAGACGCGCUUCCUUGUUUUGGUAAUUCAAGCGGCAUUGGUAACGAGGCAUACUUUCUUGAUUGGGUAAUUCGAAUUUUACUUGUUAAGUGAUUCACAUCCUAACUUAAGUCUUGACUCCUAGAAGAUGUACUUUUUAGUUGAGUCAUUCCCCUUGACUCUUAGAAGAUGCACUUUCUAGUUGAGUCAUUCCCCUUGACUCCUAGAAGAUGUACUUUCUAGUCGAGUCAUUUCUUUUACUCCUAUAAAAUGUACUUUUUAGUUUAGUAGUUAACCUUUAGGAGACGCACCUCCUUGUCAGGAUAGUUCAAGUUUGGCUUGCUAGGUGACAUACUUCCUAACUUAAGCCUUUACUCCUGGAAGAUGUACUUUAUGGUCGAGUCCUUUCAUGCAACCCUUAGGAGAUCCACCUCCUUAUCUGAGUAAGUCAGGUUUUAUUUAUUAGGUGAUGCACUUUCUAAAUUGAACCUUCUCUCCUAGAAGUCGUAUUCUCUAGUCAAGUCAUUGCACUUAACCCUUAGGAGACGCACUUUCUUGUCAAGUGGCAUACUUCCUAACUUAAACCUUUAUCUCUAGAAGACGCACUUUCUAGUCGAAAUUACUCACUUUAAUUCUUAGGAGACGCACUUCCUAGUCUUGGUCAUUUAAUCUUACUCCUAAGAAAUGCAUUCCUUGGUCAGAGUCUUGAUUUAUCAUUGCAACAUGCAAGUAAUUAUGAUUGGAUUUGACAUUCAUAAAAGUUUUCUGAUGAUAAAUUGGGGAAAAAAAUUAAUUCAUGUUAUUGAAAGUAACAUUUAGUAUCCUCUUGAAAAAUGGAACUUUAUUUUUUGAAAAGUGAGAUUUCUAUCAUAACCUUUGUUUGGGAUAAUUUUCUUUCUAAUUUCAAUGUGAUUUCAGGAGCCCGCCUGAAGAACAGGGCGAAUAAAUAAAAAGUCAAGCAACAAGGUGAAGAAGUUGAAAGUCAAGCAACAAGGUGAAAAAGUUGAAAGUUCAGCAACAAGGUGAAGAAAUUGAAAGUCAAGAGAUCAAAGAAAUAGCAAGUCAAAAGCUCGCCUGGAGAAUAAGGUGAGGAAAUUAAAAGUCAAGCAACAACAUGAUGAAAUUACAAGUCAGGAGCCCGCCUGGAGAAUAGUGUGAUGAGAUAGCAAGUCAAGAGCCAAGGAAAGCUGCAUAGAUAGGAAUUUUGUAGUUUUAUUUAUGUUUUUAACUUGUAAUUUUCAUUUUUUGAUGUAAUGACAGAGCCAUGGAAAGGAACCUCGACAGGGCCUCACUCGACUCUCUAACUCGGUAUGGUCCCGUCUUUCCAACCCUUUGAAAUACAUGUAAAUCAAUCCCCUCAUAAUCUAGGUAAGUAGGAUGUCCAAAAUCAAGAAUCAGUUGCAUUCCUUCCUUUUGUUUCCUACAUUCAAAUAAUGGUCGGGUCAAAAUUUGGUCUCGUUGCUUACUUCUUUGUCUGAAAACACAUUGUGUUUACACCCAAAGAGGGGCAUGAUGUAGACACAUAAUUUUAUCCUCCCUAGAGUAUAUUUUUACCCAUUUACCAUAUCUUACCAUGUGCCCUUAAUCAUGUGAUAAUCUCUCCACUAGAAGACAAAUUAACAAACCCCUAACAAACCCAAUCCCUAAUAUUCUUUUGAUAACAAAAUUAACCUCUCCUCAAUAAAAUUUUGACAACACACAUCACCACUCCACCCCUUACCCCAUCUCACCCCUACCCCACAUACCUCUUCCCUCGUGUUUCUUUCCUCUUGAGUAAUAAUAUACAUACACACUCAUGGGUAUAGAAAAGGGAUGGCAAUAAUACACCAAAAACAUACAGUACAAAAACACGCAUCCUCAUAGUACACACAUCUUACAUAUACACAUACUCACACAGCAAAAAAGGAAAGGGAAAAAACUCACUGGAAUAAGCAUAAACUUACAUACAUAUACUACCGAAAAAACACACGCCCUACCAAAAAAUUGGUGAAGGACUGAGAGAGGAAAAAAUAGUGAAGGGGAAGAGAAAAAUUGAGGUGAUCUAAGAGAGAAUGGAGGGAGUUUUGAGUGAGAAAAUGAGCACAAGAAAGAGAGUUAUGUUGAUAGAGAUAUUUUUCUGGCGAGCUCUCGCCGAAAAUGUUAAUGUUGCUGUCGUCCAUUUCUCUUAUUUUUUUGGUUACUGUCGGAGAUCACCGGAGUUCCGAAGAAAUGAAAAUACUGAACCCCAACUCCAUUCUUACUAAACUAUCAUCGAAAAACACCACCACAAACCACUCGUCACCUUGUCGUUCUUCAUUUGAAAAAUAUACUCAAAAUUGGGUUGACAUUUAGACUUAUUUUUGUUAGACUUGGACAUUGGUGUCUCAGUUUGCCUGAAUUUCUAGUGGGCUACGGUUUCAAAUCAUAUCGUAAGAAAUUUCCGUGGGAAUUGAGAUUCGCAAGUUGGGUUUUGAUAUUCGAGGUUGAGGUUGCUACUGAAAUUUGAUUCGAGGUUCCGACGUGGACUCCAUCUUAUUUAAUCAAAUAAUACAUGAUUAAAAGCAGCAUUGAGGUCCAAUUCAUUCUUCUCUUCCUUUUAAUUCUUAUGUGAUUGUGAACAUGCUUUAAUAUGUGAAUUGUUGGUGAUGUAUGAGUGUUGGAUUGGUGAAUAUUUGAUAUUCAUGGUUGGUGAAUGUUUUCUUGUUGAAUAAUUAAUCAAUUGGGUGAUCGACAAUAUAUUGAGGGACUUGAAAAUUGAUAUAAAGUUGAUAUUAUUGUAUUUUUGAUUCAUUGAUUAUGUUGAACGUAAUAGAAUCAUGAUAAGUCAAAAUGGGUAGGCAAACGGUAGGCACGGGUAGGCAAAUUUAGGAAUGGUGUUUUGUUGAAGGUUUAAAUAUGUGUGUGAAUGGUUCUUUUUACUUUAUUGCACAAGGGUCAAUUGCAUUUAUUUAGCCGGGGAAUACCCCGAGGCCAUUUGUAUUUAUUCAUCAGGGAAUUCCCCAAAGUAUCAUGUACGCAAAGGAGAUUUGUGAUCAAGGCCCGAGGUAUGAGGUAAAAUAUCGGAGCGUAGUUUAGGACUAGUGUAGGUUAGCGUAGGUUAAUUUCAGUAUCUUUUAUUUCCGACUGUAAUAAUUGAAUUGGAUACUAUUUUUUCAGACUUAUUUUGUUUGGUUUGGUUGUUUGUCUAUUUUGUGUGUUUUAUGUGGUUUACUCACUUUAUAGUGUCAUACUAGUCAAUAUACUCUAUGAAGCGACCUUGGUCGAACUACGGGAUCGAGGGAUGCUUAACACCUUCCCCUCAGUCAACAAAAUUCCUUAACCAAAAUCUCUGUUCGUGGAUCAAUUUUAGAGUCAAACUGUUUUGAAAAAGGAUUCCAAAAGGUGACUUGGCAUUCCCGAUUUAUGACAAGUGGCGACUAUGAGCUAAUUGUAAAAUGAAUCCUUUUAGAAACAACUUUACUUUUUGUCACUUAAUAAUAAAACUCUUUUCAAACUUAAAAUCUAAUCUUUUUGGUUAAAAAGGGGGUAAGACAAGGAAUCGGUUCAGGUCUCGGAUCGAGAGUUAUGGUCGGGUGUAACACCCCAAAUUUUUUAUCCUUGAAAAUUCCUUGACCUUUGAUCUCACUGCCUAGACUACAACUCUCCCUACGAGUUAUAGGGUGUCAUUACAGGUAGUAUAGUCCCUAAUCGUAAGCCAAUCAGUGUACUAUCCUAAUAUUUUAGAUGUCACUACGACUAUACUUAAUAAGUCAUAUAGACUCAUUAUGAGUCAUAAUGUGACUUCUAUAAGGUAACCAAUGUAUGGCCUUGGUGGUUCUGUCUUGACUAUGACUUGGACACUACGAGUCGUAAGGUUAUUUGACGAGUAAUAUGACUCAGUUAUAACCAAACCAGUGUGGAUACCCAUGGGUACUGUCCAGUCUACGACUGGAUCUCACGAGUCGUAGAGUGACCCUACGAGUCGUUAAGGUCACCCGUAACGGCUGGCGAUGAUUUUUAGCUUUAAUUAGAAGGGGCACUUUGGUUAUUUCCCUCCUUACCCCCUUAGACCCCACGCCUAUAAAACACUAAGGAUGGGUUAUUUUCAGUACUUUAACAUAUCAAAUACACUCUUCACUCUCUUAAAUUCCCUAUUCAAGUUAAGGCAAGGGUUUCAAGGGAAGUGGUCAUCUAGGGUUCUAAGGGUGGUUUCUUUCUCAAUUUUCUUGGUAAUUAAGAUAUGUAUCUCUCUCCUUACACUUGGAUUUUCUUAAUUGCAUGAAAUUAAUUUACUAUUCACAUGGUUUUAAUAUUGGAUUUUGAAUUAUGGGUUGAGGGUUUUGGAUACAAAUUGUUUGAAUGUUCUUCUCAUGAUUACUGUUAAUUUAUUAUACAUUGAAUAGUUGGUUUAUGCACUCAUUGGGGUGCAUGGGAAUGGUGAAUGAAUUUAGGGGUACAAGGAUUCCCUAAACUUGUGAACAAUAUAAUUAAGGGUACAAGAAUUCCCUAAAUAAUUGGAUUUUGGUAUUGAAAUUGAUAAGAACCCCAACCCACUUGCAUACUUAACUUUGGAAUGUGAAUUAUCAAUUGGUUUGACUUAUUUCUUUAAAACUAAUGCAUUGUAUAAAUGGCAAAAUAGUUAAGGAUGACUUUGAAAACCUGUAGGGUACAAGGAUUCCCCCAAGCAGAUAAUAAUGGUAUUGAAAACCUUAUGGGGUACAAGGAAUCCCCCAAGUUGAUUUUUAAUAAUGGAGUCUAGGUACAAGGAUUCCCCAAAGUAUUGGCUUAGUUAUAUUGCUUGCAAGCUAUUGUCGGUAUGACGAUACCACUUAAUGAUGACUUAAUUAUUGACUUCUUAAUGUAAUGGUUGGGUUAUAUGUUAAAUGUUUUAAUUGGGAUUAAUGGGGGUUGUGUUAGCUAUUCAUGAAGGUGUAAGUCCCGAAGGACUGCUACUGAAAACUUAUGUUGCCGACAUGAGGUUUGGGUUAUGUCACAUACUCUAUAUAUAUAUUUGUAUCAUGGAUGAAAAAGGUACAAAGAUUCUCCAGCCUCCUAUGAUAUCCUCAACUCGUGCUGCUAAUACGCAUUUGGGCUCGAUCAAGGAGAGACACUGGACCCGUAUAGCCUGUGGGAAGUUUUAAGACGGUCAAGCUAUACAAUCCAUGCUAAUAUUUUCAAAUUGCAUGCUAACCCUUGUUACCUGCCCUGUUACAUUAUAUAUAUGUAUAUGCAUAUGCUUGUGUGUAUUUGGAUUUUUGGACUGAUUUAGGAUUAUUCAUCAUGGCAUUACUUUAUCCCUUAUCUCUGAGUUAUAUGCUAGCGAUCAACUCAUGAAAUGUCUUCAGAUGUUGUAUUCCCAUGAGAUGCAGGCACAAUAAAUACUUAUACUUUUCCUGCGGAGUGACUAGGUGAUCGUGGGAUAGCUCGUGAGUCAGAUUAAAGUGUUGAGCUUCCAUAUUUUGAAAGACCUCAUUUUAUAUUUUAUUUUACUAUUGUCAUAAACUAUUCUAUUUGCUCUUUUUCGCUACCAUUAGGGGCAUGUCCCAACUUAGAUUGUCUUUGGUUUUGAUAGAGGCUUUGUGGAUAUUACUGUGGACUUGGGUAUUGGUUAUUGGUUCUUUUGGCAUAUCAUAAAUGUCUUUGAAUUCACCAUUUUGUUUUGUUAUAUGUUCAGAAUUCAGUCUCUACAAGUGUGUAUGCUCUAUUGAUUAGGCUAAAAGGGAGGUCUUCAGUCUAUGGUGGACUUGAGAUACCCGUCAUGGCCAGGUACUAGUUAGGGUGGUGACAAAGUUGGUAUCAAAGCCUAGGUUCAUGGUCAAUUGGGUGUCCACAAAUCCGUGUCAAGUAAAGUCUCUUCCAUGGGUGUGUAGCACGCCACACUUAUGAGGGAGAGGCUAUGAGACAUUUUGGAGUAUUUCCCUUUCUUAUUAUUUUAUUUUUAGGAUAUAGAGUCUAAGAUCUUGAAUCUCCUCUAAUUCCCAUUUGUUCUCAUUUCAGAUCAUGUCUCCCAGACGAUUUGAGGCUAGUUAAAACUCCUUUGUCCCGCCUAAGAAAAAUGUGGAUGUAACUCGUCCUACUCAUAGGGUACAAACCUAGUCUAGGUUCGCUUCUUCUAAUUGCUCCUAUGGAGUUCUAUCGAUCCCCACUGAUCCUUCUCCAGAGGGCGACACCCAUGCUCAGUAACCCCAAGAAAAUAUUACUAAUGUGGAAUUCCAUCAAUCUAUUCAUCUAUUUUCCCAGUUGGUGACCUCUCAAUCACGUCAGUUGGGUUCUGUUGGUACUGUUAUGAGUUAUUCUUAGGUUACUCAAGUCAAAUAGUUUAUGAGGCUCAAUCCUUAAACCUUUACUGGCUCUAAAGUUGAGGAGGAUCCUCAAGGAUUCAUAGAUGAAAUAGAGAAGAUCUUCUGAGCUAUGUGUGCUUCUGAUGUAGAGGGUGUGGAAUUUGCUACUUAUUCGUUGAAAAAUAUAGUGUAUCAAUGGUAUAAAGAGUGGGAGCAGCUUAGAGGUGAUGAUGUUGAUUUUGCUUUUUGGGAUGACUUUAUGGAAGCUUUUUUGGAUCUAUUAUUUCCUUAAGGGUGAGAGAGGUAAAAUUUGAGAAGUUUGUGAAUUUGAAGUAGGACAAAAUGAUUAUAAAGGAAUAUAUCUUGAAGUUUCAUCAGUUGUCACGUUAUGCUCCUGAGCUAGUAUCUAGCAUAAGGUCUAGAAUGAGGAAAUUUGUUUUUGGGUUGUCCCGUGAUUUGACUUUGGAGAGCAAGGUCGCUUUGUUGAACAAGGACAUAGAUAUCUUUAGACUUGUGGUGUAUAUGCAACAAGUUGAAGAAAAAAAAGAUAAAACAAAACAAAAUAGGGAAGAGGUAGAGUAAGAAGUUUUGGUAUUCGGAUCAGGGUGGAGGUCAGCUGCAGAGUGGUAGAGAUGGCGAAAAAUGGUCUAAUAAGAAGUGGGGAAAUUCUGGUUUAUAUUCGACGACUAGUGCUCCUUAUCCAAAGUCAUUCCGUGAUCAUUAUUUUUAGAGUGGUGAUGGUCCUAAGGCACAUGAUGCCUAAUCUCAAGCUAAUGGGGUCCAGUCAGCUCCGUCCUAUCCUCCUUGUCGAUUUCGUAGUCAGUUGUAUCAUGGUUUAUAUAGUGAGGGGAGGAACCGAUGUUUCAAUUAUGGUUAACCUAGAAAUAUAGAGAGAGAAAUUAUCCCGUAGGUAAGGUUUUUUUGGGAGCCAAUAAGGUUCAUGCGGCUACUUUUUCAACUCCAGCAACAAAGGGUGCCACUUCUAGUGACUACAUUGGCCGAAACUGUCUGUAUGCUCUUACCACCCAUCAGGAGUCGAAGGCAUUUCCUAAUGUCAUCACUGGUAUGUGACAACUCUUUUCCCAUGAUGUGUACUAUUUACUCGAUUUAGAGUCCACUCUUACUUAUAUGACCCUAUAUGUGGUUGUUCAUUUUUGUUUUGGUCCCAAGUGUAUUUCUGAACCCUUUUCUGUGUCUACCCCGGUUGGUGACUCUAUCAUGGCUAGAAGAGUCUAUAAGGGUUCUGUGGUAUCUAUCUGUGAUAGGGACACAUUGGUGGAUUUGAUAGAGUUAGACAUGUUAGAUUUUGAUGUUAUUUUAGGGAUGGAUUAGCUCCGUUUUUGUUAUGUGUCUCUUGAUUGUAGGACCCAAAGUGUCAGUUUCCAAUUCCCAGAUGAAUCGACGAUUGAGUAGGAGGGGAGUUUCCUAGUGCCUAAGAAAAGGUUCGUUCUUAUCUAAGAUCCUGGAAAUUGAUUUCCAAAGAAUUUCUGUGUGACCUGGUUAGGGUUAAAGAUUCUAAUUAUGAGGGUCCUUCCUUGUCAUAUGUCCUUGCGAUCUGCGAGUUUCCUGAAAUGUUUCCUAAUGAUCUUUUGGUGUCUCUCCCAACAAGGAAAUUGAGUUUGGGAUUGAUCUUUUCUUGGACACUCAUCUUAUCUCUGUCCCUCCCUAUAGAAUAGCUCCAACUGAGUUUAUGAGCUUAAGGAUCAGUUUAAAGAUCUCUUUGAUAAGGGUUUUAUCCACUCUAGUGUAUCUCCAAUGGGUGUUCCUAUUCGUUUUGUGCGUAAUAAGAAUAGUUCUCUUCAGAUGUGUAUAGAAUGCCGCCAGUAGAAUAAGAUGUCGAUAAAGAAUAAGUAUUCUCUCCUUAGGAUUGAUGACCUGUUUGACCAGCUUUAGGGUGCUAAGUACUUCUCUAAGAUUGAUCUUUUGUCUAGGUACCAUUAGCUGAAGAUUAGGAAUGUUGAUAUCCCUAAGACUGUUUUUCGAACUCGCUAUGGUCAUUUUAGGUUUUGGUGAUAUCUUUUGGUUUGACUAUGCCCUGGACGCAUUUAUGGAUCUUAUGAAGUAGAUAUUUUGUUAGUUCUUGGAUUUGUUUAUGAUACUAUUUAUAGAUAAUAUUUUGGUGUAUUCAAAGAGUGAGGUGGAUCAUGCCGAUCACCUUCGUAUAGUGUUGCAGAACCUUAAGGAUCAACUUUUGUAUGCUAAAUUUUCCAAGUAUGAGUUUUGGUUGAAUUCUGUUACUUUUCUUGGUCAUGUUGUUUCUAGUGAAAGGAACAUGGUGGAUCCACAGAAAGUUAUGGUAGUUAAGAAGUGGACUCGACCCACGACUCCAAUCAACAUUCGGAGCUUCUUGGGAUUUGGCCUAAUAUUAUAAGAGGUUUAUGGAGAGUUUCUCUUUGAUUACUGCUCCGUUGACUAGACUGAAUCAGAAGAAGGUGAAGUUCAUGUGGUUCGACGCUUGUGAGGAUAGUUUUGAGAAGUUGAAAGAUAAAUUGACUUCUGCUCCGAUUUUGACCCUGACCGAGGGUACUGAUGGCUUUGUUGUUUAUUGUGAUACACCCUGUGUGGGACUCGAUUGUGUGUUAAUGCAGCAUGUAAGGUUAUGGUGUAUGCUUCUAUCAUGACCCGAGACUACCCCCUAGUCGUAACACGGUGCUUAGAACCACAAGUGAUCCCAAGCUAAUCCAUGAACUGACAUAUUGUUAAGAAACUGAUUUAAAAUAUAUUAAAUAACUGGUUCUUCUUUGCGGAAAUAUAAUCAUGACAAAAUCUGAGAAAAAUAAUACUGAUACAACUUAUAAUUUGAUAAAUCUGAAGAGGGAAUUGAAAUUACAUGACUGACUCUGACUGACAUCUAUGAAGCCUCUACUAUACUGACUAUACAUAGUUGGGACAUACCUCCAGCUACUACUAAUCAAUACAUGUGAAUAAUACUAUAAAGUACAUGAAUAACAUCUAACUGGAGUGCCCAAAAUAGGAGAACUCAUCACCUACUGACUGGAAACUACAACUGUUUGUGUUGUCUGGGCUACAAAUGGUACCUACAUUAUGAAAUAAUGUAGCCACACAGACGUAUAUGUAGAUCAGUAAUUCUGGAAUGUACUGAGUAAGCGAGGGUGAGUGUAAUAAGUAAAACUGAUUAUGUAUGAAAUCUUAAAGCAUGCAUGUUAAGUGUAAGUAGACUCACCAAUAGGCUGGAAUAAACUAAAAGAUAAAAACAUCUUAAAACUUGAGUAACAAACAUAAUCUGGUAAGAUGGUGAAUCACUACACUUAGUUUCUUAAAACUCGUUACUUUUGUAGAAUAAGUACAACUAAAGUUGGGAUAUGGUAAAACAUGGAUAUUGUAUGAAUACUAGGUCUGAAACUACGUGAUGAAAACUGACAUAAAUCAAGGAUCUAAAUAUAUAAUUAUACUGAGCACGAAUGCAUAAACAUACAAAACCAAACGUAACAUAUACUAGGCUUAUCUGAUUAACUGAAUGACUAAUAGCUGAAUACUGGUCAUGUAAGACUGGAUUUUACUUAGUCGGAAUAACUAGAUUGAAACUGUGGAGUACUAUGCAUAUGAGAUAAGGAAUAACUGAAAAACAUGAGAUAAUUGAACAUAAAUGCAUGAAAACUGUAUUAUCUAAGAAUGCAAGACCAAGCAUAAGCAUAUUUUUGAAAUAAUAUGUAAAUUGAAAAACUAAAAUUUGAUAACAGAAUAACUGAGAAUCUGUAUAUUUUGGUUAAGAAAACAUGAACUGAAACUACACUGAAUACUGUACUGACACUGUGGGAGGAUCAUCUAACCGACAUACCCCAAUCUAAGCUAAUCGGGUUUCAACCUGUAACCCUAGUUGGAAGGGUGUCUGUACCAUACCACAAGUACUAAUAAUGGUUGUGUGGAUCCACUAAACUAAUGUCCCAAAGGACCAGGGUGUCAAGCCUAAACUGAUGGGUGACCCCUAAAAGGUAGUCAAGCCUAAACUAGUGUGUGACUCCUUAUAUCCUACGCUGAAUAUGUAGUUCUGGAAUAUAGGGAUUGCUACUAACUACUUUGCCUAACUGACAAGGAAGACACCAUCCCUGCAUCAACUCGGUAUUAAAUCCUACUCCCAACUAAACUGACUCGAAAUAUUGAACCGGUCUAAGUUUAACCGAUUAUGAUAACUGAUUGAACUAAUAAUGCUCAUAACAUGUCUGAAACCAUUCUGAAAAUACCAAAAGUAAGUAAACAACUAAAUUUUAGGUAUUCAAAACCCCCAGGACUCGAUGACACAUGAAAGCAUUUGAAACAAUGAUAAGUAAGCAUUAUUCCAAACUCAUUACUUAGGCAUUUCAUCAAACACUUGAGAUAAUGAAUUUAAGCAUGGGAAAACAAUAGGAUAACAUGGCUAAAUUCAUAAUUUGGGAUUUAUCCUGAAAUCAAUGGAACGUGAAAUGGGAAUUUCAAUACUCAAACCAUAAAUGACUCAUUCUAAUUGAAAACACUUGUAACCAUGACUUGAGAAUAUAACAUGAAAUUCGCUUGACUUAACAUGGGAGAUUGAAACUUGAAGCAUAGAUUAACCGAACUUUUCAUAGAAUCAUUUUUGAACAUGAAUUAAGUCAAAUUGCUAAGGAGAAACAUGAUUAAAUGCAUCUUGAACAAUUACGACUUCAUAAUAAUGAAAAAAAACUCAUACUUUAAAUCUAGAAAGGUUUUUGGGCUCUAUGGGUGAAAGGGGACCCAUGAAUGAAUUCCCACAUACCUUAAUGCUUUAAUCUUGAAAGAGAAUUAACUUUUCUUCAACGUUCUUGGAUUGGAAUCUUGAAUUCCUUGAUUUCUUGUGAAAAGCACUUGAAUCUUAUUCUUGGGAAUGGAAUAGGACUUUUGAGUUACUUACUAAUUACUUAGGGUUAAGAAAGGGGAUUUUAUGUAUUUAAUACUUUAUAAAAAUGAUUUGAAGUGAUUAAGGAUGGUUUAUGGGAGUGAAAUGACUUCAACACCCUUGAUUUAGGUCAAAAUAGAGUAUUUUUGACACUUGGCAAGGACCUAGGCGACGCCCAGUCAAUCGCCCAAGCCAAGGUUGGUGACGCCUAGCCAAUCGCACACCCAUUCCAGUAGCCUUAGGUGAUUGUUAGGAAACGCACACCCCUUUCCAUGACCAUAACUUUUCGCUCGGUAUUGGAUUAAGGAAAAAUUGGUAUUGUUGGAAAGCUAAUUCAAUUGUCUACAAUUUUGUGGUUCUUAAGCUGAAAAAUUCCACAUAUAUCAAAAUUUAUACACGUUAAAAGUAGACCCUUGUAGAAUCAAAUACCAAACUUUGGACAAAUAAAUGCUCUUAGCUCAACUUUGUUCCAAGAGAUUCUUAUGAAAUAUUUUUCAUGUAGAAAGUACUUCACACACUAUGAUAAAUAUCAUGACAAUUGUAUUGACAUACAAAUAAUGGCAUUAAAGUUUUACACACAUAGCACCAACAGCUCAAUUUCAAGCUAAAAAAUACGGGGUGAUAGAGCUUUUAUGCAGCUUAAGGUGCAUGAUAAGAAUUAUCCGACUCAUUAUUUGAAGUUAUUAGUUGUGGUUUUCUCCAUAAAUAUUUGGUAUCACUAUUUUUAUGGAGUUCAUGUUGACAUAUUUUCUGAUUAUAAGAGCCUACGUGUUCACCCAGAAGGAGUUAAAAUUCAGGCAGAGGUGAUGGCUUGAGUUGCUUAUCUAUGGGGAUUCUAUCUCAUACGGAAGAGGAGAAACAUGGAUUAGUGAAGGAUAUUCACUGUUUAGCUAACCUUAGAGUUUGUUUUUUAAAUUUAAAAGAUGGAGGUGUAGUUGCUCAAGAGGUGUGAGGUCAUCUCUUGGUGCUAAGGUAAAAGAUAAGAAGGUUUUGGAUUCAAUCUUGAUGUGGAUUAAAUAUGAUGUGGGCCAGCAAAAAGUAAUGGUUUUUUAGAUUGGUGGUGAUGGUAUCUUAAGAUACCAAGGUAGGUUGUGUGUUCCUGAUGUUGAUGGGAUAUGAGAGAGGCUCUUGGCUAAAGCUCAUGAGUCAUGGUAUACGGUUUAUCCUGGUUCAACAAAGAUAUAUCAUAACUUGAAAGAGAUUUAUUGGUGAAAUAACAUAAAGUGGAAUGUGGCAAAUGUUAUGGCUAAGUGUGUGGUGUGUUAACAAGUGAAGGCAGGACACUUGAGGCCUGGCGGGUUGUCUCAAGAGAUUGAGUUACCCAUGUGGAAGUGGAAAGUGAUUAAUAUGGAUUUUUUUAAUGAUCUUCCAUGAUCUCGCCAUCAGUUUGAUUUGAUUUGGGUCAUGGUGGAUAGGAUGACUAAGUCCGCUCACUUUCUUCCAGUAAGGACUAAUUAUUCUGCUGAGGACUAUGCGAAGUUGUUUAUCCAAGAGAUCAUGAAUUUGCAUAGUGCGCCUAUUUCUGUUAUUUGUUAUCGUGGUACUCAGUUCUCAUCACAUUUUUGGCAAUCGUUUUAGAGAGGUUUGGGCACUAAGGUAAACCUUAGUACCGGUUUCCACCCAUAUAUGGAUGGACAAGCGGAAAGGACCAUUAUAACAUUGGAAAAUAUGUUUUGGGCUUGUGUAAUUGACUUUGUUGGCAGUUGGAUUGAUCAUUUGCCUCUCAUCAAGUUCACGUAUAAUAAUAGCUAUCACUCUAGCAUUAGAAUGGUCCCUUUUGAGGCUUUGUAUGGCAGGAGAUAUCGUUCGCCUAUUAGGUGGUUCAAAGUUGGUGAGACAAGGUUAUUUGGUCCUGAUUUGGUUCAUCAAGCUAUGGAGAAAGUGAAGGUAAUUUGGAAAAGGCUUAAGACUUCUCAAAGUUGCCAAAAGUCCUAUGCGGACGUGAGGCGAAGGGAGUUAGAAAUUAAAGUUGGCAAUUGGGUAUUUUUGAAGGUGUCUCUCAUUAAAAGGGUGAUGCAGUUUUGAAAUAAAGAAAAGCUCAAUCCUCGUUAUGUGGGCUUGUAUUUGUUUUUGAAGAGAGUGGGCAAUAUGGCCUAUGAAUUAGAAUUGCCUUCUUGUUUGGGUUUCAUUUAUCCGGUAUUCCAUGUUUCAAUGUUGAGAAAGUGUGUAGGUGAUCCGUCUUUGACUGUUCCUCUUGAGAGUGUAGGUAUUAUGGAUUCUUUAUCCUACGAGGAAGUCUCGAUUGAGAUUUUGGAUCAUCAAGUCCAUUGGUUGCAGACUAAGGAUGUGGCUUCGGUGAAGGUUCUAUGGAGGAACCAAAAGGUUGAAGAAGCUACUUGGGAAGUCAAGGAGGACAUGAAGUCCAAAUAUUCAUUCUUGUUUCCCGCUUUAGAUAAUCAUGCUAGAGGUAUGUGUAUUCUCUGACAUCUUUGUUUUCGUCUUUGUUAAAGGUAAGUGUAGGUGUGUUUCUGUGUUAAAUUAUGCCAAAAGAUACCUUGACAUAUCAUUUGAGGAUGAAUGAUCCUAAGGGGAGGAGAAUGUAAUACCUCGAUUUUUGGUCCUUACAAAUUCCUUGAUCUUUGAGCUCACUGUCCAAACUACGACUCUCCCUACGAGUCGUAGGGUGUCAUUGCAGGUAGUAUUGCCCCUAUCAUAAGCCAAUUGGUAUACCAUCCCAAUGUUUCUGAUGUCACUACGACUAGACUCAACGAGUUAUAUAGACUCAUUACGAGUCAUAAUGUGCCUUCCGUAAGGUAACCAGUGUAUGACCUUGGUCGUUCUGUCUUGACUACGACUUGGACCCUAUGCGUCGUAGGGUCACUUGAUGAGUCAUACAACUCAGUCAUAGUCGGAUAGUAUGGGUUCCUGUGGGUACUGUCCAGCCUACAACUGGAGCUCACGAGUUUUAAGGUCACCCGUAACGACUGGCGAUGAUUUUCAGCUUUAUUUAGAAGGGGCACUUUGAUCAUUUUCCUUCUUACCUCCUUAGACCUCACGUCCAUAAAAUACUAAGGAGGGUUAUUUUUAACACUUUAACAUAUCAAAUACUCUCUUUACUUUCUCAAAUUCCCCAUUCAAGUCAAGGCUAGGGUUUUAAGGGAAGUGGUCAUCUAGGGUUCAAAGGGUAGUUUCUUCCUUAAUUUUCUUGGUGAUUAAGGCAUCUAUCUCUCUCAUUACACUUGAAUUUUCUUAAUUUCAUGAAAUUGAUUUAUUAUUCACAUGAUUUUGAUGUUGGAUUUUGAAUUAUGGGUUGAGGGUUUUGGAUACAAAUUGUUUGAGUGUUUUUUCCAUGAUUACUAUUAAUUUAUUAUGCAUUGAAUAGUUGAUUUGUACACUCAUUGGGGUGCAUGGAAAUGGUGAAUGAAUUUAGGGGUGCAAGGAUUCCCCAAACUUGCGAAUAAUGUAAUUAGGGGUACAAAGAUUUCCCAAAUAAUAGAAUUUUGGUAUUGAAAUUGAUAAGAACCCCAAUCCACUUACAUACUUGGUUUUGGAAUGUAAAUUAUCAAUUGUCUUGGCGUAUUUCUUUAAAACUAAUGUAUUGCAUAAAUGGUAAAAUAGUAAAGGAUGACUUUGAAAACCUUGUGGGGUACAAGGAUUUCCCCCAAGCGGAUAAUAAUGGUCUUGAAAAUCUUUUGGGGUACAAGGAAUCCCCCAAGUUAAUUUUUAAUAAUAGAGUCUGGGGUACUAGGAUUCCCCAAAGUGUUGGCUUAAUGACAUUGCUUGCUAGCUAUAGUUGGGAUGAUGAUACCACUUAAUGAUUGACUCCUUAAUGCAAUGGUUGGGCUAUAUGUUAAAUGUUUUAAUUGGGUUUAAUGGGGGUUGUGUUAGCUAGUCGUGAAGGUGUGAGACCCGAAAGACUCAUAUUUGUCGACAUAAGGGUUGGGUCUUGAUGAUCGUGUGCUUAUGUCACAUACACAGACACACUCUCUUUCUAUAAAUAUAUAUAUAUAUGUAUAUAUAUAUAUAUAUAUUAAAAGUGUGAAGACCCUUAGAAAAGUGAUUUAAAUUUUUUGCCCUUCAUUAAAACACCAUGUAAUAGACAAAAUCGUCUUCUCACUAUUUUUUAAUAUUUAAAACAUAAAAUUUAUUUAAAUUUAAUCGCUAGACAUUUACUUAAUUGAAUUAAGUUAUAUACUUAAAUUUAGGACUUUAGAAAAAAAAAACAAAAAAAAAAAAGCAUACAUCUAAAAGAAAAGGGAGCAAAAAAUUUGUAAGAAAUUACCUUAUUCCUUUGUACCUCUAAUAUAAUCAUUAGACCUUUAUUUAAUUGAAUUAAAUUAUAUGCUUAAAUUUAGAACUUAAAAAAAACAAAAAAUAAAAUUAAAUACUAACUAAAUAAUUUAGUUGUUGGGAAUAUACUAGGUUCGUUGUUGUUGUUGUAUAAAUAAUUUACUUAGCAAAAAGAAAUAUCAUCAUAAAUAAUUUAUUAUCAUAAUUAAUUUUUACUUUUUCAAAAAAAUAAAAAAAAUGCCAUAUUUAAGUAACCUUUUUUAAAGAAAAAAGAUGUUCGACUUCUAUAAAUUGAAUAAUCUUCCUUCUACAACACGUAAUAGAACAACUAAUUAUUUUUAUAUGUUUGUAAGUAACUUUGUUAUUGAGUUUCUAACUUAAUUUUUUUAUUUAAUAUUCAAAUUUCAGAUUUCUUUUUUCUAUUGUGCGGGGGUUAUUGAUCAAGAAUAACAAAACAACUUUUUAUAUUUGUAAGUAACUUUCGUUAUUGAAUCUCUGACGUAAAUCGUGAUUUUCGAUUUCAGGUUUUCUUUUUCAUUACACUGAAUUUCUUGAUGAUUUUUUUUUUAUUAUGCUGGUGUUACUGAUCAAAAAUAAGAAAACAUCUUGUUGUGUUUGUAAGUAACUUCCGUUAUUGAAUCUUUGACGUAACUUCGUGGUUUUCGAUUUCUGAUUUUCUUUUUCAUUACAUUAAAUUUCUCGAUCAUGAAUAAUGAAUGUUCUUUUAUGUUUGUAACUAUAGCCUCGAUCGAGAUUUAUUUCACACGCCAAUCUAAAACUCAUAAUAUUGUUAAAGGGAAAAGAAUUAUUGUAUAUUUUAAGUACAAAAUAUUGUGAUAAGUAAAAGGGAGCGAAUACUUUUUUUAUGAAUUGACACAAUAUACACAUGCAACACACAUACUUUAGAGGCUUAUUAUUUUUAGAUAUUUUCUUUCGAAUCGUUGAAGAUGAAGAAUUUUGUAAGAUACAAAAUAAACUUUUCUUUAUUUUCUUGGCAUAGACAAAAUAAAAAAUUUUACUGGGCACUUCAAUAAACUUAACGAAUUAUAAUUUUUGUUUUUUUAUCUGAUAUUUUUUCAAAUAUUUAUUGUAUUUUCUAUGCAGAUUUGUUGCCUAUCUUUUUCUGUAAAAGAAUUGCUUUUGUUUUAGGAAACAUAUAUGAAGAAAAGGUAACGGUACAAUUUAGUUGACUUGGUUAACUCCCUGAAGAAGUUUUUAAUUUAAUUUUCUUGAUAUUGGAUGAAUGAAAAAUACCAACUUAAUAAACUCUAGACUAAUUUUAAUUGUCUUUACAUUCCCAUAGAAAAUUUCUGAACUGUUUGCAUGGAAUCCAAAGGUUAAAUGUCGCACUUUUAGGAUAAAAUCAAGUCAAAUUGCACAACAUUAUUGUCAAUCACUAAUCGGUCUUCUUAGUGAAGACACCAAGGCACAAAACAUAAUCACAUCGUACUUCACAAAGGAUAGAGAAUUGAAUCACAUGAGUUCACAUUAGAGCGGACACUCCAAACCUUUACAAAUUUUUAAACAAUGAAAAGUACAAUUUUUGACUAAAUUCUGAUGUAAAAUCUAAACACUACUUGUAUUGCAUGUUAAAAUAUCUUUAAUCCUCAGCUAUUACGCAUGUACUUGCUGAAACUAAAAUAAAACCCGACUAGUUUUUCAAAUUUUUCAAUGAAACUAUAAAUCAAAAGUAUACAGUUAACUUACAAAUUUGAUAUACACAUGAGUACAAAAUUAUUUUAAAAAUAAAAUUUACUGACAAAUAUAAGGGAAUCUCAAUGUAUUCCAUAUUCUCACUAUCUUAUUUGUAUUUUAGAUAUUACAAAUGCUAUAUAAUUAAUUAAAUAAAUUAUCUAUCUUUACAUGUUCAAAAUUCACUUAUAUUAUUUAAACAAAUAUCAUUUAGUGUAGCAUUUAAACUCAUUAAAGUGAGAUACACGCGUGAAGCGCAUACACCUAAACUAGUGUGUAUAUAUAUAUAUAUGCAUAUGCUUGUGUGCAUUUAAAUUUUUUGGCUGAUUUAAGAUUAUUAAUCAUUGCAUUACGUUAUCCAUUAUUCCUGAGUUACAUGCUAGCGCUCAACCCGCUAACUGUCUUCGAACGAUGUAUCCUCACGCAAUGCAAGCACUGAAAAUACUUCUAUUUUUCCUGUGCGGUGACUAGGUGAUCGUGGAAUAGCUCGUGAAUCCGAUUGAAGUGGUGAGAUUCCAUACUUCGAAAACCUCAUUUAAUGUUUUGUUUUCCUAUUGUCAUAGACUAUUCUUUUGGCUUUUUUUUGGCUAUCAUCGGGGGCAUGACCAGACUUAGAUUGUCUUUGAUUUUGAUAGAGGCUUUGUGGAUAUUACUUUGGACUUGGGUAUUGGUUAUAGGUUCUUUUGGCAUAUUAUAGAUGUCUUUGAAUUUACCUUUUCUAUUUUGUUAUACGUUUGAAAUUCAGUAUCUAUUAGUUUGUAUGCUUUGUUGAUAAGGCCAAGGGGAUAGUCUCCGGUCCACGACAUUCUUGGAGAUAUCCAUCACGACUAGGCCCUGGUUUGGAUCGUGAUAUUGGGUCUUGAGUCGGGAACCGGGAUCGGGUCUCGAAUCGAGUAUUGGUUAGGUCUCAGGUUGGGUGUUGGGGUCAAUUUUUGAGUUGGGUAUCAAAGUCGAGUCUUGGGGUCAAUUCUCGGGGUUGAUUAUUGGCUAUCGGGUUCGGGUCCUCGUUCGAUUGUUGGGUUCGAUUAUCGAGUUUGGAUUUUGGGUCGGAUCUCAGAUCGGGGGUAGAAAUUGGAUCCUUAUUUAGAUGUCAGAGUCUGGUCCUGAAUCAGCCACCUGGAUGGAUUUUCGGGUCAGAAAUAAUUUUUCGGAAAAGUAAUUUUUUACUUUCUAGCUAAAUACUAAAAUAUGUAUUUUGAAAAAUAAUUUUCAUCCACCAAACAAAAACUAGAAAAUAUUUUUUGAAAAAUAUUUUUCACUCAAUAACCAAAUAUGAGAAAAUAAGAAAAAAUCAACUUAUUUUUUGAAAAAAAUAUUUUUCAUGAAGAAUAUUUUUCCUUCAUACCAAACAUACCCUAAGCCAAAAUUAUUCUUGUAUUAUUAUUCAUUUAAAAGAAACAAUGAUCAUAUCUUGACCCAGAAACAAGAUUGAAGUAGAUUUUAGAAUCUGGAAACUAGUCUUCCAAAAACUAAACAAAUUUGGCAAUUUUUUCCCCCAAAAAGUGCUUUCAAAAGCUACCGUCAAUUGGUUCCAUAAUGUGUAUUAAUACUUUGUUUGACUAAUAUUUUAAAACAUAGAAAGUGAUUGGUUUAGAAAUUUAACAUAUUGCUAAAUACAAACUUUUACUCCCCAAAGAUAUUUUUAUCAAUAUAUUAUAUAUUUAUAUUAUUUUUAUUUCUACUAUAUAGAAAUGUGAAGAAGGGACGACCAAGGACACUAGCAAAUAUCCCACAUCCCUAGCUCUAGAAUAAUUCAUAUUUCUCAUACUCAGUCCACACAAACAAUCGGUAUACUAUUUCACUUUUCUCCAUAUAUCUAGAAGAAUCAACAUUUGUUGAAGUCAUCCUUGCUAUCAUUCUUCCUCAUGUUGGUGUUUUCCUCUGUUAUGGCUACAAUGUAAGAUUCUUUUUCCUAAUUAAACAAUAAAAAAUUUCUAGUUAUUAGUUCAAGGGCGUGGUUCAGUUUCGUGUUAUUUGCGGCGGUGUCUGUGGUAUCAACGUCGUUGUUUGUGAUUAGUCUGUGUUGGAGCUGUAAUUCUUUUGAUCAAUUAAAGCCAAUGAGGUUGGUGAUAGGGAAAUUAGGGUUUUGGGGUUUGGAGAUUGGGUUGUUCUAUGGAGUGCAUUAUGUGUAUACAAAGCGAGAGGUUUUGCAGUUCCCGAUUAUCCAGGUAUAAAAAUGGAUUCUUUAUUACAAGUUUAUUAUGUUAUUUCAUAAUACAAAGACUUUUAUAUAGUAUGUGUCAUGAAUUUUGAUCUUCAAUAUGCUUCAAACAGUUUUAGUAUUUUAAUCUCAAAUCAAGUGUAGUGAAUUUGCUAUGUAAUUAACAAGUUGACCACUCAAUUCGAUAAUAAUUUACUCCCAAUCCAACAAUAAUUUGAUUCAAGUUCGUAGAAACACAAAAGGUCAAGUCAGUAAUUGAAUGGAAUAUAACAACUAACAGUAACCAGGAAUGUUGAUUUAAAUCAAAAUGGUACAGCGUCAACUCCCAGUAAUCAGGUCAUCACUAAGAUACUUGAAAUGAGAAUGAGAAUGCAGCUUUCAAUAUGAUCUAUAGCUCAAACUAAUUAGCUCAUUCAUUUAGGAAAAUAGCAAUUUGAUAAAUUGGUAAUUAGUAAAGAAUUUGAUAGUAUGUGUUGAGAGAGAAGAUAAGUAAGAGCAAGAAGAACACGAGAGGGGGUUAAGGAAUUACCAAUUUUUCACAUGCUCUCACACUGGAAUUUUGAUGUAUGAUUGUAUUCAUAGUUGUUUCCUUAUGGUAUCCUAACCCUUCAUUCUCUUUAAUCGGAGCCAUCCACGUGUUUUAACCUCUUUUUGAACAUUGUCCAAUUUACUGUGAAUGAGCUGACUAACCUCCUGUUUUAAAAUUUCAACUAUCUUUUUGGAUGAGUUCUUUCAACUUUUCAUCCACUUUUCUACAUUCAUCAUGGUGCAAUUUCAGGUGAGAUUCAUGCAUAAAUAUAGCUAUUUCUUGAUCAUAAAUCUGUAAGAUAUGCACAUAAAACAUGUUUCUUGAUUAAGCUUUUUUACUAUUGCGAUAAUUGAAACACAAUAAACAACAAUAAUGAAUAUCUACAGCUAAAUCGUAAACUAACAUACUAUGUUGCACGAUAAUACUCCUCCCCAACUACCUUCUACUCUAAUAAGCGUCCUCCACAUCCCCCUAUCUAAGGUUAUGUCUUCGAUAACCUGAAUGUGCGCCAUGUCCUGCCUAAUCCCCUUUCAAUUUUCUUUUUUUUUAAUUCUGAUAGCUUUUAUCAUUUAGAUUAUUUUCCCAACCAAUGAUUGGAAGGAGGGAGAAGAAGUCAUGUUGAUCACCUGCCACCUUAUUAAUCUAGACCUAGACUUGGUCAAUAGAGCCAUUAAAGAAAAACUUGAGAAUUUCUGCAAUGAGCUGUUAGGAGACUCUGACUAAGAUUGUUUAAAUUGACCUUGGUUAUAUUUGUCUCAGUUCUUGCUCAUGGUUUUGUUUUUACAGAUAUGAAAUGAGAUUUAACAUGAAGAGCGAUGCAGCUUCACAGAAGUAAUUAUCCGAGUGUUAUUGAUUUUCCAAGGAUCAAUGAGAACUACACUGGCAGGUCAGUCUCCUAUACUAAAAUUAUCAGGCAAUUUAAUCAACGUAGCAUAAGUAUCGAUCACAUAAAAUGCUUGGUGAUAAACACCUUCAUUUAUCAUCUGUCUAUUCUUUUGUAAUUAUGUUCAUGAUUUUUAAGAUGUGUUUUUCGUAUGUAUUAGCUUUAUGUUCCUCUUUGGUUUUGAUUGUUUGUUCUGGUUUCCCUAAAGUUUUAUCAGUAGGCCUUUCUCUCAUGUUGGUAUAAUAAUAGUAACUCUGUUGAAAUUUAGAAAGCAGCAUUAUGUAUAUGGAACUACUUUGAACAACAUUGCUAAGGUAACUGAAUCAUCAAAUUUGAUUUGCAGGCUGAACCAAAGACUGGAAAAUCACAGCUUGAAGUUGGAGAAAAUAUUCGAGGCAUAUUUGAUCUUGGACCUAGAAGCUUUAGUUUGGAGGCUGUAUUUGUUCCUAGUCAGCCUGGUAUAGAAUGUGAAGAAGACGAUGGCUACUUGAUAUUCUUUGUGGAUAAUGAGAACACUAGGUACCUUGUCUUUCACUCCCUUAUUUGCAUUAUCAUGAGCAUCAAUAAGACCAUUCUGCAUUGGUGGUCUUCCAAAUGUUAGGAAAUAAGGAAAAUUUCUUCUGUUCUACUAUUUAAAGUGAUGGUGGCAAAGAGUCGGCUAAGAAGUUUGUUGUGUCUAACAGUUGCACCCGCAUAAUGUAAAGAGCAUAACGUAUUCUACUUCUUAGAAUUGUGUGUGGAGAGAGAAAGUUUGCAACCAUAAUAUACUGAAUCUACAUGCUUUUAAGGUCAUAUGAUGCUCAAUUGUCUAUUUCUUGUUCACAUUGAUAUGAGCAUAGUUAGAAAAAUGCGUACAGGAGAGAGCCUUCACUAUUUAGUUAUAGUUUUCUUUUGACUUUAUUUAGACAAAAUUGAAAGUAGGAGCAUGUCCUUGUUUCCCUUGCACAUGGUGUACCUUCAUCUAUCAAUUAUGUUUCUAUCUUUGUUCUUAGGCUCAUAUGGAAAUGAAAAGUUUAUAACUGAAAUUUAAAACUGAAAUCACCUUAACCGAACCAUUCUCUUAUAAAUUUAUGCAAAAAGUCAGUUGUGAAUGUAAUUGAUGCAAAAACAAUGUCCGUGGAGCCUGUGGCAGUUGUUGAAUAGCCAAAAAGAAUUCCUUAUGGAUUCCAUGCUUUCUAAGGAGGUUUAAAUUGGUGUUCCCUUAUGACUUCUACGUUCAUAAUUUGAUUGAUUUUUAUCUAGGUAUUUUUUUAUUGUUAGAUAAUUGAUAAUGAAUUUGAGCUAAAAAAUAAUUUUUUGAAUAGUGGAUUUCUUUUAUAUCUAGCUGGGUAUUGGUUUGUUGUUAGAUAAUCGAUAGAAAAUUUGAGCAAAAAAAUGAUUUUCUGGAGGUACAAAUCGGGUCAAAAAGUGAAUUAUGAGCCCAACAUAGUUAUUAGUAGCUUCUCAGCACAUUCAUAAUAUGUAGUGUGUUGUGGCACAGAAUUGCGAUGGAUCAGGUUGGGGAUAUUUGGAUUCAUGAUUAAAAUUGGGUACUUUGAGUCGGAUAUUUGGGUUGGGGUGUGCAUUCAUUGAUUUGUUUACUAGAGAGUUUAUUGAUUUGAGGUUACCUAACAAAGUGUUUGAUAGAAUGCCCGAGAGAAAUGUUGUUACUUGGACUUUGAUAGUUACUAAAUUUUCCUUUUCAAAAGGAAAAGACGUGAAAAUAUAGAGGACUAACUUUCACAUGGAGAUCUUUUUUGCUUGCUUCGUGCUGCUCUUAUUAGUAUUUUUUUCCUGAUUUCUAUCCAUUUUGGGUUCAAUAUAUGAUUCCAAAAUAUUAGUAUUAUUUACUCCCUUCUUGGCUUCUUCCCAAUUUAGGUGUCCAAAAUUGAAUUUAAUUUCUUUGUAUUUUGAAAAAACAAUAGUAUCUGAUAUUUAAAAUAGAUUUAAAUUUAUCAAUUGAGUAAUUAGGUUUUAACAAUAAAAGUUUGCAAAGUAUACAUCUAUAACAUUUGCUUUAUGGGUAGUCUUAUGUGCGUAUAACUAAAAAACUCUAUUUACACUUCACUAUGAAGUAAUAUUUGAUUUCAUGUAAGAUCAAAGUUUUAAUUGACACCCCAUUCUUAGAUUGGAAGAGGUGGGAAAGCUUCUUUUUUCUUCUUUUUAAUUUUCAUUCACACUCGAGUUUGAUUAUUGUAUCAAUAGUUACUGUUUUCUAAUAUCCGAUGAUAUUGGUUUGAAAAUGAUUCUGAUGAUCUUUAAGUUAAUGCAGUCAACCCUCUGAUAGCUUUGGUGCUGGUAGAGGUUAUGGACGAGGUCCAGGUGGAAGAAUGAUGGGUAGACGUGGCGGGCGAGGCUUUUGGUAAUUCAUUCUCACUUGUCCUGUUAAUCUACUAUGAAUAUUCCUCUCCGUGUCGGGUUGGAGGAUAUUGUUUCAUUCUGUGUUUGCUAACUUAACAUAAUAGUCUUCCAUGCCUUCAUUUCAUUACAACCAUUGUGCCUCGAUCCGAGCAAGUUGCUGCGGAUUUUAUGAAUCCUUACUGUUCAAGUAUCCCAUGCACCUUCAUUUCAUUCUUUUGUAGAAUUUAAUAACAAAAAACUCACAAAGUUAAUUGUAAUUUGAAACUUUUUAGAUCUUGUGGUUAAGUUUCUCUGACUUGCCAUGUUGGUCGGAUAACUGUCAGGAUGCUUUUAUGUAUGUAUUACAUUUUCAGGUUGCGACUGGUUAGAUGAAUUUCUGACUGUGAUUGAGUUUGUUGGCUAUUUUAUUUUAUUAUUAUGCUCAAACUGGAUGCUACUCUUCUAGGUUGGGGUGGCGGGUUGGAACGAAAAACAUCACCACCAGGUUAUGUAUGUCAUCGUUGUAAGGUGCCUGGUAUGUUUCUUAUGUUUCAUCCAUCAAGUGGUCAUUUUCUAUAAGAAAUCUGCUAUUAGCAUACUGAGUCAUUGUAUCCAAUUAUGACAAAAAUCCUUAAAUGGCAUUUUAUUCAGCACUCCCAACAAAUGGCGACUUAAAGAUGAAAGAAUGGUUGAAGAUCAUAGACAUGGAAAACUGGGGAAACUUAAUGAAUGCCCCACUCAAACUACACGUAGGUACUAAUGAAAAUUCCAAUGAAUACACCAACCCCUUUUCUUAUAUUUUAUUUCUAUUUUUGGUUAUAGUUGAGCUUGACUCAUCAAGUAAACUAUACAGAAAUUGACCUUAUCAUAUGCAUAUGUGGAUUUUGGUUCAAAUAUGUCUAGCAAGAAUCUAACUUACUGGAGCGCCUUAUGUUGCUAUGCAUGAUAUUUUCAAUAUUUGAAUCUUCCAGAUCAUAAAGGACUUGUACUAAUUUAGUAUUCCUAUUAUGAUAUUGAACAGUUGAACUUUAAUUGUUCAGGGAAAUCUUCAGCUGAGUAUAUCCCGAGACACAUGAGGGGGAAAUUAGAAACUUUGAGAGUUCAAUAUAUUAACACGAAAGAAGUGAGGUUUUUCCUUACAAUCAAUUACAUGGUGGAUUGUUGUUUUCGAACCUAAAGUCCAGUUGGAAGAGUUUAGAGAUUUAUAUGUGGCUUGAUUUUUCUACAGAGUCACCAUUGGCACUUGGAAUAAAGCGGGAAGACUUUGAGAUGAGGAUCUAGAAAUUGAUGAGUGGCUUUUUAUGCAAGAACCAACAGAUAUCUAUAUUCUUGCAUAUGCCCAAAAUGAUUUUAGGCACUUGUCAAUUGACAACACGUUUCAGAGAAAUUGGUUGCACAAAUGGAGGUUGACGUAUCCAUCCCCAAUAACUUGUUAGUCAUCUUCUUUUAUUCUCAUCAAGAUUGCCCCAAGUUGUACAGACAUAUCCCAAGGUAUGUGAACAAUAUCCGCGAAUUAGCUAGAAACAUGAAUUUCCUUUGUUAACUAAUAUGUACAACUACAGCUAUUAUCAUUCUCAUCUUCAGGACUUCAAAUCUCUAACGGAUGGGGUUCCAAUCCUUUUCAACGAAUUCAGGUUCUGAAGUUGAGAACUCGGUUGGUGCUGAGUUCGGUACUAAUGAGUUGGGUUAUACAACGUGUGUGAAUCUACCUCCGCUCGCUCAAGAAUUAUUUGUUGUUCAUGAAUGGAGGUUCUUCAAGCAUAUCUUUCAUGGAGACAAUCAGAAUGUAAGUUCAAGCAUUUGAGCAUUUUCAGUGAAAUAUCACCAACUGUAUUACAUUGGUUAGUUUAGAAUUAAGUAAAGCUAAGUAUUUAGAUGUAGGAUCAAAUAUGAUGCUUAAAAGUACUUUGGUUUUCUUGCAGGUCACUUAAACAAUCAAUACAAUGCUUAUUUGUGGAAGUUUUUAUUUUUUGGAAUGUCAGAAAAGGAAGCCAAACAGAUUCUUAAGGUUUUGUAGUUCAUAACCCAAAUAUGAGACUAAAAAUAAUUCAAGUGUAAUUUAUUGAUUUAUUCCCAUUCGUAAGAAACAACAACUUAUGUUUCUCUUUGCUUUCAUGCAUUUAAAAGAACACUAAAUCUUCUGCUAAGAAAUGGGGAACUUAGCAAAGUGUACCGUUAUCUAGAAGAAGGUGUGGAAGUCUAAUUUAGAAUGCAGAGGUUGUCGCUGUUGACAUUGCAGGCUAUCAAACUGUUGGAAGUAACAGGUGGUUCUUAAAUGGUAGCAUCUAUAAAAGAAAAGUAAUUACAUGCAUGUAGAAGUCUUCAUAUAAAAUCACAUAUUAGAUAAGGUCUUAAAGAAAAUUAUAGUGACGGGGGAAAAAAGAUUAUGGAAGUUCAAGCAAGGUUUAUAGAGUUACAUAUUUGCCUACAGAUAUAGUCAAAUUGGUUGAAAUUCAUCAAAGCAAGCAAUCACGGCUUACUAAUACAUGUCAAAGUUCAAGGUAUGCAAUAAUUAGUUUAUAUUUUAUCUUGAUAUGCAACUUGAUUAUUAUAUUACGUUCAUAGCAAAAUUACGCGUUAGGCCCGUGCAAAGCAUAGGCAUACCUAUCUAGUUUUAUUAUAUAGAAGAGUGAGUUGGAGAGCGAUCAAGGGUAUAUUUGUCAUUUCAUAUUUAAAUGGUACAAUCAUUAGUCAAUAGUCAUAUCAAUUAAGAACUCCAUUAGCCACUUUUUUUUCUAGGUUAUUUGUUUAUAUUUUCUUAGUGGAUCCUUUAUGUGGCUAACAACAUUUUUACUUACAAGUUUCAACUUAUUUAACCACAUUAUUUACAAAGUAAUAUUUUAAAUAAAUAUAAAUAUCAGUGUAAAGAACUUUUAAUAUAAUAUAUAAAUAUAUUUAUAUGUAAGGUUUCAUAAAAUUGAGAUUUGUAAUCUUCAAAAUAAAAUAUAUUAUACUCCAGGUUCAUUCCUUUUUAUUUGCACCAUUUGAGUUGUGCUUAUAUUUCUAAACAUUUGGUUCAUUAUCUUCAAGAAUAGUUUGAACAGAAUCUUUUUUUUUUUGCCCUUGUUCAAUAAAUGUAAUCAUCAUUAAUUUGGAAAGAGAUAUAAAAUUUAAUUAGGGGUAUAUUAGUGAAAUUGCUUUUAAUUUUAUAGGAGUAAGAGACUAAAUUGUGUUUCUAACCCAAAGAGAGUAAAUAAAAAGGAAUGAAGAGAGUGCGAUAUGACAGAUAAAUUAACCCGCAUGUAAAAUAACUUUAAACUAACAUUAAGUAACGUCUAUUUUUUAAUACCCUUAAUAAAAAUUUUAACUCCACCAAUAUUAUAUUAAUUUGAUUUUUGCUUUAUUUUUUAAUAGAUAAUUUUCAACCAUCUAUAAUGUAUCUUUAGUAUUUCAUAUUAUUUUAUUAUGAAAAUGAAUAUUUGAUAUAUUUAUAUGGAUAAGAACAAUCUCUUAUCUCCUUAAUAUAAACACACUAUUUACUUUUAUUUAUUUAGUAUAUUAGGUAAAAAUUAUCAUAUUAUAAGAAAAUAUUGCACGUAAGAUUUUUUUAAAAAUGUUAAUUUACUGAAACUUAUAAUUUUAAUUUACCCUCUUGUAUAAUUUUCAAAUAAAAUUUAAAAAUAAAAAUAUUAAAAUUAGUUGCUUAAUUCAAGAAAAUGUGUUUAAGCCGAUGUUAAAAUAAGCAUUGAAGCAUAUUAUAUUUAAAUUUUAAUUAGGACAAUCUAAAUAAGUUGUAAGCUAGCUACUAUUUGAUUUUAUAAAAAUUAAAAUUGCUCUUUUAAAGUGUUAUUUCUAUUAUCAUUUUCUAUCAUAUUUAUUUAAAAAUAUUAAUUUAAUUUUUUAUAUAAAAUAACAAAAUAUUGAUAAAUACAUUUAAAACUGUAAUAUUGGACCCGUAAAAUGGGCCCUUCAUUAUCUAGUAUAUUAUAGAAGAGUGAGUUGGCGGACGAACAAGGACAAAAUUAUCAUUUCAUACAAAAUUUAGAAUAUUUAUUUAUAUGAUAUAACUUCAAAACAGAUAUUUAAAANNNNNNNNNNNNNNNNNNNNNNNNNNNNNNNNNNNNNNNNNNNNNNNNNNNNNNNNNNNNNAUAUAUAUAUAUAUAAUACUUCAUUCAUUUUUUUAUUUGCUCUAUUUAAGUUGUGCUUAUAUUUCUAAUAUUUGCUCUUUUAAUCUUUCAAGAAUAAUUUGAACAAAAUCUGCUUAUCAUGCCCUUGUUCAGUAAAUGUAAUCAUUAUUAAUAUGGAAAAAGGCAUAAAAUUUAAUUAGGGGUAUAUUAGUAAAAUUAAUUUUAAUAUUAUAGGAGCAAGAGAUUAAGGUUUGUGUCUAACCCAAAAGAACAAAUAAAAAAAAAUGAAGAGGGUACUAUAUAAUAGAUAAAUUAACCCGCAUGUAAAAUAAAUUUAAACUAACAUUAAAUAACAUAUAUUUUUUAAUCCCUUUAAUAAAAAAUUUAACUCCACCAAUAUUAGUUUGAUUUGCACUAUAUUUUUUAUAGAAAAUUUUCAACUUUCAAUAACGUAUUCUUAUUAUUAUUAUAUUAUUUCAUUAUGAAAAUGAAUGUAUGAUAUAUUUAUAUGGAUAAGAAGAAUAUCUUAUCUCCUUAAUAUAAAUAAACUAUUUACUUUUAUUUAUAUAAUAUAUUAGGUAAAAAGACCAUAUUUUAAGAAAAUAUUACUCGUAAAAUUUUGUAAAAAAUGUCAAUAUACUGACACUUAUAAUUUCAAUUUAUCCGCUUGUAUAUUUUUUAAAUAAAAUAUUAAAAUUAGUUACUUAAUUCAAGAAAAUGUGUUUGACCUAGUGUUAAAAUAAGCAUUGAAGUAUAUUAUAUUUUAAUUUUAAUGAGGGCAAUUUAAAUAAGCUAAAGUCUAUUAUUUGAUUUUAUAAAAAUAAAAAAGAUUAGCUUUUUUAAAAUUGUUAUCGUUAUUAUCAUUUUCUAUCAUAUUUAUUUAAAAUAUUAAUUUAAAUUUUUUUAUAAACUAAGUAAAUACAGAUAAAUAUAUUUAAAACUAUAAUAUUGGGCUCGUAAAAUGGGCCCUUCAUUAUCUAGUACCUAUAUAUAAGUGAGGAUACCAAGUUUUGGUAGUCCUCACAAAACUUUUUAUCCAUUCUUGUUGCUCCAUAUGGCUCUUUCUUUUGUUCAUGUUGCUCUUUCAUUUGUUUUUAUUUUAUUUUUUCCUUUACAAUCAUUUCUUUCUUUUAUCUUUUCCUUAAUUUAUCUGACACUCAAUUCUUUUUCUUUUCUUUUUUUUUUUAAAUCUUUUUAUUUUAAGUAUAUUUUUGCAUGAAUAUUUAUUAUUGAUGUAUCUUGAGUCUUUAAUAUUGUACUCCUUCCAUCUUAAUUAAAGUUUCUGAAUUUUGUGCUUUUAAAUUAAAAAUAUGUUCCUUCUAUCCCAUAUUAGUUGUCUACUUUCUUCAUCACAUGCCCUUACAUAAUCAUAAAUAAGAAGAGUAGUUUUAUAAAUUAUUUUAAAAAAAUUAUAAAUUUGCAUACACUUAAAAAAGAAUUUCAAUUGUUAAAGUAAAAUAAAAAAAUUCAGUUAAUUCUAUUUUGUUUUGAAACUUGACAAAUAAUUUGGGCUAUUAUUGUUGAUAAUGUGGACAACUAAUAUGAGAUGAAUGGAGCAUGUAGUUUUUAAAUCUUGUAGUCUUAAACUUGUCAUGUAGAAUGUUAAAAUUGAAAAACUUACAAAAUAUAGAAAAAAUCUUUUUUCGGAGACAUACCCAAAAAGAAGUAAGACAUUUAAAUUGAGAUGAAUGAAUAGUACAUUUUUAUGAAUGUAGCUCUUUACUUUCUCUGAUCUAUAUUAUAUUUUAUUUUUAACGUUUAUACUUAAAUUAUAAUGAAUAUGUUUUAUCUAAUGAUGAUGGUCUUAAUAAUUUUUUUAAAAUAAAAAUUAAGACAACUGAAUUUUUACAUAACCAAAAACUUAUAGUAAAUUGGUACUAUUUAAUUAAGGUAACGUAAUGAAGAUUACUUAUUAUUUAUGGAGGAAAAUAAUUUUGUAAGGAGUAUGUCAAAACCAAAAAUAUAUAACUAAGAAUAAAAAAAGCCAAUUAAAUUACUCUUUAUAAUUUUUUAUUGUAAAUUUUUGAAAAAUUUAGUAAUAAUGAAAAUUUUUGAACAAUUCAUUUUGAUGUGUCAUUAGGUUUUAUUAAUUAUACAGUAAAAGAAUAUGAUACAAAUAAUUUUUUUUAAUUAAAGUAUUAUUAUUUUUAUAUUUAGAGUUUAGGUCCGGGCUUAGCACGGGCUACGGAUAACUAGUAUUUAUAUAUAUAUGUGUGUGUGUGUGUGUGUGUGUGUGUGUGUGUGUGUAAUAGGGGAGAAUUCAAAGAUUUGGUAGUACUAAGUUGGAUUCCAACUAAUGUUUAUCCAAAUAUUUUGCCAUCUUUAGUUAGAUUACAACUAAUGCUUAUCAAUUACUUUAAAAGUUUUUUUCUUCUUAUAAAUUUACCCUUUGACAUGUGUUUUUAACUUAUUAUUUCGUAUUAAUUUGCUUCGUCUCCUUUUUCAUAUUAUCCUUGAUUUAGUUUAAUAUUACUUUACUUUUUGAGAUACUUUACAAUACCUUAAUUUGCUUCCCUCCUCNNNNNNNNNNNNNNNNNNNNNNNNNNNNNNNNNNNNNNNNNNNNNNCCCCCCUCUCCCCAACCCAAACACACACGUCUACCUCUUUUUCUUUUGCAUUAUCUAUAAUCUAUAUCUAUAUCUAUAAUAAUAUUAAAAGUGUGAAGUUCCUUAAAAAUGUUGUUUGCACUUUUACCCUUCAUUAAAAGUCUUCACUUUAGACAAAAUCAUCUUUUCACUAUUUUUUUUAUAAUAUUUAAGAGUUGAAAAUUAAUCAAAUAUAGUUAUGGUAAAACCUUUCUUUAUUAGAAGUCUCUAUUAAUUUAUGGAAUAAAAAUUAAAAUCUAUCAUAUUUAGAUAAUUUCUUUCUUGAAAGAAAAGGUUUUGGACUUCUAAAUCAGUUAGAAUUUUAUCUCAUAUAUAUAUUCAAAAUGUGAAGCGUCUUAAAAAUGUAGUUUGAACUUUUUACUCUUCACUAAAAGUCUUUACUUUAGAUAAAAUCAUCUUUUUACUAUUUUUUUCUAGUAUUUAAGAGUUGAAAGUUAAUCAAAUAUAUUUAUGGUAAAAACUUUCCUUAUUAGAAGUCAUCUAUCAAUUUAUGAAAUAAAAAAUAAAAUCUACCAUAUUUAGAUAAUAACUUUCUUGAAAGAAAAGGUUUUGGACUUCUAAAUCAAUUAGUAUGUAGUUAGAAGUCCAAAACCUUUUGAAUUUCUUAAUAUAUUAAAAGUGCAAAGGGUCUUAGAAAUAUUAUUUGAAUUUUUUGUCCUUCAUUAAAAGUCUCUGCUUUAGGUAGAAUUGUCUUUUCACUGUUUUUCUAAUAUUUAUAAGAGUUGAAAAUUAAUUAAAUAUUUAUAGUAAAACACAACUAAUAUCUUUUUCCUUAGUUUAAAAAUUCUAAAUCAACUAGAGUUGAUUUUAAGAAGAUCUAAAAAAUCUAGAAGUAAUAUGAAAGCAUUAGAGUAAGAAAGAUAUAAGAAAUACCAAAAUAUUAAAAGUUUUAAGUAAGUAAUCAAAUAUUUUCUAAAAGUUAACUUUAAAAAUAAAUAAAGAUUUUAAAUAUAGAAAAAAAAUAAUCGUACUACUAAUAUGAUUCAGAUCGACGCAUCUCUCUUAGACUCUAGCAGCAAGAAAAAGAGGUACUGCAUAACAAAUGCAAACAUAGCGAUCCAUUAAGCACUUGAAACUUCGAGUGGUAAUAUAUAUCUAUAUCUAUGAUAUAUUAAAAGUGUGAAGACCGUUAGAAAAGUGAUUUGAACUUUUUGCCCUUCAUUAAAAGACUAUUCUUUAGAUAAAACUGGCUUUUCACUAUUUUUUCAAAUUUAUUAUUUAAUUAUUUAUUAUUAUAUUAACUAGACUUCCUAAAAUAUAUGAGACUCCUAAAAUAUAAGGUAGGAUAAUUAAUUAAUACUUUUCUUUCUACUAGACUUUCUAAAAUAUAUGGAACUCCUACAAUAUCUAGUAGGAGAAUUAAUUAAUAUUUGUUUUUCUGCUGUUCAAUUAGAAAAAUACUCCUAAAAUAGGACUCUGUUAAGGAAAUACUUUUAUAAAUAUAUAGAUGUACGUUAAACUAGAGAACAAACCCGUUUGUCUAUUGGGAGAAUAUGAUUGAUGCUCAUCUAACUUAAUUCGAUUGCAUGUCUAGAUUGGUGAAUACUUAAUUUUCUAACCCUCAACUUCUUCACUGUUUUUGUUAGCAUAAUAGAAUUCAACAUGUAUGUAUAUGUAUUUCUUCUUUGUUUUCAUUCAAAAUCAUUCUUUAGGGUCAAAAUUUUGACUCAGACAAGAAUUAGUUGGAUCAAAAUGAAGCUUUGUGAUCACUAUUAUAUUAUUUUUUUAUAGUUUAUAGAUCGUAGAUGAAUGUCGGCUGGCUUUGAAGAAUUUCUCGUGUAAAGGUUAGGUAUAAUUAUAUUAUUUUGAUAUCUUUAUGAUCUUAUUAUUUUAUUUUAAUUAACAGAUGCUAGAUGAAUGUGAGUCAGCUUUGAAAUUUUUUUUAGGUAAAGGUUAGGUUUAAUUGUAUUAUCGUAAUAUUUCUAUUAGUUUGUUAUUUUGUGGUAGUUUACAGUUCGUAGAUGAAUCUCAAUUGGCUUUGAAAAUUUUUUGUGCGUAAAAUUUAAGUUUAAUUGUAUUGUUUUGAUAUCACUUUUAUCGUAUUAUUUUGUUGCACGUAACGAUCGAAAAAUUUGAUGAAAUGUGUGAUAUUUGUGAUUUUGUGUGAUUUGAGUAUUUUACCCCUCCCCAUAGUUGCAUUAUGAUAUUUCUGGGGUGUGGGAGUGAUUGUCAUGAUUUUUGAUGUAUUUUGGUAUCAUUUAUGCAAUAUUGUGGUUUUUUAUGGCUUCGAGAGCCUUAUUUUGGACUUAUGUGGAUAUCUUUAGAUCCGUGCAAGAGAUGGUCAAACGGAAUGCGCCAGCAGCUCCAGAAUAUCAAUUUUAGGCUAAAUAGACCUUCAGUUUGGAUCCCGAUGCACUCGAGCUUAUUUCGACCUAUUGGUCAGAAAGUUGAAAAAUUAGAAAUAUGAGUGUGGGAUCCACAUUUGAUCGAAACGACCUCAGAUGGAAAAUCCAACUUUGCCAGCAGAUCCGGAAUAUCAAUUUUAGGGUGUUAGCAUGUUUGGUUGGCCUAUAAUACCUACUGAGUACAAGUGGAUCGCACUCAUGCCUACUGCACCCUUUCGGUGCAGGUCCUAGCUCGAAUGCGCCUCAGUUUGAUUGACUCGGGCGAUUGUUGGAACUUCCAAGGUAGCGGGUGGACAUUCAUGCGCCCGAAGUUUACCUCUAUUAUUUUAUAGUAGAUAUGUCUUUAUUAGUAUUCAGAGACUGUCACGCCCUAUUUCGAACCGGUCGAAACAGCACAAGAAUUAUGGUGGUAUGUCGUGACUCUUGGGAUUUGAAAAUUAUUUUUUAGAGUCGCCACCUAAAUUUUUAGGGAAAUUAGAAAAAAACCAUUCUUUAUAUAGAAAACUCUGUUUUGGGUCUUUCAAAAAUAUUUAGAGAUUCUGAAUAAGGAUUUUGGUUACCCAAGGGGAAAGUGUUAGACAUCCCUCAGGGCCUAUCCGAAGAUAGUCCUUACGCUUAGUUUAGGAAAAUAUUAAAAAAACUUAUUUUGUUAUUUGCUCAAAAGAAUGAUAAGAAAAAUAUUUAUUAUUAUUUGUUAUUCAAAUGAAAAUUUAAGGUAUAUCAAACAUGACGUUACGACGUACAAAGAAAGUAAUGCAAUUAUCGCAAAAUAUACAUGCACUUUAUGUAUGAAAAGGAUGAUAAUAUAAUUUUAUAUAUAUUAGAAAAAUUUAAAAUCAUAUAAUUCUACAGGAAAAAUCGAAGAAAUAUGUAGGUUUAAAUGGUUAACUAUAAUUAUUUAUGAAGUAAAUAAAGUAUCUUAUGACAUAGGAAUUUAUUUGUGGAAUGUACUUUCAAGAGUAUAAAAAAAAUAGAUGCUGAAUUAUGGAUGUAUUGAAAUUAUGUAAAAAAUAAUAAGGAUAAUAAUAAUAAUUGUAAUAAUGAUAAUAAUAAAUUAAAAUAAUGACGAUAGUUUCAGUAAGAUAAUAAUAAUAAUAAUAAAAUUAAUAUUGGUAAUAACAAUGAUCAAUAAUAGUAACAAAAUAAUUAUUAUAAUAUAAAACAAUAUACCUUGUACGCGGUAACAGAUGAAUAUAUAUAUACCUUGCAUUUCUAUCUUGAAAACUCAAGUAAAAUAUGGCGCUAAACAAUUAGGAUUAUUUAUCAAAAAAAAAAAAAGAGAAGUUAAAUUUGUGGGUGAAAUCCUAAUAUUGUAAUUUUGUAAUGUUUUCCUAUUAGUUUUGAAAACUUUAUUUUAUUGUUAUAUAUUUUAAGAGAAACAUAAAGGUUACCAUGCCCAUUUUAUUUAAACGUUUGCAAUGAGUUUCGAAAGGUUAAUCGAAUAAAAAGCGUAUUUUCUAAUAGUAAUCAACGUGUUGUUUGCGGAAAUCAGGAAGUUAAAGCUACAUGAUAAAAUCUACAUGUAUAAAUAACACAAUUCAACAAUCAAAUAAAGCUAUUCUCAACAAGAUAGACAACAAAAGUUAUUCAUUAUAAAAGAACUCAAUACGGAUUAAAAUAUGAAUUAAAUCUGAAGACGAUGAAAAGUAUUAGACUCCAUUUAGGCUCCUAAUUUGCGAGACAUCUGAGGCUCUACACUCCUAUUAGCGUUUGACCCGAUGUGAGGUCAAGAUGAGUUCCGUUGGGGAACUCCAACUCCGGAAUUUACAUGAAAAAGAAAAAGAGGAUAAAGAUUAGAAGAUCGUUCAAGUAGUUAAAGAUAAUAUGACAACACCAUAUGAAUAAAUACCCCGAUAAACAUUUAGUCUUAAGUAAACAAAGCUAGGAAUCUGAGUAUGUGGGCUUAUUCACAAAUAGAUACAAAAACACCUCUUUAUUGCUUGACCAACGUUCACAAUUAAUAAAUACCAUUACUCAUAGGGAGAUAGAAACGAGCACUCACAGGGAAAACAAGCAUAUAAUGAAAUAAUAAGAAAAUCGAAGGGAAACUAUUAAGUGGAAGUAUUUACUGUCUUAAAUAUGUUGGCUUGAUCUAAUUAAAAAGAAAGAAGAAGCCUUUAGUACCAGAUGGUAUUCAACAUGCACAUCAUUCCAAAUAAUAUCUUUAGACUAGAAGUAUAAGAAUAUAUACAUGUGGAAAAACUGAAGAAACAUAAGCGUCACACAAAAGGGCACAUAACAGAUAUCGCCAAGCUAAAGUCAUUUCUCCACAAUUUCUUGUUUAAUUUUACCUCAGAACUCUAACCUCGGGACGUUGAGACAAGAAUUAAUUCGAUUUGAGGCAAACAAAUAACAACACUAAGAAAAAUUUACGGCCGAAACAAAUCACCUACCCACAAAACCACCCAGGGGUAACAUGGACAAAUGUUUUAACGAAAUAACAGUAACAUCACGGCGGAAAACUCAAACAAGAACAACCAGUAUAUCAGUGACUCUCCUAACUCUGCCAAUUUCCUAGUGCCAAUGAAUCCUACAUAUACAUAUGUUCAUUUAUGAGCCAAAACUACUGUGGAAAGCAUUUCUAAAUAAAUCGUUUUCUGGUUUUCAAAUUCCACAAACCUUCUUCGUAGUAACAUCCUAAAAAGUGAAGGAUGACACAAUUUCCUACUGUUGUAUGCGUUUGCAUUAAAACGAGAGCUUUGACGAGUUAUAUGAUUUCAAAAGACGACGCAAAUAGAAGGCGUUUCACGCAUUUUUUGCAUACUUCGACACAAAACAGUACUGAAAUUAAAAUGGCCAUGCUUGGUAUUUGACUUUACAGAGAAAACGAGUGAUAACAUCAAUACGGGCUCAGAACACAGACAAGACCCUUUUCAACCACAACCAUAUUAACUUGGCAGUAAUUCAUACACCCAACCAUCUCCGAAUCAACAAACAACCAUCAAAAUUACCAACCAUAUAUCCAAAGAAAAAAAAAAGAAAAAAAGAAAAAGAGACGAAGGCGAAAUGAAAAGACAAAAUCUUACAUUUUGGGGGCAGCAAACUCGGGCUUUUAACGUCAAGCUACUUCCUGGUAACCAUAAACUCAACUUCGGGACGUGAAGGUUGGACUCGAAAUAAUACAAAGAAGAAAGGGACAAACGAUUCAGUAACUUGAAUUUUACGAAUUUCUACCCCUUUUUUGGUUUUCUUCGUUUUUUUUUUCUCUCUAUUUCUUUUACACUAAUUUCUACUAUUCUUCUCUCGAAUUUUUGGCCCUUUUCCCUAAUCUUUAAACCCUUUUCGCCCCCUUUUUUUUUUUUGCAUUUUUCCUCACCAGUAAAAUCUUUUUCUCUCGAAUUUGCUCUGUUUUUCUUACUCCCUUUUCCUUUCUCUAUUUGUUUUUCUUGUUUUUCAAACUCUCCCCCAGCUAAGUUUUGCACUCCUCCGCACCAGUAUUUAUACACGAAAUCCGGAUGUGAAAGUUCGAAUUUAAACACAAGAGAAAAGUUCCAACGGGUGAAACUCCAUAUGGAGAAAAUCCCCAUUCGAAAACCAAAUUUCAUAGCCUUUUAGACAUCCAUUUUGAUGAUUUUCGGACUUCAAAAACUCGGAUUUGAAAUUGAUUUUGAAUUGUUGCACCGAAUCGGGAUCUGUUCUUUCUGAUUUUCACGGAUUCGAUGGGUUGGACGUUUAGAAAGAGGAGAGAUUUUUUGGCAAGUGUGGCAGCUGCGUCUGCCAUGGCCGCAGGCUAUAGCAAUUAGGGUUUUGAUAGCUUUCAUGGUUUUUGGUAAGAUGGAGAAGACGAGAGAGAAGAGAGAGGAAACGAUGUUCGGUUUUGGUAUUGAUUUGGGAAAGGAGAAUAGGGACUGCCUGUUUCUCGAAAAAUGGGGAAACCACGCGUGAACUGUUUUUGUUCAGAAGGAAAGAGACGGGUGAAAAAGCAUUUAAUGAAUCGAUUUUGAAAAUUUGACCAAUCUCGGUUUGUCCGAUCUCUUGAUCGGACGGAUAAAAAUAAAUAAUAAUAAUGGUAAAAAAAAAUAUUUAUAUAUAGAGAGAGCUAAAUAUAAAAAUGGAUUAAAAUUGAUUAUUUUUUUUAUUCGUCCGAUCAUUUAAUCGAACAGAUUAAAUUUAAUAAUAAUAAUAAACAAAUAAAUAGAUGAAUAAAUAAAUAAAAAUAAUUAAAUAUAUAGAGCAGAUAUAUACAUAUAAAUAAUCGGGUUGAAAACUUCAAAUUUUGCUAGAUUGAUUGAUGUCGGUUAGAUGAAAAGGUGAAAUGGACAUGAAAAUUGUACUGAAUUUUGGGCUAGUUUUCGGUUCUCUUGUUUGAAAAUUAUAAAAAAAAAAAAAAAAAAGUUGGGUUUGGAUGAAAUAAAUAAAUUGAAUGUUGAAUUAUUGUUAGCCCGAAUACUUUUCUACUGAAAUUAAAUUUAUCGAUGUUUCCUGAUAUUCUAAAAAUUAUUUUAGUUUAACGUAUAUAAAUUACAAACAUAAUUCUUAGAGCGUCCAUUCAAUAUCUUUUUACAAUUAAAUAUUAACAAAAUAUACGUAUAUACAUGUGUGUGUAAAAUAAGGAUAUAAGCUAUGUGUGAAAAUAAGAACAAAAUAUAUAUAUGAUCACAAUAUCGCCUAAAAUUAGAAAAGAUGCGAAUGCGAAUACCCAAAGAUAUAUAUAUUUCAUUUGUUAAAAUAUUUAAUUAUAUUUAAUUUAAAAAAUUUAUAUUAUGAUAGAAUAAUAGAUUUCUCUUUUAUUAAAAUUCGAAGAAAUAGAAAGAAAAUAUGAAUCUUAUUUUUUAUUUAAUUUUUAAAAAUUAUUUAGGGCCGAAGAGCAUCGGUAAAAUAAUUAAAGGAAAAAGUGCGAGCCAAAAUUGGUUGUCAAUAGAGAUAGUUAUUAUUCCUUUGUGGUUAUUUUUUUGAUGUAUUUACUCUUGAAUUGUAUUAGUAGUUCUUACACUAUUGACACCUAGUUUUGUGCAUGAUUGGUAUUUUGAAUAAGUUCUUUCUGCAUUGUUAUAAUUACUUAAAAGGUUCGGCUUCAUUCUAGAAGCCUUACCUUAGGAUAUUUCUUUCUUUUCCUCUUUUCGUAUUGAAUUGGGUGAUAGACUUACUUAUCAAGGUACGCCGCGACAAGUGCCAUCAUGACCCUCGUUUUUGGAUCGUGACAAAUUGGUAUCGCAACAGCCAAGUUUCAUUGGUCUCAACAGUGUAAGAAUGGGAUGUCUAAUAGAGUCUCACGAAUUGAUGCAUAGACAUUCGUAUCUAUCUUCGAGAGAUUAUAGGAUGUCUUUAGGAAACAUUUCUCAUUUUAUUCCUUAUCGUACGAAUUAUUUCACAUCUUGUGUUCUGAGUUGUGUUUCACUCUUUUUACGCGAAUGGUGUGGCUUAUACUACUAUCUAUUGAGAGAUGCAGAGAGAGAUUGGUGGAGGUCGCUUGUCAGUUAUAGACCCCGCGAUUCUUCUGAUAUGACUUGGAAUCAGUUCGUCGAGGCUUUCUAGAGAGAUUUGUGCCUUUAUGUUUGAAAAGAUCAUAUGCGAGAUGAGUUUGAUCAUUUAGAGCAGGGCUCGAUGACAGUUUCUGAGUAUAAAGCAUGCUUCCAUGCCCUGUCUAGAUAUUUCUAUGAUAGCAUUUCCAUCGAGUCUAAGAAGGUUUGAAAGUUCGUAAAGGGUUUGGAUGUUCCUCUUUAGUUGGCUACAUCUCAGAUGGUUGUGUUUGGGGUUUCUUUCUAGGGUAUAGUGGAUCAUGCUAAGAUGACAAAGGAUAUUCUUAGUGCAUCUCAGGGAGGCGCCAAGAAGGCGCGGUAUUUUGAUAAGUUCAGAAGUUAGAACUUUUGAGGUAGAGAUUUUAGAGAUUCUCGUGGAUACCAUGGUAGGCUAGUGCAGGUGAUUUUAUAGAGUUCAGCUGGUGUAUUUUCUAGUACAGCAGUUCAGGGUGACCGUUCAGGCUCAGUUGUACUUUCUCUUAUUGAGACUGGUCAUAGAGGUUGCUAUGUGUGUGAUGAGAUUAUUCAUGUAGCCAAGGACUGUUCUCGCCAUGUGUUUAGAGAUAUUCUUAUUUCAGCUGUGAGAGGUAGAGGUUCUACUAAAGGUGCAAGAGGUAGAGAUGGUAGAGCCCGUGUUGGUGGUCAUGGGGCUACUCAGCCAGUUGGUAGUUGUGGACAGUGUUAUGCUAUACCAGUCAGAUCUAAGGCGGAGGCUUCAAAUGUUAUGAUCUCAGGUACUGUUCCAUUUAUUUUAGACCUGCAUCUGUGUUAUUUAAUCCUGGAUUGAUUUUCUCCUAUGUGUCUGUGUAUUUCUCUUUGGAUUUUGAUUCUGUUAGUGAGCCUCUUUCCAUGCAUAUUCGUAUAUCUACCUCGAUAGGUGAUUUUUUAGUGGUAGAUUGGGUGCAUCGAUCUUGUGUUGUGGCUUUUGCCAAGUGUGAGACAUUGGUAGGCUUGUUUGUAUUAGAUAUGGUCGAUUUUGAUAUUAUUUUGGGUAUGGAUUGGUUGGCUCCUUAUCAUGUUGUCUUAGAUUAUUUUGCUAAGACUGUGACUUUAGCUUUGGCUGGUGUGACAAGGAUAGCUUGGAAGGGUGCACUUUAUUCGGGUCCUAAGAGGAUUAUAUCUUAUCUUCAGACUCGUAAAUUAAUUGAGAGGGGAUGUAAUCUUACUUGGCCCAUAUUCGUGACACCAGUAUUGUUUCGCCGCCUUCUCUUGGAUUUUAUCUGUAUCGUCCGUGAGUUGAUGGAUGUGUUCCUAUGGACUUAUCUAGUAUGCCUUCGAAUUGAGAUAUUGAUUUCAGUAUUGAUAUUGAGUCGGACACCAAGCCCAUUUCUAUUCCUCCUUAUAGGAUAGCCCCAGUAGAGCUGAAGGAACUGAAGAAUUAGUUGUAGGAGUUAUUGGAUAAGGGAUUUAUUUGACCUAGUGUUUUACCUUGGGGUGCGCUCGUCUUGUUUAUUAAGAGAAAUGAUGGGUCUAUGCGAAUGUGAAUUAAUUAUCAAUAGUUGAAAUAGGUGACAGUUAAGAAUAAUUAUCUUCUUCCUCGCAUCAAUGAUUUGUUUAAUCAACUUCAGGGUGUUGCGGUGUUUUUAAGAUUAAUUUGCGGUUCAGUUAUCACCAGUUGGGGAUUAGAGCUUCAGAUAUUUCAAAAAUAGUUUUUCAGACUCGAUAUAGUCAUUAUGAAUUCUUGGUCAUGUCUUUUGGGUUGACCAAUUCCUCUACCUCGUUCAUGGAGUUGAUGAAUCAGGUAUUUCGACCAUAGCUCAAGUCUUUUGUUAUUGUGUUUAUAAAUAAUAUCUUGGUGAAUUCCAAGAGUGAGGUUGAGCAUGAGGAGCAUUUACGUAUUGUGCUUCAGAGAUUGAGGGAUGAGAAAUUGUACAUGAAGUUCUCUAAGUGCAAGUUUUGGUUAGAGUCUGUUUCUUUCUUGGAUAAUAUGGUGACUAAGGAAGGUAUUAUGACUGAUCCAGCUAAGGUUGUAACGGUUCAUGAUUGGGAUAAACCUAUUUCGCCCAUCGAGAUUCAUAGUUUUAUUGACUUGGUGGGUUAUUAUCGGUGUUUUAUUGAGGGGGUUUUCAUCCAUUGCAGCUCAAUUGACUAAGUUGACUCAGAAAAAGAUUUUCAUCUAGAAGUCUGAUGUCUGUGAGGCAAGCUUUGAAAAUCUAAAGGAUUUGUUGACUUCAGCUCCUAUAUUGAAUUUGUCCAAGGAGGAUGUAAGCUUUAUCGUGUUUUGUGAUGCUUCUGGUGUUGGAUUAGAUACUGUGUUAAUGCAAGAGGACAAGGUGAUUACGUAUGCAUCUCUUCAGUUGAAGCCUCAUGAGAGGAAUUAUCCUACCCAUGAUUUAGAGCUGUACGCAGUUGUGUUUUUCUUGAAGUUGUGGAGGUACUACUUGUAUGGAGUCCGUUGUGAGAUCUUCUCAGGACAUCGUAGCCUUCAGUACUUCUUCACCCAGCGAGAUAUUCAUAUGAGGCAAUGUUGUUGGCUUGAGUUACUUAAGGAUUAUGACUGAACUAUUUUUUUCUAUCCGGGCAAGGCUAAUGUAGUUGCAGAUGCCUUGAGCCGAAAAUCGACUAGCAUGGGUAGCUUGGUGCAUUUUUUUUAUCCAGGAGAGGCUUUUGGCCUUAGAGGUUCAGUUUUUAGCUAACCAGAUGGUUAGGCUUGAUAUUUAGACACCGGGGUAUGUUUUGGCAUUUGUGAAUACUAGAUCUUCUUUGAUGGAGUAGAUUCAAGCUCAACGGUUUGACGAUGUUGGAUUGGGGUUGAUUCACGAUAAGAUGUUGAGUGGGGAGGCUAAGGAAGCCUCACUUGAUUCAGAUGGAGUUUUGACGAUUGAGGGCUGAGCUUGUGUGCCGAGAGUGGUGAUUGGAUUAGGUUGAUCUUAGAGAAGGCCCAUUAUUCUAGAUAUUCUAUCCAUUCAGGUUGACUAAGAUGUAUCGUGAUUUGAGACAGCCCUAUUGGUGGGGUGGUAUGAGGCGAGAUAUAGCAGAUUUUAUGUCUCAUUGCCUAUGUUGUCAACAGGUGAAGGCCGAGCAAAUGAGACCUGGUGGUUUGCUGUAGAGGUUACUCGUUCCCGAGUGAAAGUGGGAACGAACCACUAUGGACUUCGUGGGUUGCCUCGUACUUCUCAUUGUUCUGAUAGUGUUCGGGUCAUCGUGGAUCGAUUGACCAAGUCAACUCAUUUUAUUUUGGUUCAGGUCUUACUCAAUGCUGAGAGGUUAGCCCAUAUCUUCAUUUGUGAGAUUAUGCGUCUGCAUAGUGCGUCCGUGUCUAUUAUUUCAGAUUGAGUUUUUGUGUUCACAUCUCACUUUUGGAAGGCUUUCAGGAUGAGUUGGGUACUUGGGUUGAUUUUAGCACAACGUUUAACAUCUAGAUUGAUGGUCAGACAAAGCGGACUAUCUAGGUUUUGGAGGAUAUGCUCCGCACAUGAGUGAUGGAUUUUAGUGGCCAGUGGGAGCAGCAUUUGGCUUUAGCAGAGUUUGUACAUAGUAAUUAAUAGUAACUACCAUUCCAGUAUUGAUAUGACUUUUUUGAGGUGUUGUAUGAUAGGCAUUGUCACUCCCCGAUAAGUUGGUUUGAUGUUUCAGAGGUGAGACUUCGAGGUACGUACUUGCUUCGUAAGUCUUUGGAUAGAGUCUGGGUCUUUUAGGAUAGACUCAGAGCGACUCAGAGUAUGCAUAAAUGUUAUGUUGAUCAUAGACUUCGUGCCUUGAGAUUUGGUGUUGGUGAUCGUGUUCUUCUUCGAGUUUCACCUAUGAAGGGUGUGAUGAGGUUUGGGAAGAAAGGCAAGUUUAGCCCUAGGUAUAUUGGUCCAUUUGAAAUUCUUUGGGCUGUUGGUGAUGUGGCUUAUGAGUUGGAUUUGCCCCCUUAUCUAUCAGUUGUUCAUCUAGUUUUUCAUAUUUCUAGGUUUCGUUGCUAUAUUCCUAAUAAGUCUCAUGUUAUUCAUUGGGAGUCGGUUCAGUUAGAUGAGUAGAUGUCCUUUGUUGAGGAACCAGUUUCCCUUUUGGCUAGGGAUGUUAGGCAGUUGCGCUCUAGAGUGAUCCCUGUGGUUAAGGUCUAGUAGCGACAUCGACCUAUAGAUGAGGCUACUUGGGAGGUUAAUUCUGAUACGCAUAGCUCUUAUCCUCAAUUCUUCAUUGAUUCAGGUGUUGCUUUGCCUUAGUUUGAGAACGAAUUAGAUUUUUAUUGGUGGAUGAUGUAACGACCUAAAAAUUUGAUGAAAUAUAAUAUUUAUGUGAUUUGACUAUUUUACCCCUCCCUGUAGUUGCAUUAUGAUAUUUCUGGGGUGUAGGAGUGAUUGGCAUGAUUUUUGAUGCAUUUUCGUAUCAUUUAUGCAAUAUUGUGGUUUUUUAUGGCUUCAAGAGCCUUAUUUUGGACUUACGUGGAUAUCUUUUGAUCCAUGCGAGGGAUGGCCAAAUGGAUUGCGCCAGCAGCUCCGAAAUAUCAAUUUAAGUCUAGGUAGACCAUCAGUUCGGGUCCUGGUGCACCCGAUCUCAUUUCGACCUAUUGAUCGAAAAGUUAAAAAAUUAGAAAUAUGGGUAUGGGACCCAUAUUUGAUCGAAACGACCUCGAAUGGAAAAUCCGACUUUGCCAGCAAAUUCAGAAUAUCAAUUUUAGGGUGUUAGCAUAUUUGGUUUGAUUUUACGGCUUUUAAAUCUCAUGUCGACCCUUGGUUUGAAAAAUUAUAAUUUUAGAUUUUGAGAAUCAACUUUGUGAAAAUGAUGUUUUUUUUAAAUCUGAUAUCUCCAUCGCAUUCGAAGCUUCGAAUUUAGUAUGGUUGCAUAGUUUUUUUGCAUGUAUAGGACUCCAAACGCAUCUCGAGCACCCCGUCGAAGUCCGAUCAACCAACAAAAAAACUGCUAUUGCAGAAAAUCUGCAAUAAAUAGUAUAUUUUCAUCCUUUUUGAUCCAUUUUGCUUAUUUUCAUCUUGGCUCUUGCGAGUUAAACCCUAAAAUAGUGUGGGAGCUUAAAAGUAAAGUUUGUGAGAGCUUGAGAAGCUAGAAUUCACCUUUUUCUUGGUUUUGUUACGGAUUAAAAGUAAGAAUUCACCAUUUUCUUAGUAAUUUCUUGAUUAAUUUCUCAAAACCCCAAAAAUCUUAGGGCUUGAUUUUAAACUCCGAUUUCACUUAUUUUUACUUGGAUGAUAUUUUUAUCUUAUAAUUACUAGUUUUUCAUCAAUUUAACUCUUAAAACAACUCCGAUUCUUAUUGUAAUCCGGAUUUCAAAGAUUUUACCCGGUAAAGCUCAAAAAUAAUUUUUCUUCUAUUUGAACCCCAUUUUUUACUCGAUUUAACUUGAAUUUUCAGUUGUAGGUUCCUAAAAUAUAUGGGAAAUAUGUUUUUGAAGUAAAGUUCCGAUUUUGCCUUCUUUUUUGAAAAUCCAUUUUGGGGAUUCGUUUUGACCCCGAACCAAAAGUAGCCAAUAUAGAUGUCGUUGGUUUUGUCUUAAUGUAUAAAUUUCAUAUUUGAUGUUUUUAGGGGAGUUCAAGAUUAUUUGUGAAAAGUACGAUUGCGGAUUCAAGUGUAGCGGAUCAGUUUCGACUUUCGAGGUAGGUUAUGGCUUAACUCUUUCAGACUGGGCUGAGUAGUAAAUGGUGAUAUAAAAUGAAUGUUAAGGGUGGAAACUAAUCAUGAAAAAUAGCUAUUUAUGUGUUGUGCCCGUGUGGGGGCCUAUAUAUGAUGUACUUGUCGAAAUUGAGUUAUUAUGUGAUGAAUGUGAUCGUGUGAGGUUCUAUGUGAUAUUGAUAGCCUUGAAUAUAUGUGAAUAAUUGUAUUGUGUUGUUAAAAUGCUUAAUGUGGUACCAUUGGUGUAUUGUGAUUAUAUUCAUAUUUUAUUGGCUUUUAAGACAUGUGGAAAUUCAUUGAUGAAACGAAAAUAAUAAGUGGAUAUUGGCUUAUAUGGUUGUGGAAAUGUAUCAUUGUGGUUGGUUGUGGAAAUUUAUCAUGUGAUUAGUUGUGGAAAUACUCAUUGUGAUUGAUUGUGAGCAUUACAUCAUCAUAUGAUACUCAUUCAUGAAACAUUGGUACCACUAUGACAACGUCUGAGAAACACUUGCAACACUUUUUAAAAGAUAUUGUAACACCUUAUAAAACCUUUUUCGAGGGAUGUGCCAGAAAGGAGAUAUGAGAUAUGUGGAUUGUAUACGAGUUGGCAAACCCCCUAUGGGUCCUACAUCGGAAAGUUUUAGCUCCGUAGGUGUAUACGAGAAUUAUACGAUGAUCCUGGAGGUUAUGGGACGACCUCGUACAUCAUCAUCAUCAUUAUCAUAUACAUUGCACUUAAUUUAUUGUGUUUAUAUUGUGUUGUAUUGCUUUAUUGACUUGUCAUCUAUGUAUUUGUCUUACCUUCCUUUACUUGUAUUUGAUGAUCUUGUAUCUACAUGUUCUCUCUUGUUCUAUUUAUAUGUGAUAUAAUGUAUACUUAUGUUUUAUAUCUUGUUGUGUUAUUGUAUAUAUGUGAGAUAUAUUAGAACUGUUAGUGCAAACGGUGUGGGCUACCGUUGUGGGAUAUUUUUUGAUUGCAGGUGACGUGCCCUUAGUGUAUAUUUUGUAUGUUUUAUUUACUACUUUGCUUGGUCGACCUAUAAUAUCUAUUAAGUACAAGUAGAUCGUACUCAUGCCUACUGCGCCCUUUCGGUGUAGGUCCUAGCUCGAAUGUGCCUCAACUUGAUUGACUCGGGCGAUUGUUGGAGCUUCUAAGAUAGCGGUUGGACAUUUAUACGUCUGAAGUUCACCUCUAUCUUUCUGUUGUAGUAGAUAUGUCUUUAUUAGUAUUCAGAGACAGUUAUUAUUCCUUUGUGAUUAUUUUUUCGAUGUAUUUGACUUUUGGGAUUAUAUUAGUAGUUCUUACACUAUUGACACCUAGUUUUGGGCAUAAUUGAUAUUUUGGAUAUGUUCUUUCCGCAUUGUUAUGUUUACUUAUAUGGUUCGACUUCAUUCUAGAAGCCUUGCCUUGGGAUAUUUCUAUCUUUUUCUCUUUUCGUAUCAGUUUAGGUGAUAGGCUUACUUGUCAAGGUACGCCGCGACAAGUGUCAUCAUGACCCUCAUUUUUGGAUAAUGACAUUACAGUUUACAUGUGAUAGAUAAAUGUUGAUCGUCUUUGAGAUUUUUUUAUGUAAAGGUUAGGUUUAGUUGUAUUAUUUUGAUAUCUCUAUUAUCGUAUUAUUUUGUUAUUGUUUGCAGGUGGUAGAUGAAUGUCGGACGACUUUGAGAAAAAUUUAUGUGUAAAGAUUAGAUUUAAUUGUAUUAUUUUGAUGUUUCUAUCAUUGUAUUAUUUUGUUGCAAUUUACAGAUGAUAGAUGAAUUUCGAUCGACUUUUAAAAAUAUUUUUGAUAAAGGUUAGGUUUAAUAAAUAAAUUUUCCAUCUUUACAUACUCAAAAUAUAUUAAAUUUAAUUAUUAUAUUCAUUUUUAUUAUUUAAACAGAUAUCCUAUUUAGUGUAAUGUUUGAACUCAUUAAAGUGAGGUACACGUGCAAAGCGCGUACAUCUAAACUAGUAUAUAUGUAUGUGUGUGUGCGCGCGCUCGCGUGCUUAGAAUAAAAUAUAUGUUAUGUUUACAUUAUUAUAUUUAAAUCUUUGAGAGGUGAUUUAAAUUUUUUGCACUUCGUUAAAAAUCUUCGAAAUAGAUAAAAUUAUUUAUUUUUAAAUAAUAAAAAAUUACACGUGUGAAGCACGUACAGUUAAUAUAUAUAUAAUAACGUUAAGUCGCUAAUUUUGAUGAACAAGUAUAUGUUACUUGUAUUUAUUUUAUUUUAAAUUUUUCUCAAUAAAUAAUAAUCCUAAAACAUAUAAUGAUUCACAUUACUUUACUACCAUAUAUAAUGGAUAACACCCAAUUUUUUAGGUUUCACAUGAAUUUAUUAUGUCAAUUUUAUCAUAAAUUAUAUUUUAAAGACCUUGGAAGUUCUCACCCAUUUUUGUAAAUUUAAAUAAUUAUAUUGACAUUUAAAAUUUUAUACAAAAAUAAUGAGUCAAUAGUGACACCAUAAAAAACUACUUAUCUAAUUAGAUUAAAAAUCAAUUAAAAAAAAUUGUUGAUUUUUUUAAUAUAAAAAAUAAUAAGAGAUAACACCCAAUUUUUUUAAAAUCUAUUUUAUCCCUAAUUGAAGAUGUAAUAAUCUUGUAAGAUUUCAUCAAUUGAAAGAACAUCUACAAAAGCAUUUUGCUAAAUCAGACUUUCAAAUAUUUAAUUUAAAUGUUAUCUUUAUUUAUAAAUUAAAUUUAUUGACGUUCCAUCAAAUAUUUUUUAUAAAUUACUUAAUUAUUAUAUUCUUAAAAAGAACAUCUACAAAAGCAUUUUGCUAAAUCAGACUUUCAACUAUUUAAUUUAAAUGUUAUCUUUAUUUAUAAAUUAAAUUUAUUGACGUUGCAUCAAAUAUUUUUUAUAAAUUACUUAAUUAUUAUAUUCUUAAAAAGAAAAUGGGUUAGUCAAUAAGUUUAAUUGAGAAAAAGAUAAUGAAGGUACUUCAACAUAAACCAACAAUCAUUUUAGAUUGUUAAAACCUUUAAGUUAAAAAAAUUCAGUAAAAUAAAAAGGAAAACAGUUUUAGUGUGUGAAUUUGUUCGAAAUUUUAAAAAAAGUUUAAAAUAUGUUCUAAAAAAAUGUUGUUUUUUAACUUACAAAAAUUUUUGCUUCCUUCAUUUUAAUUUGUUUGUCUGAUUUUGACUUAGCCCAUAGUUUAAAUGCGUCAUGAAGAUUUUUGAAUUUUGUGAUCUUAAACUGAAGAUAUAUGUGAAAAGAAUCAAAAUAUCUUUUAAUUCUGUGGUAUUAAAAAUGUCAUAUGAAAAGAAAAGAGAUAUAUUAAAAGAGUCUUAAAAAAAGAAAGAAAGACAUAUUCAUUUUUAAACGAACUAAAAAAGAAAUAGGACACAAGAAAUUGAAAAGAAUAUAUGAUUUAACAAUUUAAAAAUGUUGGGAGAUUAUCGAACUACUUUCUACAAACACAAACAAAAAAUAAGAGUAGCCAAAAAUAAAAUAAAAAUAUAAAUAUAAAUGUUAAUGUAGUUUGGGCUCGGACUUAACACGAGCCAAAUGACACUAGUAUGUAUGUAUAUAUAUAUAUAUAUAUAUAUUAAAAAUAAUACUUUUAAAAUAACUAUGUUUUUUAUUUCAGUUUAUAUCAUUCAUUUUUUAGUCAGUCCUAAAAAGAAUGAGAUAUUUUUACCUUUAGUAACAUUUUAGCCUUACAUAUUCAUUUUAUCAUUAGUGAAAUGAUUUAUAACCACACAAAUGUUCAUGAUUUAUUUCUCCGUUUAGUCAUAAAAAUAAUAUUUUUUUAAAAAUUGAAGUUAGAGUUGAAGUUGGUGUUGUGUUUGACAAAAAUAUAAAUUAUAGUUGUUUUUAAAUUUUGUGAGAGAAAUAAGAGUGCUUGUUUUCAUUUUUUCAAAAAAUAAUUUUCACUAAACUGAAAUAAUUUUUAUGGUCAAAUAUUACUAUUUUUACUAGAGUGAAAUAAAUUUUGAAAAAAAAUAAAAAUUCUCAUGCCAAAUGCCUCUACAGUUUUAAAAAUCUUACUUUCUUUCUUAAAUUUGAUGUCAAGGCAAAUUACCUCUCACGCAAAUUAUGGAGAGAGUAAACCUUAUAAGCUAAGACCAAAUAUAGGCUAAUACUUCCUCCGUCUCAAAUUAUUCGUCUCAAAUUUUUUAAUUUAAUUUUUUAUUUUACUUAUCUUUUUUUAUUUAAUCAAGAAGAGAUAAUUUUUUUUCAUGUUUUACUCUUUGUAUUAAUUAUUUUUUCUUUAAAUUAAAAUAUAAAUAUUAUUUAAUAAGAAUAUUAUGAUAAAAUAGUCAUAUUAUUAAUUAUUUUUCUUAAUUAAUAUGAAAUCUCAAUUUGAGACGAGUAAUUUGAGACGAAGGGAGUACUAUAAUUUGACCAAAUAGGCUCUACGCCAAACAACCCCUAAAUAAUAGAAAAACAUCGACGACAACGCCAACCUCUCAUGGUUUGUUUUAGCCGCUACCCCUUCACUCCCUCGACGAGUCCGCCACUCUCUUUUCCCGAUCCACCUAAAUAUCCCACCAUACUCCCCUUUCCCCAUUUUCCCUUAUAUAUUCAUUUUCUUCACUCCAACUUUAAGAGCUCCUAUUACUUGCUCUUACCCAUAACUAUAUUUUUUCUCCAUUCACCAUGGAAAGCGCAACAACAGCACAAGCUCUAUCCCGUAUCGGCUUAGCUGGUCUAGCCGUCAUGGGACAGAACCUAGCGUUAAACAUCGCUGAGAAAGGUUUCCCUAUUUCCGUAUAUAACAGAACCACUUCUAAAGUUGACGAGACUUUAGAUCGCGCUGACAGUGAGGGAAAAUUGCCGUUGAUUGGGAAGUACGACCCUCGUGAUUUUGUACUGUCAAUUCAACGGCCUAGAUCUGUUAUUAUUUUAGUGAAAGCUGGUGCACCCGUUGAUCAAACGAUUGCGACACUCGGAGAGUAUCUAGAGCCUGGUGAUACGAUUAUUGAUGGGGGCAAUGAGUGGUACGAGAAUACGGAGAGGAGGAUUAAGGAGGCGGAGGGAAAAGGCUUGUUGUAUUUGGGAAUGGGUGUUUCGGGUGGAGAAGAGGGAGCGAGAAAUGGGCCUUCAUUAAUGCCUGGUGGGUCACACGAAGCGUAUAUGAAUAUUAGGGAUAUUUUAGAGAAGGUUGCUGCUCAAGUUGAGGAUGGGCCGUGUGUUACGUAUAUUGGUGAAGGUGGUUCGGGUAAUUUCGUGAAAAUGGUGCAUAAUGGAAUUGAAUAUGGUGAUAUGCAGUUGAUUUCUGAGGCGUAUGAUGUGUUGAAGAAUGCGGGUGGAUUGAGUAAUUCGGAGUUAGCUGAUAUUUUUGCGGAGUGGAAUCGUGGAGAGUUAGAGAGUUUUUUAGUUGAAAUUACUGCAGAUAUAUUCAAUGUGAAGGAUGAGUUAACGGGGAAUGGAGAGUUGGUAGAUAAGAUUUUGGAUAAGACGGGGAUGAAAGGAACAGGGAAAUGGACUGUGCAGCAGGCUGCGGAGCUGUCUAUUGCAGCUCCGACGAUUGCUGCUUCGUUAGACAGUAGGUAUAUGAGUGGAUUGAAGGAUGAGAGGGAAGAAGCAUCGGAGAUUUUUAAGAAGGAAGGAAUGAAGGUGGAGAUAAGUUCGGAUAUUAAUGGUAGCAGUGUUGAUAAGAAGAGAUUGAUUGAUGAUGUGAGGCAGGCAUUGUAUGCCUCGAAAAUCUGUAGUUAUGCUCAAGGGAUGAAUUUGCUAAGGGCGAAGAGCGGUGAGAAGGGGUGGAAUUUGAAUUUAGGAGAGAUGGCAAGGAUUUGGAAAGGAGGGUGUAUUAUCAGGGCAGUGUUUUUGGAUCGUAUUAAGAAGGCGUAUCAGAGGAAUCCUAAUCUGGCUAACUUGAUGGUUGACCCGGAGUUUGCAAGGGAGAUGGUGCAGAGGCAAGCAGCGUGGAGGAGAGUGGUGGGAUUGGCUGUGCAGAAGGGUAUUAGUGUUCCUGGAAUGUCUGCAAGUCUUCAGUAUUUCGACACCUACAGGCGUUCUAGGCUUCCAGCAAACCUUGUGCAGGCUCAGAGGGACUAUUUCGGGGCACAUACUUAUGAGAGGGUUGACAUGCCAGGAGCAUACCAUACAGAGUGGGCGAAACAUGCUAGGAAAGCCAGAGUGUAAUUCUGUUGCAGCUAUUGCGGAUUGUGAUCAAAAUCUGGUAUUAGUUGUGCUUUGUUCAACUGUUUAUUUUAAAUUGUGCUAUUUAGGCAUUUAAAAGUCCAAUGUAUCUUGUUGAGAGUUUCUAUUUGCUAGGCAUAAGAAAGAUUGGUAAUCUUUUUUCCUUUAAGGUCUGCCGUUAAUAAUAUUCUAUGCCUUUGAACAUUACAGGGCCUUGGCUAUCAAAUGACUUCUUUCAUUGAAGUAAAAGAUGUGGCUUUUCCUACAUUGCAUUUUGCUGCAUAACUGCCUGCAUUUGUAUUGAUACAUAGGAUUAUUGCAUCUCCUCCACUCCCCCAACUACUAUUUCUUAUAUUUGAAGAUACUCCAUAUCAUGUUAUAGCAAGUAGUCUGUGUUUGCUUCAGUGCUCUGCUCCGAGAGCGUUAUAUGGUUGUGUAUGUUGAUUUAAACUAUUGACUUAGUAGAGAAGAAUAAUUUACCAUGAAAAAAGAGUGACGGUUGUGAUGUCAGAUGAACCUUGAGGCCAAGGGAAAUGUGGCUGGAGAGCCAGACACAAUGCUUAAAUUUAAAGGGCAAAAAGUAAUGAGUAUGUGGCUAGGGGAAAUACACAUGUUAUUGAUCUUAUCCCGGUUGAUGCUAUAUGGAUUAAUGGGAUGGAUAUGGGAAGUGGUAGCGAAAGGCAACAGCCUGGUCAUUGGACCAAUGAAGUGGA
rnacentral:lncRNA from 1 species